AUUUCUGUAAAUUUUUAGCCAUAUUAAAAAUCGUUAAGACAUUCAUAAGUGUGAUUUACCAAUUAUGAACUUGAAACUCGGGUUCUAAAGAAACGCAAGGCAAAUUUACUAAAAUUGAACCCGUUCAUGUUUGACAGAUUUGGUUCGUUCAUUAAUUUGAUCUAGUUUGUUACCUUAACGAUCACCGAUUUGGCUGAAAAUUUUUAGGGUUGAUCUACACAUAUAGACCUAAAAACUGAACGGAUGAGAUGUCAAGAUGUGAUCGAAAAAUAAGUCUUUUAAACCAUAAACCGAAAAGUCAUCAACUAGUCAUCAACGUAAGGGUCCUCACUAGAAGGGCUCCCUGUGUUAGAGAUAGAGAGGAAACAUUAUGAAAAUUUUGAUUUUGUUUAUUAUAGGAGAUGUUAUUGGAAUUUCUCAUAUAACAUUUCAAACUAUAGGCAUCGAAGGUGGCCAGCUUAACCAGCCGUAACAAUUCAAACUAUGAGCAUCGAAGUUGUGCAUGCAUGGCCAUAUGGGGUAACAAUCCACGAGCAGUUUUUACACUUAUCUCUUUCAGAAUUGUAUAUAUUUCCUAGGUGCUCAAUAUUUUGGUGAACAUCAGUUUUCCAACCAAAUCUGCAGACUACAGGUGAAUAUUGUAUCGUGGAGAAUACCAAUUCGAAAACCAAGAUUAAAGGAGGAUAAAGGGGGGAGGAUGUGGACACCAAGAUCAUCAUCUUUGAACCAUCAAUGAGCUUGGAGAACCAAGUCUCCACCCAACUCAUUAGCAACUGUUACAUGAACUUUUCCAAAUGACCCAUCGUCAGAUGCCGCACGUGUAGUUAGGAACAAAGAAAGCAGAGCUGCAAGUAAGUUGAUGUAUAUGCAAGAAGCCAUGACUAUUUGAGGGGCGCUACUAUUUUCCACACAGUUGAAGAUUUAUUCGUUUCACCCAUUUUUCGAUCUCAUAUUUAUAUCUCUACUGUUUAGUUUGUGGAUAUAUACCAGUAGAUCAUCUCUGUAAAUUUUCAUCUAAAUUGAAAAUCGUUGAGACAUUCAUAAACAUGAUUUACCAAUUAUAAACCUGAACGGUUCAUGCUUAACAGAUUUGGAUCGUCCAUUGAUUUGAUUUAGUAAUGAUCACUAAUUUGACUAAAAAUUUGUAUAAGUGAUCUACUAAUAUAGACAUAAAAGCUGAACGAUUGAGAUAAAAAAAAUGUAAUUAAAAAAUGGGUGUAAUUAAACGAUUAAUGAGAAAGACAUCAACUUAGUGAUCAUCAUUAGAACCCCUCCAUACUGUGGAUUCAUACUCUUUAAACAACUUUUUAGAGAUUCUCCAUAUAUAUAUUUUUUAGCUAUUUUAGUAGAGAUCUCGUUUAAUUGUAACUAUUAUAGCACCUCCUUAAACAACUUUAUAUUUUAGAAAAUUUCAUCUAAGUCACAUUCUCCACAUUUUCUCCCACAUAAGUCCACCCUGAUUUUUUUACCCAGAUAAGUCCACUUUUCUUUCUCAAAUUAUUUCAUCCUGACUAUUUUACCUUUGUACUAAAUCUCUCUCUCUCUCUCNNNNNNNNNNNNNNNNNNNNUCUCUCUCUCUCUCUCUCUCUCUCUCUCUCUCUCUCUCUCUCUCUCUCUCUCUCUCUCUCUCUCUCUCUCUCUCUCUCUUUCUGCCUUUCGCUCGACUUCUCUCUCUCUCUCCUUAUUCUUCCACCUCCGAUUCCGGCGACGUCGCCGCCGCACACCUCUCUUUCUCUCUCUCGAACAUACAAUGGUCGACCGAGACGGUGGCUCCGCCAUGCUCAAAGACACCGCAACGGCAAUCUUUGCAUUUGCGUGAUCCAGAAAGUUGAUGCCAACGAUCUGGAUCUCAACAAUGAUGUGGAUGAUCUAAUCCGGUAGGCGGCAAUGGCCUCGACGAAGAAGGUUUGGUUGAGAGGCACACCGGUCAAGGAGAAUGACAUCAAUCUCGAGGAGGAAGGCCUCAACGUCGUCGCUACGUUUAGUCCUAUGAGAUCUCGGAUAUGCCGACCUAACGAGGUGUCCUUCAAUCUCAGAAAUGCAGACCUAGCGAGGCAUCCUUCGUCAUCUCCAAUCAGUCGCGUUCGAUUGCAUUUCUGAUCGGUCAAACGCCGAGGAAUUUCGUGACUCAUCAUCUGUAGCGAGCGAAGACCGAAGCUCCGUCAACGGAGCGACGUCUUUUCUGUCGUCGUCGGCAGCCGGAUCCGAUCUGCAAUUCUCUUGAUUUCCUUUUAUGCUUAAGCUUUAAUCUUCUAAUAAUUGUUUGUUUGUUUUUUUGGUUGAGUAAAUAUCUUGUAGUAGUUUUUGUCAGUGACAGCAGUAGCUUUUGUUAGUUAGAGUAGUAUUUUUUAUUAGUAACGAUAGUAGCUUAUAUUGAUGGAGGCAAUAGCUUUUAUGUCUGGCGAUCGUAGUUUUUGUAUAUAGGGGUAGUAGCUUUUGUUUAUGUUGGUAGUAGCUUUUGUUUAUGUCGGUAAUAGCUUUUGUUGUGGUGGUAGCUUUUGUAUAUAAGGGUAGUAGCUUUUGUUUAUGUUGGUAGUAGCUUUUGUUGGUAGCAGUAGUAGUUUUUGUAGUCAGUGGUAGUAGCUUUUGUUGUUGGCUGUAGUAGCUUUUGUUGCUGGUGAUAGUAGUUUUUGUAGUCGAUGGUAGUAGCUUUUCUAGCUAACGAUAAUAGCUUUUGUUGCUGACGGUAGUAGCUUUUGUAGUCGAUGGUAGUAGUUUUUCUAGUUAGGGUUAGUAGCUUUUGUUGCUGGCGGUAGUAGCUUUUGUAGUCGGUGGUAGUAGUUUUCGUAACUAUCGGAAACCUCACCGGAAGUCGGCCGGAGACAUCGCCGGAGGUAAGCCAGAGACUUUUCCGGGGAGGAGAGUGGUUGUUGAUUUUUUACAUUAAUGGUAUUUUUGUAAAUAUAAGAGAGAAAAUCUAAUUUUUUGGUUGGAUGGCAAUUUGUAAUUUAGUUGAACUUCAGUACCUUUAUUUAGGCUUGGGUGGACUUAUGUAGGUAAAAAUGUUUGGGUGGACCUCUAUAGGAUAAAAUGUCUCAAAAUGGAUUUUCAUGUAAUUGGCCCGUCUAAAAGUGGAUUUAUAUGGGUAAAAAAGUUAAGGUGGACUUGUGAAAGAAAAAAUAUUGAAAACUGGACUUCUAUGAAAUUUUCUAUUUCUUCUUUGUCGAAGACACAACCGUCCUAACAACAUGAGAAGAGCUAGAGAGGGUUCAUAAUCCAGAGCAACCAUCUCUAGAGGAACCACCACCUUGUAGAGUUUUAAGUAUGUCAUGAUCUACCCUGCCAGCAGAAUGUCGCGGUUCUGUACCGGUCGUGAGCAUCAGUACUGUAGCCUUCUCCUUUUUUCUUUUUCUUUUUUUUGAAAGAGUGUAGCCUUCUCCUUAGUUGGUCAAGGUUCACCAUUGCCGGCAUCCUCUCAUCACAGUAUUUUGAUGAGUCAUGAGCUUGGCAGAGACACCCUACACGAAAAACAGUAAGAAUUCAAUUGGUCCAAAAUCCUCAUAUUUUUAAACUGAAUCAGAAGUAAAAAUAUGAGGAUUUUUAGGCAUGUAAACCUAUUUUAGCCACUUCGCAUGUUGGUUGAAGAUGAGAUUUUGCAAAACCUAAACUUAUUAUAUAAGUUUGAGUAAAUUAGAUGCCCUAAUAUUCAUGGUUCAUAAGUUUUUUGCCUUAAGAGCCGGAUUACUAGCUGCUUCUCUUCAAGGUUAUUUGGGUGUUCAAGUUUAAGGUGAUUCAAAAGUUCUUAUUAACUAUCUCAAUAAUAAAGCUCAAGAUCAUUGUUGAAUUCGUAUGUACUAUUGUUCAAGAUAUGGGCAUCUUGCUCCUAGUUUCGAAGUUUUGAAGUUUAAGCAUGCUUGAAGAGAAGCCAAUUUUACUGCGGUGGUUUUUCUUUUACGUUAGUGCUUAUCCGGGAUUCCGGCGUUAAAAGACCCGAGCUUUACACUAUUCAAAGACUAGAGCCUCUAUAAUUUCCGGUCAAAGUAGCAAUGUUUAAAUGUCCAAUAAUAUCUAAAGUAUUCAGAACUCAAAUUGUUUCAUCGCCCAUGAAUCUGUUGAUCUUGCAGCCUGAUGAUUGCUAACGUUGUGCAUGUUCCCGACUGUCGUUGGUGGUAAAAAAAUUUUGACACCUAUCUGUGUAAACUGAUAGACAAGAGUGGGCAAAAACCCAGCUAAAGAAUUCUUAAACUGAUCUGAGCAGCUACCCUUAACGCCCUGAAUCUUACCUUUGACUAGAGACCCCACUUGAGCUCCAUCCAUAUAUGCUUUACAUGCACCUAGAAUGUCAUGAGUACGAUUGCAGAAAUGCCCGAUAACAAACUCCUCAAAAUGCUGCAACAAAAUGCACGAGCUAUAGCUGAGGAUUCAUAUUGAAACUCAGAAAUGGACAGAAUUUUAUACAAGAUGCAUGACAUUCCCCACAUGUGAUCGUGUGAUAUCUGAUAUGUUACAUACCUAUGUACAGCUUUCUACUCAAAAUUUCCAAAUAGCGGAAACUAAAAAUUGUUCUAACAUUGCACAUUACAUAACUAGAAACACUGUAGUUUGCUUGAGUAAAUAAUCCCGGAAUUCAGUAAAGCAUUUUAUCGAGAAAUCACGUAGGGUCAAUUCGUUCAUAUCAGACUAACGAUCUUCACAAUUCUAUCUAGCUCACAUAAGCAUGAAAGAUCACUUGGCAUGCUUUAAAUAUGAACUCAUGUCAUCAAUCCGACUUUAAAAUAGUUUUAGUCUGGACAUGAUAAAAAAAGUAUAUAUUCAUGUUAUUUGAAUUUCCUUUUGGAAAGUUUUGAUAUGGAUGUUUUUCAAAAAGUUCACUUUUUGAUGCAGAUGGACGGAGAUGAUAAACAAGCUAAUAAUCCAGAAAACUUCUUUUCCAAUCUCACAUUGCAGAAGACUGACCCCGACCAAUAAUACUAAGAAAUGGAAAGAAGAUAUCGACUCUUACCUUUGGAGGCGUCUUCAUCAUGUACACCAUCGUCCUCAGAGAUAGGAUGAAUGUGUUCUCAUUGUAAUUUUUUGAUUGUGUUACACCAGAUGGUGUACCCUUCAUAGGUGCCCAUCCAGGCUCAUUGAAGUAAGGCUCUGAAUUCAAGAUCAGCCCUUGUAUUGAGACCAAAACCUGAAGCAUCGUUGACUUGCUAGGAAUCCACUUUUCUUCUUUGCCCCCAGACCAAGUAUUAAGAAGGCUGAGGCAUACUUUUCCACAAGCAUACAGGUUUGGGUUUAGUCGAAGGCCAUGAGCGUGGUAGUAGACAUGCUGAUCGAUUACCAAAAUCCCAAGUUAGACACAUGAUCCAAGUAAACAUAAAUAAAUGCCAGAAAAACACCAAUCACAUACAGGCGGCCCUUUGGGGUAACCACUGGGGAAGGAAACAUCAAAGAAAAAGAGACCAUCAUGGUAAGGAGUACCCUCUGCUCCAACAAUUACAGCUCUCAGAAGAUCCAUUCUUGUCUCAUAAACUCUUACAGAUAUCAUAUCUGUCAAUGUGUUAAAAGAGGAAAGCUGAGGGUUCAGAUAUGAAGUGAAUUAUAUAUUAGUUAUUGCAUGCUACGGAAGAGUACUGCAACAAAUUUCCUAUUGCAUCAGAAAUUCAAAUUACACAUCGACAUCCUUAAAUCUAUGUUCCACGUACAUAUAUCCAAAUACUUGGCAUGAUGAUCAAAAGUAUUCUUGAUAGAAGAGACAAAAAGACUACAUGAACCUAAAAAAGCUUACUGCCAUAACAUAAAAGUAAUGCAUGAGGACUCACCAGGCAAGUCUUUCUCCAGGAUCUUCCACUCUCCCUGAAUUUUCUUUGCCCAGUUCUUCUGAAGCCAUCAAAGGAGUAAAAUCAGAAUAGCAUCAAAUAUAUACACUAAAGUAUGGAUAUGAAAAUGCUAAUGCUAAUGCAAUACAUCAUAUACACUCACCUGCUUUGUUGAAAGACUUGUCUUAGAAUAAUGAUGAUCUGAAUGAUCUACAACUGUAUCAAAUUGUUUGAAACCAUCUACCUUCCCCACAGUUUUAUCUGAACUCAUGCUAGAAACUUGCUUCACGGAGACAUCAUUUUGAGUUUGUGUUUGAAAGUUUGAUGAUUCUGCUCCCAAAGAGAGACUAGAAGCGCUCCCUUGUUGUUGCAGAUAGCUAAAUCCCAUAUGAGACAUCAUUUUGCUGCUGGAAACUUGUGGAAGUAUCCAAGAUGAUGAUACCCCAAGAGGGUGGCUAACAUCAUCGUUUUGGCUCUUCAAGCUUGAACUACUUCCAGAAACUGGUUUUACACUCCUCGUGCUAAAAUCUGAUAACGAGAGACCCACUGGGAAAUGUGCUUCUAUUCCAGGAGUAACAUCCACUUCAUCUAAAUAAGCUGUCAUUUGGGCAUACUCAUCGAUAUCUAUAAACUCGUCCAAAUAAAGACCAGCAUAGUCACCACUGGAAUAAGAUGCACCAGAACUGGGACCAUAAAUGUCGAUCACGUUAUGCGAUGCUGAGGCAAAGCUGUUAGCAGCCUGAUACUUUGUAUCAAAAGAACUACUUUCAGAAACUGCACUUUUAGUACUCUUAGGUGGAUCAAACCAAGGGAUAGGUGGCAUAGGCGCCUCUACUCCAGGAGGAAAAUCCACAUUAUCAAAAUGGGAUUGCAAUUGGGCAUACUCGUCAACAUCAAUUACCUCAUCCAAGUAAAGAUCACCAUAGGCAACCUUAUGUGAUGCUGAGGAAGAACUCUUACCAGAACUAACAAAAUUAUUGGCCACAGCUCCCUGAAGAGGGCUGGCAUUAGUAAAUAUAUGCUAAAGAUCUUCACAGCAACAUUGAAUACUUAACGAAAACAUAAAGAUAAUAUUCUACAACGAAAGUAUGAAGUUAAUCAUAAACCUUAGCUUGAUGAUCAAGGUAAUCAUUGGAAGAGUAUUUUAUGGCCUUCUUUUCAUAACUUCUGCGAAAUCUCUUCUUAUUCAUAAACAUUGCAGUGUCAGAAUCUUCAUCAUCGUCAAUUUCGAUCACAUCAUGCACAACAGCCUAAUAAAUUCAUAAACAACAAAUAUAGACAUAGCAUAAACAAAAAAAAUAAGACAUAGGUAUAGGAGGAGACUAACACGUGCAUCAGAAAUUCUUUGAAAAUACUAGAUAAAUUACCAAAAGAGCAGCCAAACUUUAUACUUACUGAUACUGACACUUCCGUAACCAAAUCAUGCACUCUAUUACAGACAUGGUUAGUCUUGCAUGCUGAAGUAUCAAGUCAAUUAUUUUUGAUCAGUACAAUUUGAGAGAACUCAUUAUGUUUUGGUGGAACUGGUUAGUUCCAAAGUACUUUGAAUAAGAAAAUAGAGCAAAGAUUAAAUUGAUAAGGACAAGUUGUAAUAAACAUUGAAGCAUUGAAUGAAAACCUCCUAUAUGUGUAUAACCUAAAAGUUUUGAACGAAGGGUUCACCGAGCCUAAGCUUGUUCGUUAUGAUGACUUUCUUAGAAUUCGGGUCUUGAAUUCCAAGUAGAACAAGCGCAAAACAACACAAAAGGGGAUUCUUGACAGAAGACAGAGUACAAGAACUCCUAGGGUUUGUGCAACUCGCUCCUAGGGUUUGGGCAUCCUAAAAGCAUUAUCGAAAUUAACCUAAGCUGUAUAGAAGCCCAAACAAUCGCUAGUCACCGAAAACCUAUACAAAAAUUGCUGCAAUCCCCAAUCGAAUUUGAUCAAAACAGUAACAUGACAUGAGCUAAAACUGAUUUCGUUACAAGUAAUAUGAUCGGAAUUCAACAACUAAAGAAAACUGAUGAUAUCGAGUUCGUGAUCGAGUUAAGAUAAUAGUUAUAGCAAGUGUAUGAACGAGCGCACCUCUUUGCCUUUGCGCGGUUUCCGAGUCAGACUAACCGGAGGGUCGAUCACGACGACGUCGUCCUCGUCCAUGCUCCUAGAACUGCUCACAGUCUCCGAAAACAUUCGCUUCCUGAAAGUGAUAGAAGGAAGACAGAGUCUUGUUAUUAACAGAAGUAAAGAAUGAGAGAGAGAGAGAGAGAGACGUGGGAUUCUGAGGUGACCGCAGCGACUCCAUUAGACCGGCUUUUCGUACUUUCGCGGAAGAGAGGACGAAAAGGGUCAGUAGCCGAAACGCUCGAUCAGAAAGCUAUUAGACCGGCUUUUCGUACUUUCGCGGAAGAGAGGACGAAAAGGGUCAGUAGCCGAAACGCUCGAUCAGAAAGCUAAAGCUUAUAGAGGAAGAAACAAGAGCCCAUUUUCAAAGGAAAAAAGAAGAAGCAAAGAGCCCUAGAGUAGUAGAAGUACGGUCACUUGAGGACUGUGACGUUUUUUUUUAUUUAUUUGUUUUUUUUUUUUAUACGGAGGACUGUGACGUUGAUCGACGAGUUUCUUCUCAGCCAGAAACAAAGAUGCACCCAUCCGGGUGUCCAAAUGAAGGGACAAGCAUUUUAGGCUUCUGUUUCCACCCUGAGCCUGGCCUGGUGCCUAUGGUUUUGGAACUGGGCUCUUUGGACCAAACUGAUGGGCUCUGGCUCUGACUCUGUAGGGUUUCGGUUUUCGGAUCCUUGAGGAUCGACGUAGCAAAUCACUUUUAAGUCAUUUAUCUUUAUCGUGAGUCUCUGUAUUACGUUUACUUUUGAUUUUUUCAUAGUUGAAUAGGCUUUCGGUUUUUGGAUCCUUGAGGAUCGACGUAGCAAAUUAUUUUUAAGUCAUUUAUCUUUUUCGUGAGUCUAUAUACAUAUUAUGUUUACUUUUCAUGGUUCAAUUAAUAGGUUUGCUAAAAAAAAUGGGUGUCGGCAUUGAAAAUGCCUAGUAUCACUAUGGUACCAUCACAACUUAACUAUUUUUUUUAUCAGGGGAUUAUACAACUCAGAUAUUACAACUUUGUGAGUCAAACUCACAAUUUUUCACCUAUUAAGAAAAGAUUAUGCCGCUAGACCAAAUAGUACUGGGAGUAUGAAUGAAUGACUAUUUUGGCUUCAGGCAUGAUAAAAUCAUUGUGAUUUCAAUUUGAGGGGAAAACAAAAAAUCAAAAAUCAAAACUUGGCUUGCUAUUAAUGGAUUGAAGAUCGAUAUUAUUCAAAACCACAAGAUUAUUGUCGACAAUGUGUGUCAAUCUGCGAGAGACUUAAAGGAAAGGCUGGGUAAGGUUAUAGUCUGAAAGCUACAUACAUACAUCGCCUAUUGUAGGAUCUCGGAAGCAAGGACCCUCCAAAUUGAAAGGCUUCGAUCAUGUAGUGGUAAACUCAAGUCGGAAAGAUUCGUAAAAUCUCAUUUGUGGACAUUCUCUCAAAUAUUUAUAGGACUUUGACAGUUUAGAAUAAUGGAAAUGAAAGUGGAGAUCGAAGCAAUACUGAGGAAGACAGCUGCCGAUUAGAUUUCUCUAGCUUCCUAGCUAGUUGUGGAUAAAAAGAUCGAUAAGAAUGUAAGGCUAUGCUUCCUUUGGACAACGUUUCAAAGAAAAUUAAGACAAGCUAGCUAACUGGGGAAGGUAUUGCUUUGACAAUGACCAAGAAAGAUACUUCAAUUCUUUAUUUUUAACCCUAAACUCCUUACAACUUCAAGAAAUUUCCUUUAACUGUAGACUUUAGUGUUUAUAUUGUAAAAUGUGGUCGAUUCUUUUCAAUAAAUUAAAGUAGGUAAAGCAAUGGUGCAUGAGAAUGAGAACCUCUAGCACUGAUCAAUCGAUCAAGCACUUAUUGUACGUGACCCUUUAAAAAGUUCCUUAAUUAAUUAAUCAAAGUUGUAACUAAGAAAAUUAUACAGGUUGUUGUACGUAGAACUUUGGCCUAGAUAUAUAGCUCUGCAAGAUCAUGCCAUAUCAGUUCAACAAGAUGAAGAUUACUUGGUAACAUCCAUAUAGCUCAUAAUAUAUAAUUCAGUCCAGCUCUGAAACUUCAACGUACUCGAAAUAUUAGAUAUAACCAUUCUCUAAUCGAUCAAACUUGCUGCAUGCAUACCAACUUGAUGCUGUCGUCUUUACAAUACAGACCCAGAUUUAUGCAUUAACAAUUCCUUAGUUGUAAAUAUAUUAAUAUUAUAUGGAAAAUAAGCAUUUCGAUCUCAUUAAUUGGAAUACGUUCAUGUCGAAUGGUAAAUGCAGCAAAUUAAUGGGUAUUUUUAUCCGUCGGUUUUUCUUUCCGUCCAAUCAAUCAUUCGAGAUUUAAAGAUGUCAUAUACGUGGAAUCUGAAUAUGUGCUAGCUGCUGGUUUUCGAAAUUAACCAGAAAGAGAGAAAGGUAAAUGGCAAAACUGCAGAAGGAAAAAAGAUCGAGAAGUACGUAUAGGUAACAGGAAUAUUAUUAAGAAAAGUAAUCCAUGCUUUGUGACAGAAUAAUAUGUUCAUGGUUCUAUAUCAUGGCGCAGUUGUAGAGAUAUCAGAUCCACUUAUGGCGUUUGUUUUUUUUUUUUUUCUUUUUUUAUUAGAGAUCGAUCGUCCAUCGACUUAUGCUGUUGUCCAUAGCAUAAUGUUCAUGAUCUUUUCGUUUUAUCUAACUUGAAUUUCAUGCAUACAUAUAUAUCAGUAAUAUAACCACUUCGAGAAUCUAGUACUACGUUCUCGAAGUGGUUAUAUUAUAAAAAAUGACAUCUCACUAUCAUAAACAGUUGCAAAACACAGAAAACCCACCUUCUAAAGGAUUUAUACAAAGAAAGACGGAAGCCCAAACCCAAAACAAUACAACAUCAAACCUAAUCCAAAUUCUAAAUGCAUAAUGACCAUAAUACUCAGAAUUUUGUACAAAAUUACAGACCAUGCCCCACACUCUCUCUCUCUCUAACAUUCAAUUUCAUUUCUCUCUCUCUCUCUUUCUAACCCCAAAACGCAUCGUUUCGGUCUCUAAACCAUGGUGGUGGAGAAGCGUCCGCUGUAGAGCAGCAGCAACUCCAACACGGCAACGGCAAUAGACGGCAAGACGAUCGAGGAAAUGUACCAGAAAAAGAGCCAGCUGGAGCACAUCUUGCUCCGACCCGAUACCUACAUCGGAUCCAUCGAGAAGCACACUUUGGGUCUUCUACUUCACUUUCCCCAGGCAAUCUACAUACUUCUCUUCCUUUUCUCUAAAUUCGAAAUCCAAUUUUUGUUCAAGUUAUUGGAAUGAGCUAGAAUUUAAGCUAGUUUCUUCAUCUUUGUGCCUCAAUUGGUAUACGCAUGCGUUUCAAUUUUCGAUCUUGAUUGUAAAUUUGGAUCGAUUUCUUCAAUUUCUGCAUGUUUAGGGCUGUUUUUAACUAUCAGUGUAGAAUUGACUGCCUCCAUUUUCGGUUUCACUCGUCAUUGACUUGAUCAGCUUCUCAAUCUGCGUUUUUUUGUUUUCUGUUGUUUAUAUCAUGAUUCGGUUUAAGUUUCGAGCUUGCGAUUAUUGUUUAUGUAAAGGUGGAUGAAUUACGAUUUGCUUAGAAUCUCGAAUUUGUUUCGGCUGUGUUGUAGACUAGAUUUUAGGUCAUUCUUUGGUUAAAUUUUUGCAAUUGGAAUGAUUAAAUGGAAUUGAUUGUGCAGGGAUAGGAUCAAAAUCCGAGGAGCUGGUGGAAGAGAGUGGCCAUGGCUGCUUCAGAGGAGAAUAAUGCAUUAGUAUCCAUUACUAUUGUGUGUUGUUGUUGUUGUGUGCUGCUACUAUGCUACGUGUUAUUGAUUCAUGCUGCUACUGUGUACUGCUACUUUGUGUUGUUGUUGUGUGUUGCUACUUUGUGUUGUUGAUUCAUGUUGCUACUGUGUGCUGCUAUUACGUCUUGUUGUUGUGUGUUGUUACUGUGUUGUUGUUAUGUGUUGCUACUGCUUGUUGUUGUUAUGUGCUGUUAUUGCUUGUUCCUGCUAUGUGCUGCUAUUGUUGUUGUGUGCUGCUGCUGCUGCUACUACAUGUUGUUGAUUCAUGUUGCUACUGUUUGUUCCUGCUAUGUGCUGCUAAUGUGUGCUCUUCGUGUUGUUACUGUGUGUUGUUGUUGUGCGCUGCUACUACGUGUUGUUGAUUCAUGCUGUUGUUGUGUACAACGAAUUUGUGUUGUUGUUGUGUGUUGUUACUGCGUGUUGUUGAUUCAUGCUGCUACUACUUGUUGUUGUUGUUGUGUGGUUCGACUGUGUGUUGUUGUUAUGUGCUGCUACUGCUGCUGCUGCUGCUGCUGCUGCUACUACUACUUGUUGCUGCUACUGCGUGUUGUUGAUUCAUGUUGUUUUUAUGUGCUGCUACUGUGUGGUGUUGUUGUGUCGUGUUGUUGUUGUGUGCUACUACUACGUGUUAUUGAUUCAUGCUACUAUUGUGUACAACUACUUUGUGUUGUUGUUGUUGUUGUUGUUGUGUGUUGCUACUGCGUGUUGUUGAUUCAUGUUGCUGCUAUGUGCUGCUGCUGCUGCUACUUGUUGUUGUUGUUGUGUGUUGCUACUGUGUUGUUGUUAUGUUAACCCCUGCUACUACUUCUACUGGAAUUUAUUGCUAUUACUAAUGGGAUGUUAACCUCUGCUACUACUUCUACUGGAAUUAACUGCUACUACUAUUUAGAUGUUAACCCCUGUUACUAUUUCUACUGGAAUGUUAACCUCUGCUGCUGCUACUACUUCUACUGAAAUUAACUGUUACUACACUAAAUUAUUGAAAAUCUGCUACUGUAUUCCAUUUACUGAAAAAUCUCAAAAUGAGAGACUUUUCUCUUCUAAAAGUAUAUUUAAUUAGUGUAAGGUUAAUUUGAUAAAUUAAAUCAUGACACAUGACAUGUAGAGAAAAAAUUGUCCUUAAUUGUUAAAAACUGUCUUUAUUUGUUUAAUAACAACACAAAUGGUUUGCUAUUAAAAUUAAUUAUUCCCGAUUGAGUGCCAUCUUCACUAAUUAGUUGCAUGACAACUAAAUUUAUGAGAACUUUUUACGACGCUAAUCUAGUCCAAUCCAAUUGAGAGAGUUUGAGAGCGAGAGGAGGGGAAAGAGAUAGAUAUGUCAAUUGUGAUAUAAUCGAUAUGGCGUGUGUUUGUAGGGAUCGAUUUGGUCGUCUUGUUCUUCCACAAAAGAGCAACGAAGUUGACAUGAGAGGAGGAAAUGAGUCCAACGGCCAGCCCCUCUCCUCACCUCCAUUAAUUAUUAAGAUUCCUUCGGACCUUUCCCCGGAGACGUGUGCUUAUCUCAUGCCUGCGCAGGCCCCAUAAUCCUCAACCUGCAUGAGAAGUCGAAAUUGCCCUCCUUCUCCUCCCCUCCAUGCAUCUAUAAAUUGAGGAGCCAUAGCAGGGCUUGAAGAUAUAGCAAGCAAAGCAUUUUUUUCAUUACUCAGAAACAAAAACCCAGUUUCAGUAAAUCAAUUCCGAUCAACACCAUGUCUGGAAAGUGCGACAGCUGUGACUGCUCUGACGUUUCCCAGUGCACGUAAGUAGCUUCUCCAUCUUCUUAAUACAUGCAUGUUAAUUUGUUAGCUAGCUAGUAAUUAAGUUCUUCAUUUAUCAGAUUAGGAUUUCUUUUCUUUUGCUGAUCUAAGAGCGAUUGCUAUGAGAGGGUUAGGGUUCAACUACUCUCGACCGUGUUUGUGCAUAUGUUUAUAUGUCAUAUAUACUCGACGACUAAAACAAAAUAGCUCGUAUGUUUUGCUCUUAAUAUAAAUUAAGCAAGAAAAGUACUACUUGUGUUUGGUCGGAUUGGCUCAUAGAUCACCUUGAGCAAGAUAUACUCAUGUACCUAAAAUUUAUAUAUGAUGUUCAUUUUCUUUCAACCGUAAUCGGAGAAAAAAGGAAAAGCUAGGUUAAUUUAUAUACACACAAAUAUGUACAUGUUUUUGUUUAAAGCCUACCCAUAAACAUCAUUUGAAGUGUUUGAUUCUAUUCUGGAUAUGUUCUUAAUUUAAGGGAUCACAAUAAACUUUGUUCUCUCUGAAACUGCAGGAAGAAGGGAAACAGCUUGGUCAUUGUUGAGACCGAGAAGAGGUAACCACUCAAUUAAUUCUCCAAAUUAUAUAUAAUGUAAACAAUCUAAGAAUUAUUAGAUGUUUCUUAUAUAUAUCUUUGUUUUCAUUCCUGUUGGAGGAGGAAGAGCAACUUAAAACAAAUCUGAUUCUUCUUGCAGCUACGACACUGUUGUCAUGGAUGCACCAACCGCCGAGAACGGCGGAAAGUGCAAAUGCGGCACCACCUGCUCUUGCAUCGACUGCAAGUGUGGACAUUAAGCUCCCCUAUUCGACAACCAAUGGCUGCCAUAUAAUUAUUACCUAGUGAGAAGGAAAAAAGAAAGGAGUCUCGUCAAUAAAGGAUUCGUGAGAAUCAAAUAACGUACUCUGUUUAUUUGUGAUAGUAGUUUGAUCGAGUCUGUGAGUAAGUGAUCGAGUGAGAGACGUACUCUACUCUGUGUGUGUCAAUCAUGUUCGUGUUCUUUGGUAGCCAUGUAAUGUUCAUCUGGUCAUUAUCUGUGGCCUUGUGAUCAUGUUUAAUCAAUGAAAUUACUAUUAGUAUAUACAUGCUCCAUCUUCACUACGUACUCUUAAUCAGCUAGCUUUCAUACUAGUUAUACCCACGCCUUGGCGAGGUGUAAUAUCCACAUUAUGCAUAUUCCACAUAUGUAUAAAAGCUAUCACAAAAACAAUCUUUAUAAAACAAAAUAUCUAGCUAGUCUUGUAUUCUAUCUAAAAUAUAAAUGUUCCAAUUGUUUUAAUUUGUACGUACGUGUAUACAAAGCAAAAGAGAAAAUGAUAGAAAUAGUUCUGUGAAACAACCGGGUAUACUAAAUUAUCACGGUAAUAUAUUAAUAUCUAUAGACUCUUCUGUUUUGUGAGAAAUGUUGGAGCUAUUUCGAGAAGAGUCUAAAGAGUGUGAGAAAAAUGGAGAAAUGCUGGGCGAGAGAGAGAGAGAGCGCAAAGUGGACGGAAAAAAAUAAAAAUUAUACCUAGAAUUGAAACGAAUGGUAAAUACGGAAUUACAUUACCCAUCAGCAGGGUAAAAAGGUCUGCAGACUGUUCACAGUGCUUAUGAACAGUUAACCAAGUAAACUAUUCACAUGCUUAUGAACAGUUGACCAACAAAUGUAUAUAGUUAAAUAUGCACAAAAACAGAACAAUAGUGAAAGAGAUGAAACGAAACGGCGAUAUUCUCUGAGAUGUAAAGGCAAAGAGACAGGAGAAUAAAAAAAAAAAAAAGGAGGUCCGAAGAGGCAAGAUCCAUCCGGAAGAUUCAGGAGGCAGAAGAAAAGUCAAAAAUAGAGGGCAAAAAAUUCUUAGCCGAGAGAGAACCUAUCUAGAAAAAUCUAAAUUACCUAAUUUCCAAAAAAAAAAAAACUACUAUUUCAAAAAAAAAAAAACUGUUCACAUGCAUGCUUGUGAAUAGUCGACCAUGCUAUAGCAUAUAGGUAAAUUUCCUUUAAUUUGUUAUGUAUAUAGAUAUAGACUGCAUGUGUAUAUAUCAUUCUAGCUAAUUACUUGAACUUUUCAUAUAUUGGAUGAUGGCCGUGGCAUAUAACUCAAUCAGUAUCUUGUAUAUUGAAAAGGUGUUCUUUGAUGGAUUUAUGGUCUAGUUUGUUUCUCUGUAGUGUAGAAAAAACUUUUGGAUUGAUAUAAACGAAAACUUGAUCGAAUAAUAUAUUGUCGGCCGGUCAUAAAAUACCGAUGUCUUUGCAAUUGCUAUAGUAUGUGGUAAACUAGUUUAGUAAUUAGCACAUACGCCUAUAGACUAAUUGGGUGAUUGAUUGACUGAAAUGUAGAGAAAGAUGAAUGCACCGGUUAAAAAUUGGUUGGACUAAUUAGUGGGCCCCACACGCCUCACCAAUUUAAUGACCAAUUUUUGGUCACUUAAUCAGCUUGGCCAAUUGGUGGGAUCCACACCCAUCCAUACCUAUGUACAGCUCCCUCCAACGAUUAUAUACGACGUCCGGUGGCUCGUCCUCAUAACGUGGUCGUCGGACAUGAUGAUAAAAGAGCCUCUCUUGGCUGGUGAUGUGAAUGAUGGCGUAAGAUCCAUGAUGAGAUCAGGAGAAAGGGAGUACGCUGAGGGUCUCGAAGGUAUGCAAUGGCAGAAUGAUGGUGGAGGGAAGACCAUAUCCAUGCCUUGGAGUGACCGAUCGGAUCUCAAUCGAUCGAGGAUGAUAAAACCUUGCCAGAUCUUGUAUCUGGUUCAUGAGGGUCGUCGUCACGGGUCUAGCGAGAGACAUGGUUUGAAUGACGGUGUUGCACAGAUGGUACAAGCGCGACGGGCGAGGCGGUGCAACGGUGGUUAUGCAGCCGACACUCUCCUGGGCCGGGUGGGCCUUUCCCAAAGUCUUGGACGGAUCUUAGGGCUGGUUUCAUGUGUUGGGCCCAAUAUGGGCUGGUUUGCUUCUAGUUCUCUUUAUUUUUGUUUUUAUUGGUAAUUUAUUUUAGGAGUAAAUACUUGUGACACCUUGUAGUUUACACCUAAAAUUAGUUUUGUCCCUCACUUUUUUUUUUAAACUGGUAUACCCCUAUACUUUAAAUUCUCGACUGAUUUGCCCUUUUCCNNNNNNNNNNNNNNNNNNNNUUGCCCUUUUCCCAGCUGGUUAUGACUGUGACAUGCUCAUUAACAGUCUAAAUAACCCUUCACUCUUAUCUCUUCUAGUAUAGUAAUAGGGGGCUUAGACCUUGCUCUCAAAACCCAACCAUUGAAGCUCUCACAAGCAUUGUUAAUGAGCAUGUCACACUCAUAACCAGCUGGGAAAAGGGUAAAUCAGUCGAGAAUUCAAAGUAUAGGGGUAUACCAGUUUAAAAAAAAAGUGAGGGACAAAACUGAUUUUAGGUGUAAACUACAGGGUGUCACAAGCAUUUACUCCUUUAUUUUAUGUUUUCAAUAAAUCUUGAACAUUGUUUGGUCUCGAGAUGUGGGCGUUGUCCCGGUUUGCACAUCUUGCUUGUCAUGUCUGUCCGAGGUAGAUGGCGAGUUCCUUGCUUUGUCAAAUGGUCGCAACCUCCUAGUGGUAGGAUGAAAUUCAGUGUCACUGGUAAUAUUUUCAAGUGGCAACAUAGUAGGAAAACUGAUAGACAUAGUAACUUAUGGCUCUACAUGAGCAUUAUUUUUCCGGUAUGUACGUAUAUAGAACUAUGUACCAGUAGGAAAGUUUUCUACUAGUACAUAGUUAUUUCUGAAACUCCUAUAACUACUCCAUUAACUACUUCAUUAAUGGAGUAGUUAAUGAUACGUACACUUCUUGGCCGAGUGGGCCUUUCCCAAAGUCUCGAACGGAUCUUAGGGCUGGUUUUGUGUGUUGGGCCCAAUAUGGGUUAGUUUGCUUCUAGUUCUCUUUUACUUUUGUUUUUUAUUGGUAGUUUAUUUUAUACUUUCAAUAAAUCUUGACCAUUGUUUGGUCUCGAGAUGUGGGCGUUGUCCCAGUUUGCAUGCACAUCUUGCGUGUCAUGUCUAUCCGAGGUAAACGGCGAGUUUCUUGCUUUAUGAAAUGGUCGCAAUCUUCUAGUGGUAGGAUGAAACUCAGUGUCACUGAUAAUAUUUUCCAAUGGCAACAUAAUAGGAAAAUUAAUAGACAUAAUAACUUAUGACUAUGCAUGAACAUUGUCUUUCUGGUAUGUCGCCAAUAUUAUAAAACAAAUAGAGUAGUCAAUGAUACACUCUUUGUUAAAUGAUAUUUGUUAGAAUACAUAAGAUUGUUAAAUAUUAUUUCUAAAUAUUUAUGCAGAGUUUAUGCUUUAUGUCUCCCUUCGUACUGAUAUUAAUAGUUAAAGCACGAUAGUUAAGACACGAGAACGGCCGCCUCUAUUUAGAAAAAAAAAAAAAAACAAUGGGAGCGAACACACAUAACCCAAUCACUUACGAGAGAGUCCCUUAUUUUUGUAAGGGUAUAAUCGUCUUUGCAGCAUCUGUCUUCAACCUCUUUCUCACACACUCAGAGUCUCUGACCUUUCUCUCUUGACCAUAUUCGGCUGCAAUGCCCAUCUCUGGUUUCUGGAGAGCAAAGGUAGGAAUUCUUUCCGCUUGUAACAGUUUCUUCUUUAUGAAUGAAAUGCCUUCGUUGGAUUAAAAGAAUAAUUCCUAUUUCUGGUACUUGGGCCCAACUUCACAUCUGAGUUAGGGCUUUCUACUCAAGUUUUGUCUUUGUAAUCCACCUCCCAUUGCGUGUAGAGGAACGGAGAGCUCUUGUAGUUCAGGCACUUUGGCUUUUGUAGAUUCUCAGUUUGCAUUGCUAAUAGCCUCCAUGUCUUAAAGCAGCAGCAGAGACCAAAGUGUUCAAGCCAUCACAAAAGCAAAGACCAACAGUGUGCACGCCUCCCUGAUUUUCAGGUUCCGAUCUCUGUUCCCUAAUUUCAUUAUCUCACAUUACCCCCAGGGUUGGAUUUCUGUCCUCACUUGUUUUACAUACAUAGCUAGGUGAAUUAAGAUAUUACUCAUAUUAGGAGCUUAGAUAAUAACUCCAGGGAAAGAGCUUGCAUUUGAUAGCCUUCAAUUUCAAGAUUACAACUUUGAUCUUACACAAGGGAAAAUCAACACACUUUUAGAUCUUACAUUUUGUUAUUCAAACCCACAAGGCUAAUUGUUCAAAACAUGAAAGAAAGACAAGAUUACAGUGUGUAGAAACUAUAUGACUUGCCAGAAAUGGAAGAUCAUUUUGGCAAUUCGGCUUCACUAGUUGUAGGGACCUUCUCAUAUGAACCCAGCUCUCUCAACUUCUUAGGAAGAAAGCAACGACCCCCGAACUUCUGUUGCAAGAAGAUUAUCACAGCAAACAGUAGGCAUCCAAUAGGAAUGGUGACAUCCCAAGAAGUAGAGUAGAAGUCUGCGACAGGACUUGCAUAAAUGUAUGGGAUACCAUGUUCGUGAUGAACAGAGUUGUCAGUCCUGUAAAGGUCAUAAGCAUGUGGCAGAACUCGAACCGAGGUUGUCCCAAUGUAGAACCAAACAGAUAGAGCUCUUUCCUUUGAUUUGCAGACCAUGUUGAGAAGAAUUUGAGCAAACAGAAAACCAUCCAAGACCAAACCAGCAUAGGAUUUCAAGGUACCCAAAAUGGUAUGUACAUGAUUGCUAGAUUUCAUUAGAAGACCCAAAGUAACUAAAACCCCAAUGGCAUACACUGGUAAAGCCUUCUUUUCCGCAUCCCAAAGUUCAUUUUGCUUCCCAUUUGCUGAUCUUGCUGACCAACUCUGCUGCAGAAGACGGAAUUGCAGCAAGAAAGCUACCAUCGUUACUAACCUUACAAUUAUCUCAUUAACUUCAAGCCAUCCACCACUUCCCAGUAACACAUCUUGGCGGUUGGUGUUGUGAGUGAACAUGGCAUCAAAAUUUAGCAUAAGAGGUAUCAUGUAGCCAAGGGUCAGAAUUAAUAGCAUUAAGAUGGAAAUAGAGGGAAGCACAUCAGGAUGUUUUUUCACAUGGAAGAGUUGUACUGCGACAAAAACACAUGCGAGUGUUGUUGAUAUAAGAACCAAUGUGAUCUCCAUAUCCAUCCUCCAAAUGGAUCGUUCUGCUUCAAUCAGGUAAUCAGCAGCUGAAUUUAAAGCCAAUCGCUCGAAAUGAAGAGGAUCAGACUUUUUUCGUGUGCUUUCAAUGCUUACCUCAAUAUAACCUGUAUUGUUACUGUGUUGAUUUGUUGGAGGGAACUGAAAAUUGACAAGAAUCUCACAAUCUACAGAAUCUUUAGUGGUCUGUUGAUUACUGUUGAAGCCAACAUCUCGACAGCCUGUCAUGCACAGGCUUCCUUCUACAGCAUCAUAGAGCCCUUCUGCUGAAAUCUGCAUUUCCUUUGUUUGUAUUGUAUGGCCUGACUUUCCAGCAGAUUUCUCCAGCAGUUCGAUGUUUAUUCUGUAGCUAAUAUUGGUGGGGUUGCUACAGUUGUAGCUGUAUCUCAUCACAGGAAAGGAGCUCAAAGGAGCUAGAGAGUACCUUACAUCUCCAAUUGCAUUUGAAUAUUGUGUUGAAGAUAAAUACUGCUCAUAGAACUGAUUGCCAACAGAAAGAGGAUCAGAAUUUCCCCAUGCACCUUGUCCUUUAGAACUUUUUGCUGACAUAUCGAAUUUCAUGUCGUAAGAAAACGGACUUGGGUACAUGUUUCUCUUCUGAUCAUUAGCAGCAGACUUCUUUUUUGGGCACAACUUAGUUACCUGGUCUAUUUUAGUAUACACAUAUUUUGGCCCUGGAACUAGAACCCUUCCCGCCUCACUCUGACGAGUUUGAAAUGUGAUCUUGUCAAAGUAACCUGACUCAGUCUUGGAUUUGCUGCUCCAAAUAUGCCCCACGACACUACUAGUGUCUCCGAUUGUCCAUAUUGCAGGAAAUCUCAUGCUCAAUCUAGUUGAACAGUCAUCCACAUGAGAAUUGUUGAAAGAAUCUGUUACAGCCUGGAAGAAUUUACAAGCAGCAAAUUGUAUUCGACUUUUUUGUGCAUCCCAUGAGCCUUCCGCGAUGAAACUUGUAUUGGGGUUGAAAGGCCUCUGAUACCAGUUGUUGCUACUGUCUGAAAAUUCCACCAGUACUCUCAACCUUCUAGUAUACUCUGUACACUCGAUAUCCUUGAACGACAGCAGACGGGGCAAAUGAUCAGAUACGCCAAGUGGAGUGCAGUUCUUUGCAGAAACGCACUGGCUUGAAUAUUUGAGAUCAAAUUCAUACUUUAGUACUACUGUUGAGAGUUGUGAACAAAAUCUCUCCAAGUGCAAAGAACUAGGGGGAUCAUGAUCAUCAAUUCCAACAGAAGAGCUGUUAUCAUUAGAGUUAUUUGAAACCCAAGUAUACUGGUAGUUCAUCUGAGGAAGCAACAAAAUAGAAAUUGGAUCAAAAUAUUUUGCAUCCUUGAUCAUAUCAGAACCGCUGAUCAAACUCUCUAAUGUUCCAGUAAUCAAACUUGUAAUAUUAGUGGAAUUCAUGACAUUAUAGAGCUUAAGAACAGCAGGAUAAUGAAGCAUAGUUUUCCAGUAAGUGUGACCAUAACCAACCAUACAAAGCUUCCCAGAAGAUUCUGACCAGAACCCGUUGAGUCUAAAGCUAACUGACCUUUGAUAUGCUGGAUUUGAUCGAGUCCUGUAGCCUGGAUAAGGCUGGCUGCUGCUGGAGUUUCCUACAUAGUAUAACAUACUCGCCUUUUCCACAUGAAGAGUUGCUCCUAACUUGAACAAGCCUUCCACAUCAGUUGCUUCAAAAUUCCAUUUGCUGAAUUCAAUUGAAUUACGAACUUGUUGAUGGUAAAACGAUGAGUUGCCAUUAGGACUAUUGGCAGUGUCACCAGCAGUGUAGUAGUAACCUGUAUGGCUGAAGGCAAAGGGAUGAAGUCCUCGAUAUAUUUUUGAGUUUGCUUCAGGAACAACUGAAGCACAGUGAUCCGCAUAAGCGAGUUCAUCGUGUGAAACAGAGGAUGAGAUUAAAUUCAAUGAUAGGGAGGUGAAAGCAAAGAAGAUCAUGACAACUUGACAAGCUUUGGCUUUCUGAGGAUAGUCAUAGCUUCUCUGUUAGUAUUUAUGUUUUGGGAGAACGGGAGAAGAAGAACAAUAGGCAAUGCAGUUUUGAAAGGUUGUGAUGGUUCUUAUGUACUAAAGACAGUCUGAAGUACCAGGUCAACCUUCAUCCACUACUACCUAGUAUUACCACAGUCCAGAAGUUAUUACUGAUAGUUUAGAUGAAACCAAUAGACCUAUUUUUUACUUUCCCCAAGUUAAUUUCAUAACAAAAAAUUAAUCAUUUUUCAAGUCUAGUGUAAAAAACAUUUACCCCAACACAGUGAGUACAUUAACCUUUACCAAGAAGGGCUGUUGGGGACGCAGUCGGGACUGCCAUUCCUAUUUUGUUACUCACCAAGAUAAGUGUGAUUAGGGUAUAUGGAUUCCAUAAGACUCAAAGAUGAUAGCUUACACAGUAAUGAUAUUUUGUCAUAUCUUGGCCCUUGUAUUGGUUUGAACUUUAAAGAUUCCAAAGUUAUCAUAGGAUUUGUAUCAUCUGGUCAGCUGGUCUUAUCCCAAGUCAUCAUAACUUGGAAAAUGUUGGCAUGACAAUACAUCGCUAGUAGCUUUCAUUUGGACCAACUUAGGGUCAGUAGUCUAGAUUGAAAUUCUGAUAUUAUUUGUUCAAGCUUAUAAUAUGUUCAGUAGCAUAACUUCUUAUCAUCCUUUUCUUUUGUCUUAGCAUACAGAAUAAAAGUUGUUUUCCUUGCAAAUUUUCUUGUUUCUGUGAAGUAAACAGAGUGCAUAUGUUAAAAGGUAGAGUCCAAUGGCAGUUCUGACUUCUGAGCAAAGAGUAUGAAAGAAAAACAAAAUGACUAGACUUUGACUGACUCUAGUCCAAUUGGAUGAGCAGAGCAUAGAGGUUGUUGAUAUUUUCCUUCUUGUCGAUCAAUCCCAUAAACUUGUUCUGAGAAGUUUCCUUGUUUUUGGGUCCAUAACAAAGUACAUAUACCAUUGGUAACUCCGGUGCUUUAAUUAUUUCAAUGCCUCUAAAUGUAACUACAAAACAUCACCAAAGUAUUAUGCUGAAUUUGAUGCCAUAUGUAUAUAGUAAUAACCCAUGUCCAUAUUGGUAUUGGUAUUGCUGUCUCCAUCUUAGUACUAUCUUUCUCAGGAAGCUCAGCCCUGAAUGAGUUUAAAGUUGUUAUAUCAUUGCUCAUAUAUUAAUGUUUCCUAAAGCUCAACGACUACAAAAAGAAAAGAAAAGAAAGUAUACACGAAAUGGAAAAACGCAUGCUGAAUAAGAUGAACUGAUGGAUUUAUAUCCUGUUUCAUUAUCGUAUUAGUUCCUUAGUUAUGUAACUUGUAUUUUUGCAUUGCUUUUUGUUCUUGCUUUUAUUUUAUUUGAUGUAUCUUUAAAUCUUCCAGUACGGAUAUAUCCACACACAAAGACACUAACAUGAUCGCCAGUAAGCAAAACUAGCAUCUCAUAAUCUUAAUUUGUUCAACCACCUUGUGUUUGAAUUAUUCUGUUUCAUUCUAUGCUGCAGCUAUUCAAGUCCUUCAUGGUCACCAUUGCAUCUCAUUUCUUCCUGAAUCACCUUGUUCCAAUGGCAGACAAAUAAUACUACACUGGUGGUGACAGGGGCAUUGCUGAGCUCUGAUCUGCCUUUCCAGAUAAAUCAAAUUUCCAGGUACUUUUUCGAGUUUGCUUGCCUCUUUGACAGUAUACAUUAAAUAACUGGCAUAUGGAUUUUUGCUCUUCACUUUGUAUGUAUUUAUUUGCUUUAUAGCUAAGUGCAUCAAGUUUAGAAUAAAACUUGAGUAUUCAAUCAACUAAGCGCCUUCCUAAUUAGUCUUACGUUGCCACCUAAUAGUUUCAACUGACUUUGUUGCGUGAGGAUAGUUUGAUAUCAUAAACUUUUGAAAUUAGAAGGUUUCUAUUAUACGAGAUAAAAGUGGAAGUGCAUACAUUAAAGCGGAUAAAACUAAAAGGCUUAAAUCUUACAUUCUUCUUUUUCUUCAAUAUACCAAAAGCCUAGGCAUUUUAAAUAGGAAAGGAAACAAAGGGGUCCAGAUAUGAAGUCUGUCCAAUUCUGUCAUUGACUAUGAUUGAGCUUCCACUGACCAUGAAUACCAGAAAUGGAGUGCUACACUAGAAUACUAGAUUACCUUGGCAACUCAUCUUCGCUAACUGAAGGGACUUCCUCAUACAAACCCUGCUCUCUCAACUUUUUAGGAAGAAAGCAGCGACCCCCAAACUUCUGCUGCAAGAAAAUGAUCAGAGAAAACAGUAGACCUCCAAUAGGAAUAAUUACAUCCCAAGAAGUAGAGUAGAAAUCUGCAACAGGACUGGCAUAAAUGUACGACUCAUCAAGUUGUUGAUGAGAGCUGUGAGUCCUGUAAAGGUCAUAAGCAUGUGGCAGCACUCGAACCAAAGUCGUUCCAAUGUAGAACGGAAUAGACAGAGCCUUUUCCUUUGAUUUGCGGACCAAGUUGAGUAGAAUUUGAGGUAACAGAAAACCGUCCAAGACCAAACCAGCAUAAGAGUUUAAGUCCAUCGAAGCACCAAAAAAUCCAAUGAGAUACAGCGGUAAAGCCUUCUUCUCCACAUCCCAAAGCUCCUUUUGCAUCCCAUUUGCUGAUCUUGCCGACCAUGUCUGCUGCAGAAGACGGAAUUGCAACAAGAAAGCUACCAUUGUUAUAACCCUUACAAUUACCUCAUGAACUGCAAGCCAUCCACCACUUUGCAGUAACACAUCUUUGUGGUUGGUGUUGUGAGUGAACAUGGCAUCAAAGUUUAGCAUAAGAGGUAUCAUGUAGCCAAGGGUUAGAGUCAGUAGCAUCAGGAUGGAAAUUGCGGGAAGAACAUCAGGAUGUUUUUUCACAUGAAACUGUUGUAAUGCCACAAAUACACAUGCAAGAGUGGUAGAUACAAGCACCAAGAUGAUCUCCAUGUCCAUCCUCCAGAUGGACCGUUCUGCUUCAAUCAUGUAACUGGCAGCUGAUGACAAAUCCAAUCGCUCGAAAUGAAGAGGAUCAGACUUUUUUCGUGUGCUUUCAAUGCUCACCUUGAUAAAACCUGUAUUAUUACUGUGCUGAUUUUCUGGAGGGAACUGGAAAUUGAUAAGGAUGUCACAAUCUACAGAAUCCUCUGUAGUCUGGUGAUAAUUGUUUGAGCCAACAUUUCGGCAGCCUACCAUGCACAGGCUUCCUUCUGUGUCAUAUAUCCCUUCAGCAGAAAUCUGCAUAUGCGUUGACCUGUGUUUUAUGAUAUUGCUCGAAUUUUGAACAGAUCUCUCUAGCAUUUGAAUGCUUAUUCUGUAGCUAAUAUUGGUGGGGAUGCUGUGGUUGUAGCUGGAAAUCAUCAUAACAGAGCUCAAAGGAGCCAGAGAGUCAUCUUCAUCUUCAUUGAUUGCAGCUGAGUUUGUAUAUUGCGUUGAAGAAAGAAGCUCGUCGUACAACUUAUUGCCGACAGAGACAGGUUCAGAAUAUCCCCAUGCAUCUAAACCCUUGGAACUGCUAGCUGACAUAUCAAAUCUCAUUUCAUAAGAAAUAGGACUUGGGUAAGCAAUGGUCUUGUUAGGAGCGGAUUUCUUUCUUGGGCACAACUUGUUUACUUGAUCAAGUUUUGUAUACUCAUAUUUGGUGCCAGGAAUUAGAACCCUUCCAGCCUCACUCUGUUGAGUUUUGAAUGUGAUCUUUGGGAAGUAACCAGACUCCGUCUUGGAUUUGUUGCUCCAAAUAUGCCCCACAACGCUACUAGUGUUUUCGAUUGUCCAUGUUGUAGGAAACCUCAAGCUCAAUCUUGUUGAGCAAUCACCCACAUGAGAGUUAUUGAAAGAAUCUGUUGAACCCUCUAAGAAAUGGCAAGCAAUAAAUUGUAACUGAUUUUUCUUUGCAUCCCAUGAGCCUUCCGCAACCAAAGUUGUGUUGGUAUUGAGAGGCCUUUGAAACCAUAUGUUGCUGCUGUCUGUGAAUUCCAGCAGAACCCUCAAUCUUCUUUCACUUUCCCAGCAAUCAAUUGACUUGAUCGACAUGAGUCGAGGCAAUUGAUCAAGCACUGCAAGCGGAGUACAAUUCCUUGCCGAGACACAUUUGCUUGAAUAUUUGAGAUCAAACUCAUUAUAAUGUACUACUGAGAGUUGUGAACAAAAUCUCUCUAAUUUCAAAGAACUAGAGGGAUCAUGAUCAUCAGUCUCACCGAAAGAGGUGUCCUCAGUAGAGAUAGUGUACUGGUAGUUCAUCCGAGGAAGCAUCAAAAUAGAGAUUGGAUCAAAAUAUCUUGGAUCCUUGACAAUAUCAGAACUCGGGAUCAGAGACUCUAUGGUUCCACUAAUCAAACUUGUAAUAGUGGUGGAAUUGGUGAGAUUAUAGAGCUUAAGGAUAGCAGGUUGAUUAAGUGAAGUACCUUGAUUCGUGUACCUACCAUAUCCAACCAUGCAAAGCUUCCCUGAAGAUUCUGACCAGAACCCGUGGAGUCUAAACCAUCUUGGAUCUGCAUGACUUGAUCGAGCCCUGAAGCUACUCCUAGUUGUGGAGUAUGUUCUGCCCUUUGGAAAUAGAACAUUUGCUUGGAGCUUGAACAAGCCUUGUACAUCAGUUUCUUCAAAACUCAAGACACGGAAUUCAACCGAGUUUCCGAGCUGAUAAUGACCAUAUGAUGAGUUCCGACUAAGACCACCAUUGACAGUGUCACCCACAGUGUAGUAGUAACCUGUAUGAUGAUAUUCAUCAUGGGGAUGAUAACUGCGGUCCGUUUUCAGGGUUGAUUCGGGAACAAAUGAAGCACAGUGAUCAGCAUAAGAGAUUUUCUUAGGUACAGCAAAGGAUGAGAUUGAGUUCAAAGAAAGGGUGUUGAAAACACAGAAGAAGAAUAUGACAAGCUUUGGCUUUCUGAAGAUAGUCAUAGUUCUUGUGAAGAGAAGAAGAUGUGCAAGAUGAAAAGGUAAUGCAGUUUUGAAAUGUUGUGAUGCUCUUAUGUACUAAACAAAGUCCCAAGUGCCUGGUUAACCAUUAUCCACUACUAGUCUACUACCAAGUCUACCCUGUCCAGAAAGAAUUUGGCCAGUUUAGUUUAAAAACCAAACUCUGAUCAGUGUUUCACUGUAUCACAAGCUUCUACCAAAACCAAAAUUAUCCAUUUGCUGAGUGUCGUUUAACAAAUUGAACGUCUUAUCCUGCCUACUAAACACAUUCUCCUCUCGAAAGUUUCGUUGGGGAGCAACUGCAACUGUCUAUUUUUUUUUCCUAUUUACCAAACUAAAGUAUGAUUAGAUAAGAUAUAAGCAUUCCGUAACACUCAAAAAUAACUGGAAGAAAUAAAAAUUGUUUAUACAAAGGGUGAAAGUAUAUGCAUUGUGGUAUUUUCGUGUGUCUUGAUUCUUGACCCUUUUGUUAGUUUAAACUUUAAAGUUUGAACAUUCAAAGGUAUAACAUAAAGUUGAUUAAUUUUUGUCUGUGCUGAUCUCAAGUCUUCAUUGACUUGGAAAAAUCUUGGCAUGCCAGUUUCUUCUUGGCGUCGCUAUCAGCUUUUGAUUUGGACCAACUUGGGGGUUAGGGGAUGUCAAAGAUGUAAUUUUAUUUUUUGUCAAAUAACUGGAAAAUAUUGAAAGGUUUAAGUUCCAGUUUGUUUACUUUGCUGAAACUUUGCUCUCAGUUUUCCUUUGUUGUGAACAGAAAUCUUGCCAAUCGGCUUUCGAAAAUUACACAUUCAGAAUCAGACAUAAUAUGGUCUAAUCGAUCAACUCUACUCCAUGGAUUUUCUAAUUUGUUCAUUAUUAGAACUUCUUGUCAUCAUCUUGUUAUACUUAAAUAAUUAUUUGCACCUUUAGUUUCUUGAUUUUGAGCAUUAAGUGCAUAGAUUAGAAGAAGAGGUUCUAAUUAAUAGCAAUUCUGAAGAAGAGGAUAGGAACCAGCCAACCAGGAAAGAAAACAAAAUUACAAGACUUUGACUGGUUGUAGUCCACCUUGAACAAGCAGAGCAAGAGAGGUUGAUAUUUUCCUUGAUCAAUGAUCAAUCCCAACAACUUGUUCUGAGAAAUUUCCUUGUUUUUGGGUCCAUAUAUAGCAAACUAAUGCCAGUGCCUUAAAUUAUUUCAGAUUGUAACUGCAAAAUGUCACCAAAAUAUUAUAUUGAAUUCGUUGCCGUGUGGAAUAAGGUAUUAACUUAUAAUCAUGGAGAAAAUUGUCCAAACAGUGUCUCAUUUUUCAGAGAAACAAAACUUUGGUAUCUUACAUUUAAAAAAUUUCAAAACGGUAUCUCACGUUCGUAAAACGGUAUCUCAUCUUUCGUACUUUAACCUAAAAUUGAUAUUUAGAACUGUUUACUCCAUUAAAAAUAUUGACGACUAGAGGGUACUUUCGUCCUUUCAUCAUAUCAUUUUUUGUUUUUUCCCUCAAAACAUUUUUUCCUCUCCCAAGCUUGUUCUGGAGUUGAGCAAGAACAGAAGCUCGAAUCAAACAGAAUCUACCUUGUGAAAGGUAUAAUAAGGAGCCCAGACAUAUGUAAUAUUUUCCGAUUAAUCAAAUUCCUCGGUUGUUAAAGCCGAAAGAUAUCGGUUUGUGAGGAAUGGUGGGUUUAAGAAGUACAAAGCUGAAUUCGGAUCCGGAUUUCGAACCUACGGGUCCUAUGAUGUUAAAUCAAGAAAGGGGUUUGGUAUCAUGUCUGACAUGGUGAAGAAUUUCCAAUGGAAGAAACGUAUGAACAAGUAGAUAUUUUUAGAACCCAGAUUUCCAUUCCAGUGACAGAAGAAGAAGACAAUCCCCCAUGGCCCCAUCCCCAAUUCCAAAGCCAACAAACUUAUUUUGAAUAAAAGUUGUGUUUGAGCCCAGCGGGGAUUUUGGUCCAAAACUCCCUAUAAGUUUUGUAUAACAUUUGGGUCAGUACUUGUGACCUUUUUUUAAAUAUGAAACCUAUGUAGGGUGGCGAGCUCUGACAGCGUGCGAGGUGGAAUUUGUCAAGGACUCCGAUACCUCGCGAGAUCCUCGUUUCAGUUCGCGUAGGAUUCUGUAGUGCAUGGCGAGGUAGAGUUGGAAAGAGACUGUAGCACCUCGCGGGAUAAGAUCGCUUAGUGUUUGAGUUCGCAUACAACGCUAUAGUAAGAUGACGCGGGGUGGUGAGUGAGACCUAGGCGAAGUCUGUUCUGGACACGUGUCACAUGGAUAGCACGGUUCGCGGGCUGGCCGUAUCCUUGUGAGAUUCUAAUUGCUGGGUCCGAGUGGGUUUGUGAUUGUAUCUCUACCAACUGCUCGCAAGUCACUAUAUAAGGGAACUUGAGGAUCUGGUUCUGCACACACAAUCAAAUCAAACAAAAAACUACAAACGAAUCUUCGAGCAUCCUCGAAACCCUAAAGUUCUAAGUGCACCUCGCCUUAGUUCUCAGAGCCCGUUCGGACUCACCCUUUCUUCCUGAUUAUUGCUCUGCUCGUUCUAACAGUGAGUAUCGAUUCAUAGGUGAACAAGAGGUUUGCUCGUAAUCCCUCGUCCGCAAGGUGGCACCGAAAACCCUUUUCGCUUGAUUAGAAGUCUAGCACAGCGUACUCAUUCCGCGCCCUCGCGGUGGCACACCCCGCAAUCUUGUUUUUACUUUUGACGUGUCCGGAGUUACAACUCUACCCCUGCUGAGACGCGUGGCCAAAACAUUGGCACUCCCAGUGGGACUGGGAGUAUAACAUUCUUGUCAUCAUUGGGAAGUCAGGCGGAUCCCCGUACGGGAGACCUUCGAUUUCUUGUCUCAAACAUAAAUCAUCGCGGUACAAGCCCCAUAACAGCGCGGCUUGCCGAUCUCUCACCCAAGAAGAGGUUUUUGCUCAGUUUGGCAACCCCGACUGUAGCGAAAUCACAAUGACAGGUUCACAACCAAGCCAGGACCCAGGAUCUACUCCGCCUACGGAGGAAAUCCGCUAGAUGUUUGAAGAACUGAAAGGCCGAUUUGAGGCCACUGCUUCUGUUAUCCAACAGAGCGUCACCGACCUAGCGGAACAGGUCAAGAGGGACAAGGUCCUUUGGGAAGCAGACCAGCACAACCUCGCCAUACUCACCGAGGAUUUCAACCAAUUUGCAGGCGAAGUAAGGGAGGACAAGGAUUUGGUCAAAGGGUCCCUCUAGCGAAUCCAGAAGGAUUUGAACGAUAACACAGAGGCCCUGAAGCUUACCCGCGCAACCGUGGAUGAGCAAACCUGCCGUUUGGACGAGCACGACGUAAAGAUACAACAACAGCAGGACGCUUCCUUCUUCGGAAGUAAGAAUGGCAUGGAAAAGCUCGAGGACUACAAAGAACGACAUGAUAAUCUGAGCUUAAGGGUCCUGCAAGUGGAAGAUUGGGUGCGGUCUCAGGCACCAAAGAAUCAUGCUCUGAACUUAAAUAGUUCAGGUGCAACUGAGGGUUCAAGGUACAUUCCACCUAAUGAACGCCCUAGGGGAAAUCCGAAGGUCGGGGCCCAGAAGACUCCCCAAUUCACAUUAGGGGCCAGUUCGUCAAAGACGCCACCCUUUCUACCUCCGCCGAACAGCCCUAGAGUCACACUAAGGGGCGCUGUUAGUUCUCCAUAUCAAGGGACCGGGACACCAGAUGACCCAGUUAUAGCUUAUUCCAGUUCAGCCUCUAAGAACAUCGUGUAGGCCCCUAGCCUCUCUGCAUGGCAUAACCACGAUCAGGGGGCAGAGUCCACACCAGUAACGGCAGCCGAUUGGCGCCAGCUCAUCUCGAGCAUAGUCAAGGAGCAAACUGGAAAAGGUGACGCUAACUUGCACUAUCGUAACCCCUACCCUGAUAGCGUGGCACAAUAUCCCUUCCCGCAGAGGUUUAAGAAUAUUGUCUUCACAACUUUCUCUGGGGAGACAAGAGAGGAUGCAGCAACCUAUAUGGCCCGCUUCAAGGUCCAAUGCAGCCAGUACAGGAAUGAUGAUACUCUCAAGCUCAAGCUUUUUGGGACUUCUUUGUCCGGAGCUGUUUUCUCCUGGUACUCUAGAUUGAAGCCUGGGUCAAUAGCAGACUGGCCCACUAUGGAAAGACUUUUUCGAGAGACAUAUAGCACGAUUGAGCCAGAAGUUGGCCUCGAUCCUCUCACCCAGAUGAGCCAGCAAAGCAUGGAGCCCGGAGUUUCUUUCCUCCAACGCUUCAAGAUCCAGCAAGCCAAGUGCGAUUACUUACUACCUGAGUAGGAGGCCACUAAGUUGGCUAUUAGAGGCCUGGAACACCGCCAGCGGUUGAAGCACCACAGAGAGCGCUUUACUUCCAUGGGAGACCUGAUUAACAAAGUUGGCAGCUAUGAGCUAAUCCUGAACGAGCUGGACGACAAAGCAAAUGCCUCCAAAGGAUCUUACUCCCACUUGGGGAAAAAACCGAGGGCCGGGGCAAGUGGUCCGCUCGAUGGGAAGGACCCUUCAUUAUUCAUCGUAUACGCCCCAAGGGGGCAUACCACCUGCGCGACCUAGACGGCACCAUUCAUCACAAUCCUAUUAAUGGCCGUUUCCUCAAGCGACACAUUGCUGGAGUUUAAGAACGCGAGAAUCCUCCACCUCCCCCAGAACCCGCAACCACGGUCAAUAGUGCUACGCGCCAUCGCGUUCUUGCUUCGUCGCCUAGCACUAGGGGGCAACCCGGGAUAGAAGAUUGAAGAAAACAUUGUAACGUACCAGCCUAAUAAGGCCAGUGCUAGAUUAGGGCCUAUUCCAGAGGCCCUAAAAAAUAAGAUAACUCUAUUUAUUUAGUUAUCAUUUUCUUAUUUUCUGUAAACGUGCAAAGUCUAAACACAAAGACAAGUACAAGAUUGGGGCCUAUUCCAGAGGCCCUAAAAAAUAAAUUCAUUUAUUUUGCCUUUUUUUGGCGUUUCUAAUACAGGUUUCAUACGUGGCUUUGCGGCCGAAGAGAUUACAUUGACAGAAAGGAUGAAAUCUGACUAUGUUUACAUUCAAAAGCGUAGAUCUAAAGAUAUUGGAAACCUCAACCCGCAUAUCUUGCAGGGUUGAAGAAGAGGCCGCCGCCGCGUUCUUCGGUUGAGGCUGGCGAACGUCCCGCCUCCUCAGGACAGCACAAGCUUCGACACCGGCCCAGACCUAAGACAAAUUGUUGAGAAGCUAGAGGUCUACUGGACCUGGGUCCCUCAUGCUACCAGUCACGCCUCGAAGGUGCUUCAAGGGCACUGGCCAGGGCCUAAGGCGCAAGUGGGUACGGAACCUCGAAAACCUCAAGUUUGGACAAAAUAGCUGGUGCAAGGCAGAAGGUACCCAGACCAUUUGUUUGUCCAAACAAAGGCUUGGCCUGAGAGUAGAUUUUCAGACUCACUCCCGGCUUGAGAGUAGAUUUUCAGACUAAAAAGGAACGAAGGGUGAAGUUGAGAAAUGGGGGUUUUGCUUUAAGCAAGGACAAUAGGAUAAGUAGAAGGGAAGAAGAAUCCAUGGCAAUGGGUGCAAAAGACUGGCUGAAACCCAACCAAGAGGUUCUCUUUUAUAGGCAAAAGAGGCCGAUUUUUUUCUUUGACAAAUAACCUGCAUGCAGCGAUUUGCUCCGAGAUAUGAGUUUUGGAGAUAAGGUCGGACACGUUGUUCCAUGAUGACUGCCCGCGUUCCAAGCAAGCAAUUACAUUGGAAACCUUCACCAAAUCUCAGAAGAAGAUUUUUUCCUGAAAAAACAGCUUUUACACAAGGAAAACUCGACAAGAGAGGGAAAGAAUAUAGAAAUCUAAGAGGAGGCCUUCUAAGGCCAACUCCUCAACAUCCACCUAAGCUUGGGCUUCGUCCGCAGCAGCAGUGGCCGAGUCCAAAGCUUCCUGGGUCUCUUCUGCGGCCUGCACAUGGGCUUCUGCAUCUUCAACAUGCGCCAGGUUCCGGUGAGCUUGAGCAAGUUGAGUUUGCAGCUCCGCUAUCUGAGUUUCCAAGGCCUCCACUUGCCGGGCAUAGACAGCGCAUGGGUUAUCUGAAGACGCCUUAGGAACAACAACGUCUUCAAGCUCGGCAAAGAGGACCAUCAUUUGGUCGUCCAAAGCCUGGCGAACUCUCUCCUAAGCCGCUGAUUGAGCCCCCGCAUCCUGAACUCGGCAGGCCUGCAGCUCGACAGCGUCAAUAAGCUCCAAUGCAUGGUGUAAAGCGGGGGUGCUGCCGGCGAAGUGGCGAACCAGAACUCUAUGGGCCUCACGAGCAUGCCUUACCAAGUCAAACACAUUCAUGUGGGGGCCUUGGCGCAGCAGCCUGUGAAGAAAACUCCGAGCUAGAGGAAUUGGCUCUAGAUCAGCAGGCGGAGUUACCCGAGCCCGGAGGCGAGCGGUCCGGGUAGCCAAAGAAGAGGUCAUCUCGCCAGAUUAGGGAUGGCAAUAAUCCCCAGCGGGUAGGGUACCCACGGGUAUUCGACCCUAACGGGGAAGAUAUACGGGUAUAAACGGGUAACGGGGAUGGGGAUCCUUAGUAUUCGGAUUCUUAAAUCGGGUACGGGGCGGGUAUGGUAUUUUGAUAUUCGUCCCCAUCCCCACCCAUUAAGGAUGAAAAUAUUAUUAUAUAUAAUUAUAUAAUUUAUUAUUAUAUAUAUUUAUAUAUAAUUUAUAAAUAAAUAUUUAUGUAAAAAAAUUUGUAAUUCUCUUAAUAAACAUUUAAUGGACCUUCUUUUUUAUUAUAUAUUUUUAUUCUCUUAAUGAAAUUUACCGGUAUUGUUAUGUUUUAACCAAGACUUGUAUUUAUUUUUAUUGGAUUGAAGUAUGAAACUUAUUUAUUUUGGUAUUUGAUUUUAAUUUCAUACUUUUAUAUAAUUGUAUUUCGUAUUUAAAAAAAAAAUUUAAUUUAAUACAUAAUUGUUAACGGGUACGGGUACGGGUAUGGAAACGUAAUCCCCAAAGGGUACGGGUACGGGGAAUCUCCAUUAUCUAAUUACGGGUACGGGGAUGAAAAAUGUAAAAAGGUAUGGGUACGGUAUUUUGAUCCCCGUACCCUACCCUACCCAUUGCCAUCCCUACGCCAGAUGUCCUCAUUGGGGCCGGAGUGGUUGGUUCAACCUUUGCAAAUGGCUCGGCCUCUGGAGCAGGCGGCAAGACUUCAGACCUCGUUGAGAUUCUUGCCCUCGUUGAGAUUGUUGUUUCUUCAAUGGUCUGGGCCGCUGAGUCUGGCUGCAAAGGAGGAGGCUCAAGCACCGGCUGAAAUUCCCUUAGCGGAGUCACCAAGGAGGUAGUGAAGUCGGAAAGCAGGGUGGUUUGGUCAAAACUCUCGUCCUGAACAGGAGCCGAGGUAGACUCCGGAGGAGGACCAGUUUCGUCCGGAGCACCGGUUGGUGAAGGGGGUCGAACGUUAACUUCCUCAAUGACCACGGUUUGCUCCUCGACAACUGGUUCCGAGAUCGAGACUUCAACUGUCUUUGUUUCUCCUUCGAUGAUGGCAAGGCGAAGUCGAAUGUGGCGGCGGACCUAUCGAAUGCAAAGUUAGUAAAUCAUUGUUGGCUUUAAUGAGAUUGGUUCGAAGAGAGGUUGCUUACCAAAGCAUACUCUUGCCGAUAUUGUUCAUCCUCUAGCAGUUCCUCUUCGUCCUCGGCAGGGCGCUUGGGUGAGCUUUCGCCGCUUGUUGGCUGAGGAACGUUGGGAAUAGUUUCACCAUCAUGUUCUGCCGUAAACUCCUCUCGGGCAGGUGCUUUCCCUUUAUCUCCGGCAGUCUCGAGCCUCCUGGCAGAUCUCCGGCGAGGCGCAGCCUGUAAAGGUAGAUAAGUAAGUUAGGAAGAAGUACUUUGUUGAAGUGGGGAAAGCGGUUUGGAAAUCAUGGUUAGUGGCUUACCUCGGUUGCAGGAUCGCGUUCUCGAAUGACGAUCCCGGUCGAGCGGCGAGCAGCAGGAAUUGGCAGGAGCGCAGGCCUAGGCCCUAUCACAACCCUCUGAGGACCCUCCGCACGGUCGCGUUGUGCGUCAAGAAUGACGCGGUCUGAUUCACCCAAGGUGUCGUACAGAGGGAAAAAGAUGGCAGCAAAGACAGCGUCAUUUGGGAACCCCCAAUGGUUGUUUGAAAGAGAUCGCCACCAGAAGAGAUAGGCGGGUUCAACGCCCAGUGAAGGCUCAAUCUCGAGCAAGUCGGGAGCGAGGGGAAAAAUGUUCUGCAGCGGAGUGACCCGGUUGGUCUCAUCAAUCUUCCGCCAGAAAAUAUACUUGUUCACUGAAUGGAAGAGUGGAUAAGGGACCCCUUGAAAGAGGCCAAGCUGCCUGGCGAAGUGGUUGGGGGCAUAUAGCUCGAAGCCUUGUUCAUCUUCAGCAAGUUGAAGGUCGCAGCAUGAGGUUGCUCUCAUGAAGAUGGUCUUGGCGUCAGAGUCCGAAUCGGAGCAAGGGAAGAAGCCCGUUGACAAGACUUCAGGGUGGCGCCGGCGAACCAUCAUAUCUAUGGUGGGAGGCGGUUCGAGCUGGUUGUACAAAAUGGAGAAGCUGGCGAAGAAGGACAGAGGAGUCCGGUUCGCAGCGUUCCUGCACACAGUGAAACCGAGCAGUUGGUCCUCGGGUAAGAAAUUAAGCGGGGUUCACCGGAAGAGCGGGAAAUACAGCUGCAUCCAUAGGUCCAGAGCCCAUAGCGGACCAGCAGUGAGAUGGAAGGGCUUUAGGGAGAGCGUGUGCAGGGUCCGGUAGAGCGCACCCAGCACGGGCUGCCGUAGCCCUACUUCAAUCCCGUUGUAGAGUGCCUCGGCUAGUUUCGUCCAUUUCCCUUUGGUUUGUGAGUGCUACCACAGAACACAAAUUUAUCUAGCCAGUACUCAAGGAAAGCGAUACCUCCUUCGUGCCGUUCUGCAUGGCCGAUGUAGUAUUUCCUCCAUACUGCAUACGAGCCUUUCAGGGCGCGGCGAGUUCCCAGGUUGCAGGAAUGUGUGAACUCGGUCGACGCAAAGUCGUUGUUAGGAAAUUCGGGUCACCCUCCAAAUUCCCAAGCCUAGGACCGAAACUGAAUGAAGACAAUGACUAGAAACAAUAUAACACGAACACAAGAUAUUUAACGAGGUUCAGUUAAAUCACAUGACCUACUUCCUCGGGUGAUGAUGAUGGAUCCACUAAACGAGAAGAAGAUUACAACUGAAGAACAAUUCGGUUCUUCCACCCUCAAAUAACUUCUCUCCUCACACUCUAGAUUCUCAACAGAGAACUCUCAAAUACAUCUGAUCUUCCAUAGCUUACAACUCUCAAGAUCAGAACUCUCAAUUGAUCUACAUCACACCACACCUAAAACUAUGCUUCUAAGGUCCUAUUUAUAGACUCACAAUUAGUCCGACUCAUAACAGGAUUUAGAACCAUAACAAGAAUCCUAAACCAUUACUUCUAAGGAUAAACUCUAAGAACCUUAGAUACACUAGAAUAACUUACCCAAAACCUUCAGAAGUAAAGAAUCCAAAACAGACAAGGAAUUAGUUUUGAGCCGCAACCCUAACAAUUUCCACCUCGGCUCAAAAUCUCCAACCUUCCACUGAACGCAAGCUUCCUUGGGACUUCUCAAUGAGCCACGAUCACCACCGCAACUCAAUGCGCCACAUGGCGCCCUCAACAGCAAGACGAGUUAGCCAAGUUUGAUAAACACUCAAACUUGACCCUUGGACAAUAACUCUUUCCCUCAAACAUGCACAUCGCAGCCACUUGCAUACAAUCUAAGUCUUCACUAAAGUUGCCAAACCUAAUGGGAGCGAUCUUCAACGGUUUGCACAACUCACCACGAGCAACAUUCCUCUGAACAUAUUCUCCAACAUGAACGAUAUCUUCUCUAGACGCAUCACUCUUAAAACACCAAGUUUGCUUCUCAACUUUCUCACUACUCACUGAAGUAGGUGACACCUCAAUUGUGGAAUAUGCAUGAGCUAGCAUAUCUCCACCACAAACUUGUGUCGGGAUCCUUAUGGGUCUACCUCCCUUUAAGGACUGCUGUAAUGUUGGUUGCUCCUCAAAUUUCACCUUCUUAGAAGCUGAUUUCGUUCCUCCGCAUUUACUACUGCUCAUCUCCCUUGAAUGCCAAUAGGAACCAAGAUUGCAAAUCUUUCCACCUUGAACAAAACUCUUAACGGAACCAACUGUUCCACCUCGAACAAAGCUCCCUUCCAACAUCUUCAAUCCCCAGCUUCCGCUAGCCCAUAGAACCGGGCUCUGAUACCAAUUUGUUAGGAAAUCCGGGUCACCCUCCGAAUUCCCCAGCCCAGGACCGAAACUGAAUGAAGACAAUGACUAGAAACAAUAUAACACGAACACAAGAUAUUUAACGAGGUUCAGUCAAAUCUCGGGUGAUGAUGAUGGAUCCACUAAACGAGAAGAAGAUUACAACUGAAGAACAAUUCGGUUCUUCCACCCUCAAAUAACCUCUCUCCUCACACUCUAGAUUCUCAACAGAGAACUUUCAAAUACAUCUGAUCUUCCAUAGCUUACAACUCUCAAAAUCAGAACUCUCAAUUGAUCUACAUCACACCACACCUAAAACUAUGCUUAUAAGGUCCUAUUUAUAGACUCACAAUUAGUCCGACUUACAAUAGGAUUUAGAACCAUAACAGGAAUCCUAAACCAUUACUUCUAAGGAUAAACUCUAAGAACCCUAGAUACACUAGAAUAACUUACCUAAAACCUUCAGAAGUAAAGAAUCCAAAACAGACAAGGAAUUAGUUUUGAGCCGCAACCCUAACAGUCGCCUGGUGUGUAUGGCUUUGCGUGGAUUGGCAGUCUUGUGAUGGUGAGGAUGUCCAGCAGGGAGACACUCAUCUGCCCAAAGGGGAAGUCAAAGGUGUUGGUGGCAUUGUUCCAUAGGCAGGCCGCGGCAGCGAUGGGCGCUCGAUUGGCAUGGGGAGGUAGCGAGAAACUCAAGGCAAUGCUUCGCUGAUGCCGGUUGCUUCCCAGAUCGCUUGAUCGAUUUGGAGGCGAGCCACAUACCAUGACCGGUCAUCCGCGGUAGCACUGGGCCAUUCCCCGACCCGGAUGUUUAUAUGAGAACGGGCCUACUGAAACCAGGAGGCGAAAUUUCUCGGUUCGCGGCGUUGGGCAAGGAUUGGGCGACGCACAGAGUCAGCAUAGUGGUUCAGAUCGGCAGCUGACAGAGGCUGUGAGGGUGUCGGGCCAAGCAAGGCUGCCCCCGUUUCAAGGAAAUAGAUGGGUGUUCCUUGAGGUGGGUUGUUAGCGAAACGACAAGCGAGGCUGGUCGAAUAAGAGCUCGCCGCUGGGAGGCUAAGGUUUCGAUCUCUAGCAGUUGGUUUGGGAGCCAUUUUUUCUGGGUUGAGUAGGCACGACGUUGAGGGUUGCUUGGUUGCAGAAGGAAAGAGAAGGACUGGUUGGAAAGCGAUGGUGAAAUGUGGUGACCCAUGUCAAGGCUUAUAAAGGGGACGGACCGUAAUGUCUUUUCAGUAGCAGUAAUGAGUAGACGCGAUGACGUCCGAAAUGUCAGCGCGUUUCGAAAUUUCGAACAGUCGUAAUGAUGAAGGGAGGCGACGAUGCCGAAACGUCAGCACCUUUUGAAUUUUGAAUUCCCGUAACGUACUCAUUAAGGCCUCUUCGCUUAUCCGUUGCGAAAUGGGUUAAGCUCAAGGUCUAAGGGGCAAUGUUUGAGCCCAGCGGGGAUUUUGGUCCAAGACUCGCAAUAAGUUUUGGAUAACAUUUGGGCCAGUACCUGUGGCCCUUUUCUAAAUAUGAAGCCCAUGUAGGGUGGCGAGCUCUGACAGCGUGCGAGGUGGAAUUUGUCAAGGACUCCGAUACCUCGCGAGAUCCUCGUUUCAGUUCGCGUAGGAUCUGUAGUGCAUGGCGAGGUAGAGUUGGAAAGGGACUGUAGCACCUCACGGGAUAAGAUCGCUUAGUGUUCGAGUUCGCAUACAACACUACAGUAAGAUGAUGCGGGGUGGUGAGUGAGACCUAGGCGAAGUCUGUUCUGGACACAUGUCACAUGGAUAGCACGGUUCGCGGGUUGGCCGUAUCCUUGUGAGAUUCUAAUUGCUGGGUCCGAGUGGGUUUGUGAUUGUAUCUCUACCAACUGCUCGCAAGUCACUAUAUAAGGGAACUCAAGGAUCUUGUUCUGCACACACAAUCAAAUCAUACAGAAAACUACAAACGAAUCUUCGAGCAUCCUCGAAACCCUAAAGUUCUAAGUGCACCUCGCCUUAGUUCUCAGAGCCCGUUCGGACUCACCAUUUCUUCCUGAUUAUUGCUCUGCUCGCUCUAACAGUGAGUAUCGAUUCAUAGGUGAACAAGAGGUUUGCUCGUAAUCUCUCGUCCGCGAGGUGGCACCGGAAACCCUUUUUGCUUGAUUAGAAGUCUAGCACAACGCACUCAUUCCGCGCCCGCGCGGUGGCACGCCCCGUAAUCUUGUUUUUACUUUUGACGUCACCGGAGUUACAACUCUACCCCUGCUGAGACGCGUGGCCAAAACAAGUUGCACAGUUAAAUCGACAUUCACUUUAACCACAGAACUCUUGUGGAGCUUGCUAUGGAGCUCUUACAAUUUCACGUCAUGCAAAUUUGGGGUCGGGAGAUCCGUUAAAAUCCAAAUCAAAUCCCCUACCGGUGACCCAACUAAAUCCGAAUCUAAAUCUGACUCCAAACCCCCGGCCGUUGACCCCUUCAUCUUCAGUCUCCCCCUUCACCGUUCAAUCUGGGUUUGAAACUUUGAACACACAGACCCUUCUUCUCUUGCUGGGUUUAGAGAAUUUUAUUUUGGUUUUUGAAUAAAGUAAAUUGUCCAAACACUAUCUGACCUGACCUUUUAGUGAAACAAAACUUUCGUAUCUCACAUCUCAAAAACUUCAAAAAUAGUGUCUCACGUUUUUAUCUAGACCGAAAAACAGUAUCCGGAACCGUUAGUUCCGUUAAAAAGCCUGACAACAUGCAUAUUAUUAUUCUAAAAUGACUAAUUUACCCUUUUACUUUUUUGUUUUAUUUUUUCUAUACGGCUUUGUGAUUUUCUUGUCCGUCGCCGGUAGUCCCGAAAACUGUCGCGGCGCUAAGUGGAGAGGAGGAGAGUGGUCACUCCCCAACCCAUUUUUGCAUUUAAGGGCCGAGGAUGAAGCUACCGGCGCCGGUGAAAUGUCGGUGGCACGAACCCCAAUCCAUUUCCUGCUGAUGAGAUUUGGCCUCUGAUGCGAGCUUAUUGAUGUCAAGCAGAAUAAAAUUUGCUUGUUGUCCACCAGUCCUAUCAACCCCAGUCGAAUUGAUUAACAUCCAAGCUCGACUGAAUAUCAAUUGCCCAGAUCAGAAAUUUCAUAUUAUAAUGGAUGCUAUUAUCAAUUGACGAAGAACAUUCAUCCUCUUUCUCAAAUUAAUCAAUCACAACCCUUCUGCUCUUCAACGUCUUUAAAAUUCUAAGCUCAAAAUUGAAAACAUAAAUCAUCCAUGUAGCUCGAUUUGUAGAUAGCAAAUGGAUUUUGAAAUCUCCAGAAAGUUUGUGUAAAAGCGAAAAGAAAAUGAAUAAAACAAUGAGAAUAAUUAUAUGUAAAAUAUGAUGAUGACGACCACGAUCAAACUUAACAACUUUUACAUACCCAGAAUCGUGAAUAGUCCAUAUUUGAAUUGCUAGGUGUGAGUAAAUGAUAAUAUGAUGGUGUAAUUGGUAAUCAACCUCACAACUGGGGAGUCAACCGAGCUUUGGGUUUCUGUUAGUUUCAGGUGUUGUGGUGUGCUUGCUAAACGGUAUAGCUGCAAAUCGAGUGACGGAGAGUAGGGAUGAAAGGACGAAAUUACCCUUCAGUGGUUAGGAUUUUUAACGGAGCUAACGGCUCUAGAUACCAUUCUUCUGUCAAAAUAAGAACGUGAGAUACUGUUUUGAAGUUUUUGAAACAUGAGAUACGAAAGUUUUACUUCACUAAAAGGUCAGAUACUGUUUGGAUCAUUUUUCCUUUUGAAUAUAUAAAAAGAAAAUAACAAAAAUAAAAAAAUAAAGGGUAAAGUGGUCAUUUUUGAUAGUAGGGAGCCCUUCUAGUGAGAACCCUUAAGUUGAGGACUUGGUGAGGACUUUUCGAUUUAUGGUUUAAAAGACCCAAUUUUCGAUCAUAUUUUGACAUCUUAUCCGUUCAGUUUUUAGGUUUAUAUGAGUAGAUCAUUUCUACAAAUUUUCACCCAAAUUGGUGUUCGUUAAGAUAACAAACUAGAUCAAAUUAAUGGACGAACCAAAUCUGUCAAAUAUGAACCGUUCAAGUUCAUAAUUGAUAAAUCACACUUAUGAAUGUCUUAACAAUUUUCAAUAUAGCUGAAAAUUUGAAGAAAUGAUCUACUAUAAGAUUGAAAGGUGGGAUAAGCCGAAAAGUCCUCACCAAGUCCUCAACUUAAAGGUCCUCACUAGAAUGGCUUCAUUUGAUAGUAAUAUAUAAUUCCGUUAGUUUUUUUAACGGAUUUAACGGUUCUAUAUAUCAAUUUUAGGUCUCGAUACGAACCUGAGAUACCGUUUUACAAUUUCUAAAUGUGAGAUACCAAAACUUUGCUUAUCUAAAAGGUGAGACACUGUUUAGAUCAUUUUUCCUAUAAUCAUAUAUACGAGGGUAUUUUUCUCAAGACCCUUGUUCAAGUUUGAAGUUGAUACAUCUUUGCUCAUGUAUUAGUGUUCUUUUAUCCUAGUGUCAAAUUUCAGAUCAUAAUAUAUCCAUAAAAGUGAUAAAACUCGAGGAGUACAACAAAGAAGAUAUACAAACUGAUAAAUGUCGCAGAAGUUGGGGGUUGCUAUUUUCUGCUUUAAAAUUUGAGGGAGUAGAGUACAUAAGAGAAGUACCUACUGUUACUUAGUGAAGUGUCACUCUCAAAGCCAGUCCGGUCAAGCACUCCAUUUCUAGUCCCGUCUACCUUUCGUGGUUCUAUCAUAGGCAGAUAGACUGCAGAGAAAAUUUGACAGUUUUCUCAUGAUGUUACUUUCUGUCAUAGUUUGAGGCAUCUAAAAGCUGCUGAAAACAUAAAACUUAAGCUUCAGCAUGCAUCAAAUCAAACAAGGGCAAGGUUGAUAGAGAUUUUAGAGUUUCUUCCUUUUGGAUAUAAACCCAAUUCAGAGUUCAGAAUAACUUUGAAGGUAUAGAACUCCAACAUAUGUAACACUUUAGAUCAAUUAUUGCAGUUACAUGCCCUGCCAGUCUAUUGCUAGCCACUUCACAUUUUAGGCUCCGAAACUGGUUUACUUCCCCUGGGAUCAUCUCCGAUUGUUGUAGAUUUAGUCCACUUCUUCAGCAGCAUGAUUAACAGAAGAGCACUCGAUUGACAUGAGAGACCACAUAUGAUCCCAAUCCACAAGCCCUGUACCAUCAUGAAGCACAAAAUGUGGAUUCAACUAUCAAAAAUGAACCAAAUUAAUUAAUACAAAGGUUAUCUCACCUGGGCAUAUAGUUUCAACUUAAAUCCAAGAAUACCAGCAAUUGUUAAACCUAUGAAAUAGAAUGUGCCCAAGUUUACAUACAAAGCCAAAUGCUGCCACCCACAUCCUCUUGCCACGCCUAAUUAAAAUGAACCAUAAUCACUACAUGUAAAAGAAAACAAGAAACAGAACAGAAUAGUGUCUGAGCUGAACCUGAAAAGACCCCUUGAACAGAAUCAAUAGCUAUUGAAAUCGCAAGAAAUGGUAUCAUAGAAGAAAAUUCCUCCCUUAUUGUAUGGCUGUUACUGAAUAAGUGAACCCAGAUAUUGUGACCAAACGCCACAGCUAGAACAACAAGAAUAGCAAGAAGCACACAGAGCUGAAGAGUAACAGCCAUUGCCGCCUUAGCACAAUCCACAUUGCCUGCUCCCAGUUCAUUUGAAACUCUUGUGCUGUGCAACGACAAGCAAUAAGGAUAUGCAAAACACUGCAUGGCUGGGAGUUCUUACUUUACUAACCUGGCAGCAGAACUGAGGCCAUAUAUCACCAUGUACCCAAUUUCUUGUAUGUUCACACUGAAUGCAAUCAGCAUAUGAUUAGGGAAGACAUAAUCGAUUAGAUAUAACAGCAAAACUAAAAUGAGAAUGCUUUAAUCUUUACCACAGUGCAAGCAGUGCAGUGGUUUUCGCUGAGUCUGGCAUCAAUCCUCCCAUGAACACCAAAAUCUCAAAGGCCCAUUCUUCCAAACUAGAAAGAUAAAAUAACAAAUUGUCAGAUUUAAACAACAAACAGAAAAGAUUAAUUGCGUGUUGAAUCUUGCAAAACAGUACUACUUAGAUGUCACCUGCUAGACUACAAUAAUUAACAAUGUGGAGUCUUGUCCGAAGGGGUUGAGUUUCAAAUUUCAAAUCUAACAGCAAAACAUUACUUGGGAUAGAAGUAAUGAAUUAUACACUUUACCAUUCCAUUGCUGCAGAGGGGAGGGCAAGUUUCAAACCAGUGUGGAUGUAACUGAAUGAUUCCAACGAAAAUCCUUCCCAUGUAUGCUCAAAAUUCUUUGAACAUCGAAUGUUCAAGGCCAACAUAAGAACCGAUAUCCACAGUGAAAUUGAAGCUGCUAGUGGAGCUCCCCUAAAACCAAGAGCUGUCCAAUGUACCAAACCAUAUGUAAUACCAAUGUGACUAACGAUGGAUAUUACAGAGAAGAUUAUUGGCAUUACAGAUGCGGAUUGCGUCUGAAGAAAUCUCAAGAUAUUUUGCUGGAGACCAUAUGCAAAUAAUCCUGGAAUCAGAUAUUUCAAAAAAAGAGCUGCAGAUUUUGAAAUUUGAGGGUCUUGAUGGAACAAAAUAAGCACUGGUUCUGUAAACAGCCAGAUUACAGAUAUGAUGGAACAGAAUACCAAAGAUAUGAUACAGGAAGCUUGGAGAUAAAUCCCCAACAAUCUAUAUGACUUUGCACCAAACCCUUGCCCACAAUGCGUCUCAAGAGCUCCACUUAACCCAACCUAAACCAAAAUGAUGGAAAAAAACGCAAUUUAAAUAGAAAGUUCACCUGCCACCUUAUCAAAUUUUACGUCUUGUUUACCAUAUGUUAAAUUAGCUAUCUAGCAAGGUAACAUCUUCCAUAAAUUGAGGUGAGAAAUUACCAUGAAUGCGAAACCAGUAAUAUUGGCCCAUGACUUGGCCAAGGUUGCACCAGCCAACUGAAGCUCACCGAGGUGGCCAGCAAACAUGACGGAAACAAUUAUGAUGAAGGAAUAGAGCACAUUAGUUAGAAUUGCUGGCAGUAAAAACAGGACCUGUUUUUUGGUCUCUUCAAUAUCUAAGAUUUUCUUCCACCACCUUCCUUUUGAUCCUUCUUCUCCUGCUUAUAGUACCUAUGUUGCAUUAGUACUUAUGUCUGUAUCUAAAAUAAAACUUUCAUGCAAUGUGCUAAAGUUUCACUUUGUUCCAAUUUCCAGCCCUUUUGGUAAGAGAGCUAGAAUUGUCUUUGAUUUCAUUCUUCAGUUAUACUAGCUGAACUUAGCUAUACCAUUAUUUGCCUACAGUCCUACACUUUCAUAUCAUGUGUGAUGAAAAAGAUGAAAAAUCAUAAAACCGUUGAUCAGACAAAGCCACAAAUUGGUGAGUGCAAACGCAGAUGCAAAUGCACUUUAAUAUCUCUCCAUUUAACUUGUAUAUGGGAAAAUUGAAAAUACAAAACAAACAUAUAUAGAGAAAAAAAGUAAUGGUCAGUACCAGAAGAAGGUUAAGUUCCUCACCUUCCACAAUCAUUCUAUCCAGAACCAGUAAUCAGUAAUGAUCGAAAAAAAUUACAACAAAUAAUGAAGGCAGACUCGGGAGAGAGGAGAAAUCAGUAACACACUAUAACAGAUCCAAGAAAUUUAUAUGAACCAAGUAAAAUGCUUCUGGUUUUGACUGAUUCGUUUCCAAUCACAAAGCUUUGUGACAGGCAUGAGUACAAAUCCCACACACUUGCUAUGGUACGUAUAAACGUGAAUCAUAGUUUCUUUGGUAUAAACCUCAACCUUGAACAUCUUCUUUUGGUACACAAUCCAAUCUAGAGUUUGUUAUGGGCAUAAAAUCUCCAUUCCAAGAAUUUGUUACGUGUUGCCAUUUCAAAGUUCAGAUUGUAGUUAGUGAAGAAGUUAGGCAUCUGAUGUGAUAUGAUGCCCAACUUCCCUCCGCAUCACUAAAAAUGUAAAACAUGUAAUAUUUGUUUGAAAGUGUAUCUGUGGAGAGUAUAUAAUUGAGUGAAUGCAUAUGAACAUAAGCUAUAUCUCAUCUACAUUACUGAGUUUGAUUGUUUUGUUCUAAUUAAUCCUGUUGAUUUGUUGGUACUUAAUCUUUUCUUGAGUAUCAUACUCCAAACUAACAAAACCCUAGAGUAAAGCAAUAUAACAAGUAACCUGGCAAAAUGUAACCUGAACUUACUGAGCUGGAAAGACCUACACAGAGGGACCUUUCCCGGACUAAGGUAACCCUCUAGAAUCUAGAUUAUAUACGUUGUAAAUGGACUUUGGCCGGCACGUACAAAACUUAGACGCCAUAACAGAGACAGAACAGAGCCUCGUAUCCACUGAUUAUUAGCUUAACCUCGUCAUUGAAUACCAACUUGUACACCGUGAAAGUGUGAAGGGACUGAAGGCUUCACUCCAGAAAUCUGGAUGGAGACCUUGCUCUGGUUUUAAUAAUCUUCGAAUAACUUGCAAUAGGCUAGGUUUCCCUUGGUUGUUUUCAGUUUUCAGAAGAUAGUCCUUGUGGACAAGCCAUGUUCCGACGACAGAGCUUGAGUCGGUCACCUCCAUAUCCACGACGAAGCCUGAAAUACUCCAGCUAUUCCUAAACCCUAGACCCAAACGAUAGCGUUUCUUCAGAAAGUAGAGAUUGCAUAUAAGUGGACUCCACCAAAGAUAAAGAUCUGAAUAAUGAUGAAAGGGUCUCAAAUAAUGACUUUCCAAGGAUUUUCAAUCAAAUUACCAAAUUGAUAUAGGGAAAAUGCUCACUAGCCCUAAUUUUAGAGAUUUUUUUCCCAUCAACAUGUUGAGAUAUCAAUCCCACAUCGGAAAUAUGGGACUUUGCCUGUGGGUUUAUAAGGGUUUGGGCCACUUCAUCCAUUGCCAAUUGGUUUUGGAUGUGAACCCCAUACUACUUUAUCAUGGUAUCAGAGCGGGUUACCCACGUCUACAUGUGAAGCCCAAUGGCCACACGGACUCCACGUCACCCUAAAUGUUGUCCACGUGUUAGGCUUGAAAAUUCGCUACAUGUGCGGGGGCGUGUUAAGAUAUCAAUCUCACAUUGGGCAUAUGGGACCUUGCCUGUGGGUUUAUAAGGGUUUGGACUACUUCAUCCAUUACCAAUUGGUUUUGGAUGUGAACCCCCGACUACUUUAUCACAACAAAAUAAGAUUUCAAUAUUCCCAUAAUCAACCCUAUAGAGUCAUAGGAUAUAUUCCCACUAACAAAAUAUGGACAACUAUCACAUAUUUUGUAUGACAAUAAUACCCCUGCGAGAUCUAUUACGCCCCUCUCUCUUUCAUAUUUGAAUUUCGAUGAGAGAGAAACUUCGGCUUGAGCUCGAAGCUCUGGUUCUAGUGCGAUAGGUGGACGAAGCGCUGGGCUCGAAGCUCUGAUUCUUGGCGAUAGGUAGACGAAGCUCUGGUUUUGGUUCACUAGUCUUGAAGCUCUGAUUCUUGAUGAUAGGUAGACGAAGCUCUUGUUUUGGUUCCGGUUCGAUUCCGAGCUCUAAUCUCAAUUUCUGUUGCGAUGGAUCUCGUAGUGAGCAAUAUGCCUCGGUUUGUUUAUGCAAUCUUCUUUAUUCCUUUUCGUUUUGAUUUGCAUUUGAACUUGAUUUUGAUGUACUGUUGAUUUUUGCUGCUCUCGAUUUAUUUGUUAUUUGUGUUCUUAAUUUGUGUGAGUACAAAUGAAUUUUAGUUUUGUUUUGAAUUUGUUUGAGUGCUGUGUUGUGUGAAUUCAGUUCUGACCUUGCAUCGAAACUCCUCAUUGCUCAUGCGAUCUUCUAGGAAAAGAGAUUCUGCAGAUUUCUUCUCAUCAGACUUGAUGAGAAUGACCUCCUACUAGGGGCAGUAGGACCCCAUACUGGGGUCAGUAGGUGCCUAUUGGGGUCAGUAUGACCCAUGUUUGGUGCAUGCGACUCAUUUGUAAUGUUAUUUUGUUUGUUUUUUUAUAGAAAUGUGGAUGGUUCUUUGGCUGUUAAGUGUCGUUAUUCUAGAAAAGGUUUCAUGUUCUCUAUUCAUCAACGAAUGAACUAUGCUUACUUGUUCGAGUAUAUUGUGAAAGGUUUCGGUUGUCUGCAACUGAUGUUAUUGAGCUUCACUAUUCACUUCCUGGUUGUCCUCUCUCUUUCUUACAUAAUGACAAUGAUUUUCAAAUGUUGUUUAUUGGUGCUAAGAUAUAUAAUUUGGAUUGUGUUGAAAUUAUUGUGGAGAAGAAUAGUGAAGGCUGCAGCAAGAGAACUUCUGUUUCAUGUGAAGAUAGCUGCUCUGAAGUUUUGGAUGAAGAUGAUUAUUUGACUGAGGGAUAUAGGUCUGAGGUGUCGAAGCCUUACUUAUCAAGAGAGUGGGUUAGUUAUAUCCAAUGUGAAGGGCAGAAGUUUCGUGGUGGUGUCUCCAAAUUUCAAGAUAAGCUGCCCAAAUAUGCAAUUGAAGUUGGCUUCACCUUUGUGUACACUAGAAAUGAUUGGUAUAGAAUUCAUGCAGUAUGCAGCAACAUGGGAACCGAAAAUUGUGAAUGGCAUGUUGCUGGUUAUUCCGAAUCUGUAGAUUGAUGUUUUUAUAUUGAUUCUUUGAACAACAUACACACUUGCAAAGGCGUUCUUCGCCAAAAAAAGCAUGUUUGAUUGGGGUCUAAAGUUGUCAAGACUUGCAUUCAAGAGGAUAUUAGCUACAAUAUGUCAUUGAAGCCAAGGGAUAUCCAAAUAAAGAUGCAGUCUGCUUACGGUUUUGAGAUAUCAUACAAGGUUGCUUGGAAAGCAAAGCAAAGUGCUAGGGAUAUGAUUUAUGGAUCUGAGGCUGAAUCUUUUAACAUGUUAUCCUGGUUCAGGGAAGCUAUUUUAGCGAGUAACCCUGGUUCUGUUUUUGUCUUGGAAGUGCAUCCUGAUACCAACCAAUUCCAUAGGCUUUUUAUUGCCUACGCAUGUUGUAUUGAAGGUUUUAAAUUCUGUCUACCUGUAUUAUAUGUCGAUGGCACUUUUGGCAAGAGUCCUUACAAGGGGACCAUCCUUUGUGCAACUGGAAGGACUGGAAAUAAAGGUAAACUUUUAUCUUUUAUCUUUCUUUUUCUUGGUUAUGUGCUCUUUGUUUGUGUUUGUCUUGAAAGUGUGGAGCGGCACGCUCCCGUUAGCGGUGCAGCGGCACACUGUAAUCACCUAUUACCCCCAGUAGAUGUCCUACUACCUCCCAGUAUGCUGACUUUUUCCUCUUUGUUUUUUGUUGUUUUUUUUCCUCCCAGGUUGUUUUCCUUUGGCCAUGUGUAUAUGUGAUUCUGAGACUAAAAAUAAUUGGUGUUUUUUCUUCCGGCACUUGAAGGAUUUGCUGGAAUCCCAAGGUAGAGUGGUUACAUUUAUGAGUGAUCGUGGUAAUGGAUUACUCGGUUCUUUCAAUAAGGUACUUCCUGGUCAUCCUCACUUGUUCUGUUACAUGCAUUUGUCGGCCAAUUUGAUGAAUAGAUAUGGUGGAGUGAGUGCUACUGUGAAAAAUGCUGUGAAGAAUAAGUUUUUUGAGUUAGUAUAUGCAUCUUCCCCCUCGCAAUACCGUUUGCAUUUAAGAAAGCGUAGAGAAAUUGGUGAUGUAAAAAUUAUAGAUGAUUUUCUGAAGGAUAUGCCUCUUGAAAAUUGGUGUCGUGCAUGGUUCUCUGGAUCACGUUAUGGGAUUAUGGCUAAUAGCAUGGCUGAAUCUUUUAAUGCCUGGUUUGCUGAAGAGCGUGAGAUGCCGGCAUAUGGUAUGCUUGAUCAGACUAGGAUAAAGUAGAUGAAUCAGAUGGGUGAGAGGAGGGAUGAAGCUCAACUCUAAACCACACCACUUACUCCUAAAAUGCAGGAUCGUUUGAAAGAACGUAUGGAAGCUGCUUCACAGUUUAAUGUGGUUUACUCGACCACAAAUAUCUAUGAAGUUCGAGGGAAGUAUUCUCAUGUUGUUGAUCUUAGUAUUUGUUCUUGCACGUGUAGAAAAUGGGAGAUUGAAUGUUUUCCUUGCUCUCAUGCUCUUGCUGCAAUUCAAGCUGCCUCAAAGGAUGUUUAUGCAUUUGUAGAUCCGCAUUACUUUGCUGACUACUACAAGAAGUGCUAUGAUGUUCCAUUUUUCCCUCUUUGUAAUGCUGAUAUGGCUUCUGCUGAAUCUACUAAUGAUGAGUUUAUACAUCCUCCCCAUGUGAAGAGGCCCCUUGGAAGGCCGAAGAAAAAGAGGUUCAAGUCAAAUGGAGAGACUCAAAAGGAGCUCAUUCGUUGUGGUCGGUGUCAAAAAUUGGGCAAUCAUAACAAGGUAACCUGCACUUAACCUCUUUGAUUCUAUUAUGGAAUUAUAUAACUUUUAUACUUUUUCCUUUUGGUAACAGACUAAAUAUGUUUUUCUUUGGGUGAUUCAUUGAUUUAUUGAAUCUGUAACAGAGUUUGUGUUGCUGGUUUGAAUAUGUCUAUUUUUCAUGUUUUCAUUGCUUGUGUAUGACAUUUGUUAUUUUCAUUUCUUUUUGCAGUAGCUUGUUUAUCACUGAAUGAUCCAUAGGAUAUCCUACUGACCCCAGUAGGACCUUCUACUGACCCCAGUAGGGACCAGUUAAGCGACUAAAGCACAGUAGGUUUAAUAGGACCUCCUACUGACCCCCGUAGGACCUCCUACUGACCCCAGUAGCCACCAGUUAUAAGUAACAAUGGUCCUACUGACCCUAGUAGAAGGUCUUACUAACCCCAGUAGGGACUUGUUAAUGAAACAUGUAUUUUUGACUUGUUUUCCAUCUGUUUUUCAUGCUAAAUAACUGAAAAUGAAGAGAAAUGGGAAAAUACAUUUCACAUAUAUAAAAGGAAUCUCCCAAAGUCACAUUUCAUUUCAUUGUUCAUUAUAUUUCAUUGUCUCUAACAUAUAUAUCAUAUUUCAUAUAUUGACAACAUUUGUAUUUUGGCCUUCAUUAGCUGCUCAAGAAUAACUUUCCUCAUUCCAUCAGCAUCGACUUUGUUUGGUUUUUCUCCCAAGGCCAACUUCUGCAUGAAAUGGAGCACAAAAGGCCCACAGUCCGCCCUGUAAAUCAUUCAUUUUAUGUUAGGGACACUGAAACGAAACCUACUGCCCCCUGCAAGUUUCUAAACAAUUUUUAGGCUUUUUGAAUCAAUGACAAAGUUUUGAGAAUGGACUUACGAUAGUGACUUUUGUUGAGGACAGUCAAAGUCUUCUUCCAGCUUGUAUUCUUUAAUAGCUUCGAAGUUGUCAAGCACCCAUCUUCUUACCAUGUUCUCCCUGUCAUUCAUCAAAAGGAUUCUAUCAUCCAAAUCCCCAUGAUUUGUCUCGCCAACACUCUUAUAUCUAUAAUUCUCAAUAUCCGCUUCUUGGUUGUCGUCCGGAUAAUGUUUGUUUGACAAUUCUACUUCUUGGAGAAACUUCAUGAGAUGUUUCACUUGUUCAAUGCAGCAUACAAUUAUUCAUGUAUUUUUUUUCAAGAAAUUAUGAAAACUUAAAGGCACCCUAUGACUUUUCUGAUACGAUCGCUUACCACAUAUCCAGCCUUCUUAUGGAAUUUUUCCUCCUCAUCCUUUUCAUUCUCUGGAGGUUGCAAAGAGUUCAUGUGCACAAUCCUCUUUUUCUCAUUAUCAACCACAAGCAGUGUGUAGUGGUGGUUUGUGCAAUGGUGGAUUGGGAUAAGAACCUUGUUGUAGUCAAAUACAUACCACAAAGGUUCAAUUAAGCACAACUUUAUUUGGUUCUUGUAAUCCACGCUUCCUCUUUCCUUUUAAUGUUUAAUCGCAUAAAACUAUGCAUGAAAACGAUGUUAAAUCAGUAAACCCCCUAUACGGCCCCCAAUAUACUCAGUGCAUGUUCAAUUAAACAUAUAUUUAAAGUUACUGAUGCUUCAAUCUCUAGGAACGCUGCAAUAUGUAUGUUUGCAUUUUCAAGUUCCAUUUGCAAAAUCUCUAUGUGUUCUUUGAUUACUUGCAAUUAUUCAAUUUGAUUUUCAAUUAAUUUUUCUUUCAUAUAAUUCUUUCAGUAGAAGGUCUUACUAGGGUUAGUAGGAGGUUGUCAAGCCCCCUACUGACCCCAAUAGACCCGCAAUUCUUUCAUAUAAUUCUUACAUAGUUCAUGUAAAAAGAGGCAAACUCACAGAAUCACUCAUGUAGUUUUCUUCCACAAGAUCAAUGAUGUAUGUUCCUUGUACCACUAUUGGCUUUGUUUGAGAAGCCCAGAAUGUGUCGCUGCAUGAACAGAAACAUUAGUUACUUAACUAUAAUGUCAUAUUUGUUACAUGAAAAUGCAAAUAUUCAAUUUGUUUACUUACCCAUCAUUAUCCCUUGCAUCAAGGAAAGACUUGUAGUAGUUUUGGACCUCCGUCUUCAGUGUGGUCCAAGUUUCAUUUUCAAAGUUCACUACUUUUUUUUCACUUNNNNNNNNNNNNNNNNNNNNUUCACUUCCUUUGGAGUGUUGUACUCAAAGUCGUCAUCCUUGGCUUUUUUUGUUCCCUUUCUCUUGUACAACUUCACGUUCCUCUCGAGGGAAUGCAUUGGAACAGGCUUCUUCAUUUUUUGUACCGGCUUUAAUGGAGCAUUAGUUUCAGCAUUUUUCUGUAUCAUUUCCACAAUAUAAUCCAGCACUUCUCCUUCAUCCUUCUGCUUUUUCUCUUGGGGGUUUCAGGCAUAUUCUCAGUGAAGUUUAGGCAGACAACUUCUUCUUCUUCUUUUUCUCACAUUCAACUUCAUGUGCCUUGGCAAGCUAUAAAGUUAAAUCCUCUAUAUACUUCUUCUGCCUUUUGUUCUCAUCCUCCAACUUGCUUAUUUCCAACGUCUGCUGAAGUAUCUUUGCAUUUGCUUCUUCAAUUGCAAUCGAGGACAUCUUUGCAUUCUCCUGAAGCUUUCGAUUUUGGUUGUGGAGUUCAAUGAUUAGAACAAUGAGAUCCUUUUCAGCCACAUCUUCUGUCGCUAUAUCUUUUAGGAUAUCUGUUGUUGCUCUAGGAACUUUUUCCUGUGGUUUCUCCUGGCUUUUUUUGGGAACCUGUGUCCACAGCAAUUUAGUAACCAAAAGUAUAAAAUAAGCUAGGUACAAUAUAAACCACUAGGGUUAGUAGGAGGUCCUACUGGGGUCAGUAGGAGGUUGUCAAGCCCCCUACUGACCCCAAUAGACAUAUUUAAAAAGGGAACUUACCCAAUCCUUGAAAGUGAGAGGUAGCGCGUCCUCGGAAUCCGAAAAGCCUCUGUGGCUUUCUUCAUUCCAUGGUCCAUUUGUUAUGAAUUCCUGUCACAUGUCCUCGGAAAAGUUAGAUAAGCAUACACAUACACACGAUUAUUAACUUUUCUUCUUUUUUUGAAGUUUUUGUCUUUGCUUACCACUGCGAUGUCUGAAUUGUCUUUCAAGCUCUCAGUUGUGAAUAGCUCUCUUAUCGACCACCUAAGAUAGGUUGGUGUCGAUCUCUCCUUUCCAGUAAUCUUGUGCUUCACCUGGGUAUUCUCCAGAAACCAAUACUGUAUUGAAAAAUAAAGACAUGCACUUUCUGUAAGUAAAUGUAUAUAAUAUACCCGAAAUAUAAACAGAAAACUAACAAAUGAACCCUAUAUGAGACCAAAAAAAACUUACAUAGAUCAGUAUCAAGCAUCCACUGAGAACUUUUGGUUUUUUUUUCUCGUGCCUCUUAAGUCCAUCGAAUAGAAAUUCAAGGAUCAUUUUUGGCCAGUUGUACUAGUUGAUUCUUUCGAUGUCCUCGCAAGCAUUUAUGAGGUCCUAGGUGAUGGAUACUGUUGACUUGCUAAAAAAGCAUGUUGUAAACAGAAGCAUAAGUAUGAGGGCAGCAAUGAUUCUUGCAUCACCCUUCUCCUCCUUAUCCACCUCAGCUUCCAGCCUUUUAAGCAAUACUUGUUUGUCUACUGUGUCCUUGAUCAUUUUCACAUCAAAAAUCGCUGAAGGCUUCCUUUUAUCCUUGUCCAUAUUUCUUCCCACAUUGUUUAUCACUUCUCCUGAAUUUGGCAGCCCAAAUAUCCUCUCUAUGUCUUCCCCUAUGAUCUCCAUCUCUUUAUCCCCAAAAAAGAACUUCCUCUUCUCAACAUCAUAGUAUUGAAGGAUGAUUUCGAUGUCACGCUCAUUCUUGGUAAAAUGAUUUUCUUGCACUUUAGAGUGAUAGAUCGGCGAUAUCAUCGGCCAAAAAGAAGUUUUCCGUAGCACAUCCCAUACUUCAAUUUUCGCUUUCGGCUUCACCAUCUUAACUAUUUGCUGAAAAUUGACAAGCGAGAAUUUUUGUUGUAAUGUUGGUAUAACUGCACUCCCUGACUUCUCCUUCUUCUCAGACUUCUUUUUCACAUUCUUCUUCUGCACUAUUUUCGUCUUUUGCUUUGCUGGAGGACUUUGUUUCUUCUUCUGCUUCUUUGACCUCGUUUCUACUACUUCAUGUUCUUCUUCUUCAUUCUCAGAAUAAGAGGAGGAUUGUCUUCUUCGUUUUGUCUUCAUACUGAGGAGGAGGAUUAUUAAAUUAGUAUUGAAUAGAGCAAUGAAAUACAUAAAGGAAAUAAGCUUUCUACUUCCCCAAAUAGAGGUGACAUUGCCCCAAAUACAGUGUCUUACUGACCCCAGUAAGGACCUAUACUUGCAUAAUCCAGUUUCCACAAGGCACAAAAACAAACUUAGAGCAUCAAAAAUAGCACUGAGCAUCAAAAACAAACUCAAAAUUUGGUUCAAAUCAAGAACCCUACAUCCCCAAAUUGAACAAGUCUUACUGCCGCCAGUAGGAAGUAGGUUCUACUGCCCCCAAUAUGAUCCUCUGCCCCCAAUAAGAGUCCUGUAGUCGAUAGUUGAUAACUACCUUCCUCGCCCAUAGACCAGUCAUGAAACUUGUAGAUCGACAUCCAGGCUACCUCACCAUGGUGAAAUAUCAUCCGCGCCACAUCGAGAAGGUGCUCUCCCAAGCUCCACAAGAAAGCAUCAUAAGAAGAGAUAUAUAUAGUUUGUCCCACAUUGAUAAUAUGUAAAAGGAGGGAACCUUAGUUAUAAAAGGAAGACUUCCCAUAUGUAGAAAGGAUCUGAUAAGGGCUGACUGAAUCUCUCUCUCCCGAUCCCAAAGGCCUAUUGGCCAUGAUAGUAGAUUGUAAAGUGGAUGUAGUCAUGUCCUCCGAUGGCAUGGUGAACCACUAUACGUCCUUGUCUGUUGCCCAUGAUGUUUAUUGUUCAUAUUCGUGUUCCACCAUGAUUCUACAUAGUCCCCGGGAUUAUGCAGAAACAUUUAGCGUCGUCUGUGGAAAUCAUUACAAAAAGUCACGUUGCUUCACCCGAGAGGAAUUCCACCCGAGAAGCAUUCCAGCAAGCACAUGGAGGCAGGCCAGCCACAAAUUCAUGAAGGAAGAUCAGCCCAUGGUGUUCGGUAUAUAGGCCCAAGGCUUCGGGCCCAAAGCCAUUAGGUGGCAUUAUCAUGACCCGCCCGGGUUCCCUUUCUCACCAAGUCAUCACCGAGAGGCCGACGCCUCCAGCCAUCCUGGAGAUGAUUCGAUGAGACCCAAGGGUUCCUCUCCCGGUGGCAGCCUCCGGUUACAGUCCGAGGAGCGGCUCUCCAGGUUCCCGAUUGGCAGCGUCCGGGUCAUUAUCAAGGAGCAGGUGUGCAGCCGGCUAUACCUCUCCGAGGACACCUCCACUCAGCGCAGGCCAGGAUUGGCUAUCCCGGGCCAAGCUUGUCCGGUGCCGACCAGGAGUGAUGCGUCAGGAGCAAACUAGUAGCGCCCGGGAUCCACCGGCAGCGUUGGUCAGUCGCCCGGCCUGGAGGGGCACCGCUCAAGCAGCUCGAUCAAGACAUCUGGUCUCACCUGCAAAUCGUUUGGUGACCACUGAAAAAUUGCUAUGGACACCCGGAGCAACUUCUCCUGCAUCAGCCAGCAUGCGUAUUUGCUACAAGCACCAUCUCGGGUGUUUGCUGGUUUCUUUGAUGGUUUUGGGUGUCCUUAGCAGCUUUAAGAGGGUGCAGCAAGUGCCAAGUUCCAGAGCUGGAAAGUUGGUGAUGGUCAGGUCCGGGAGCAGAAAAGAAGUUAAAGAAAGUAAAGAAUUAAUCAACUCCAAGGCAAGUCAGGCCAUCUCUAGGUAUCACAAGGGGGGAGGCAGGGAUCAGGCCCGAUCAAUUCGAUGCCACUAAUCGGGAGGCAGGGAUCCGUCUCGAUCUGGUUCACCACAUAAGGACGAGCUGGCUGGCAGAUCCAUUGUUAUCACCCGCCGAAUCUCGGGUCCGACCCGAGUAACUCUUCCGGGACAAGCUCGUCGACCGCCGGCCAGGAAUAAUUCGUCGGGCACCGGCAUGCUCUGCUCUCGGUCGGCAAUGGUUAAAAGCCGGGAAGGGAUACUCUUGGCACCCUAACAACAACUGGCCAAUUGCUAUGGACACCCAUUGUCUCCAGAAAAGCCCUUCCCGGUAGCAGUAAAUCAUGUUCUUCCCGGUAAGUCGAUGACCUCACCUAUGAUCUGAACCUCCCGAGCUCGACGACUCCAGAUUGAAAAGAAAAUAGUCAGUCCGGGAGCAGAGAAAGAAAAGAGUUGGUCACGAGCGGGAGCAAAACAAUUGAAGAAGGAUUGACCCCAUGCAGUCUAAUCUGCAAGCAGCAGGUCCCGGUUCAAAAAAAAAAAAAAAAAAAAGGGAAGAAAGAAAGAAGCACCAAUCGUAAGAACUAAGAAGGGAUGUGAGAGAAGUACGUUAGUAUGGGUAAGGGAUGUUUCAGGUCCCGGUGGCUUUAAAAGAUAAGUUAAAAAAAAAAAAAAAAAAAAAAAAAAGAAGCUAUGGACACCGGAGGGAGGCACCAAGCUAUUAAUUCCUUGGUCAUGAGUGGGAUAUGCAGCAGCAGUGCGAACAGCCGAUAAUUACUCAUCGGAUCCCGGAGGCCUUCAGCAAACAAAAAAAAAAAAAGGUAGGGGUAGAAAGAAAGAAUGAAGCAGUGAGGGAAACCUGCAAAAUCCCAAGCAACAUGAUACUACCCUCCCAGUUCACACUUCCGGGUCUACUGGGUGCACCCAUUCAGCAGCUAUUUUCACAGAUAAGUCUCUAUCUCGUUGGUUUGUGAAAGUACAUAAUAUUGAUGUCAUGAUUUCGUCCUACUUGCAAAUCAACUUGUAUGUAUAUGAGUAUGGAUGCUGGUCAGUAGAUUUUGGCAUUAGACCUAGAGGCAUAAGUCAUUAAAAUCCCGAGUAAUAUCAAGCGGGAUAGGCAUUCGACCGAGAGAUUGGCAUUAGACCGAGAGGCAUUCCACCAAGAAAUUAUGUAAGCUGCUAAUCGAUCAUUUGUUUAUUGUGAAGGUACAAUAAUCCUCGCCUGACCGAAUAAGUUUUGAGGCCGGGAGUCGGGAGGGGCAUUUUUGCCUUAUCGGCGGACUUAAAGAUUACGGUGUACGUCAAGACAAGCAAGACCUGAAACACGCAAGACCCGUUCAACACACCUCUUGAGUACGGACUUGGGGGGACUGGGGCCGGAUGCCCGUUGAUAAAUGACUAGUCUAUGGGCAUUCUAUAUAUCAGGUCCCCACUCAAGACGCGUCUUGAACGGGAACUUGGGGGGACUUGUAGUCGGUAGUUGAUAACUACCUUCCCCGCCCAUAAACCAGUCAUGAAACUUGUAGAUCGACAUCCAGGCUACCUCGCCAUGGUGAAAUAUUAUCCAUGCCACAUCGAGAAGGUGCUCUCCCAAGCUCCACAAGAAGACAUCAUAAGAAGAGAUAUAUAUAGUUUGUCCCACAUUGAUAAUAUGUAAAAUGAGGGAACCUUCCUUAGUUAUAAAAGGAAGGCUUCCCAUAUGUAGAAAGGAUCUGAUGAGGGCGGACUGAAUCUCUCUCUCCCGAUCCCAAAGGCCUAUUGGCCAUGAUAGUAGAUUGCAAAGUGGAUGUAGCCAUGUCCUCCGAUGGCAUGGUGAACCACUAUACGUCGUUGUCUGUUGCCCAUGAUGUUUAUUGUUCAUAUUCGUGUUCUACCGUGAUUCUACAUAGUCCCCGGGAUUAUGCAGAAACAAGUCUUAUUGACUCCAGUAGGAGGUCCUACUGACCCCAAUAUGCUCAUCUUCCCUCUACUGCCCAAUAGGGGACCUAUAGUAGAACCCUAAAUUUGAAACAAAAUCCCUAGAUUUUACAGAUUCAAACAAAUACAAUUGCUAUUCUUCUCAAUUUAGACCAUAAACAAGUAUAAAACAGAUGAAUUAUACAAAGAUUGAAUCAAAAUUUGAAGGAGAUUAAAGCUGGUAGAGAAAUGGAAGAUUACCUGGCGGAGCACGACGGAGUACACGGCUAGUGUGAGAGGAUCUGAGCGAGAGGGCACUAAUAUGAGAUUGAGAGAGAGAGAGAGAGAGAGAGAGAGAGAGAGAGAGAGAGAAGAGAGAAGCGAAACUGAGGGAGGAGAGAGAGAGAGGUCGAGGUUGAGGCGAAUUGAGAAACUGACAGAGAGAGAGGACGCGCGUUUGUGGUUUGUUAGGUUUUCAAUGGGUAUUAUCGUCUUUCUCUUCGUUUAGUUGGCUAGUGGGAAUUUUGAGAUCUUAUUUUGUUAGUGGGAAUAAAACUCUUAAAAUUAGGGCUAGUGGGUAUUGUCCUAUUGAUAUAAUGAUGAUUUUCACUUUCAUACUUAAGAAAUUAUUAGCAUUUUUAUCUCAUCUUUAUUACCACUGACGAUAAUAUUUAGCAUAUUUACUAAAACACUAAUUAAUCUGUUAUGGUAAUUUUCUUCUAAAUUUAAAUCUUUACAUAUAACUCAUUAAAGGGUUUUCAUAAAGAGUUUGGGUGCAAAACAUCCAGCAAUUUCUUGAUCUCCAAGAAAAAAUACGUGCUCUCCAAGUUUGUCUCGGCUUCACUCACUUUCUCGGUUUCCUAUUGAAUUCAACUGUCUAUAUAUAAAGCCACACAUGUCUGUUAAAUUCAACGUCUUCUGGUACAAGCUCCCUGUCUGUUGGCCAAAAGAAAGCUUAAGCUGUCAGAGUGACGCUUCCCCAUUAGGGUUCCAGCAAGGGUUUCAGGGUUCCGGUCAUAUAUAUCUUGCUUUCACAAAACCACCAUUGUUGUAUGAUGCUUCGGAAGAGAGCAGCAACUCAAACAUAUUCAAGACUUCACCUUUCAAAGAAAGCAAGGAAAAACGAAGAGGAAGAAGACAUGAUCAGCCAAUUACCAGAAGACGUUCGCCGCCACAUUCUCUCAUUCUUAUCUACUAAGCACGCGGUCUCUACUACCAUCCUUUCAAGGAGUUGGAAAAACCUAUGGACCUUGGCUUCAACCAAAAACCUAGAGCUUGACGACAGCCUACUACUCCACCCCGAAAGUAAGACUGAAACCAUUCACCACCAUCCUUCUUUAUUCUCUGAUUUCGUGAACAAUGUUCUCGGGCUCAUCAGUGUGCCGUCUAUUCAAACACUCAAAUUUUGUUGUUCCUACCCUUACGACCCAGAUCAUAUACAUUGUUGGUUACAUAGGGCAUGCAGUUACAAUAUCAUCGAGGUUGAUAUCAGAGUAUACAGUCAAAACCCUAUCAAAUUGCCUUCGAAUUUGUAUGGUAGCACUUGGCUGGUGGUACUGAAAUUAAACGCCAAUGUAAGUUUCAACUUUCGGGACUCCAUCUCUUUUCCAAGACUCAAGGUGUUUUGGAUAAAGGUGUAUGACACAGACGAUGUUAACUUGACUCAGAAGCUUUUCAGCGAUCACAUCUGCCCUAUUCUUGAAGAGUUGUUCAUCGAGGGUGAGAUAUUGGAUGAAAAUAGGAGAGUGGUUUUGUUGGUGAUUUUGAGUUCUCAAGAGGUUGAAAAUUGAAUACCGUUUAGCGCAUAGUUUUCACGGUUGUAUUGAGUACAGUUUUGUGUUGCAUUGCCCUAACCUCGAGUCACUUGAUCUCCACGAUGACUUCUUGGCCAAGUAUAGUGCUAAGCAUUUGAAGGUUUUGGACCAUGCAAAUAUUAGUAUUGGAUACCCCUGUGCGGAUUAUGCAGCAUUUGAUCUUUACGGCGAUGGAAAUCCCUCUAAUCGUGCAUUUGAGGUCCUGGAAGAGCUCUCAAGUGUCAAGUGCCUAUCGUUAUCUGGUGGCACUACAAAGGUAUGCUAUUGUCCAUUCUCUUAGCUAGGUUUUUACAGAAGUACUACUUAGUAUGGUUUUUAGUUGAACUAAUUUGGAUUUUAAUUCAUUGCAGGCUCUCAGUUGUUCCUAUCAAACUGCGCAAUGUACCGGUUUAGAUGAUGACGAAGAAGAUGCAUUACUCAUCCGCUUGAGAAAUUUCGAGCUGUACUUUCGAUUUUUGACCUGUUUGGAGCUGGGUUUCCGUACCUGUGAGAGCUGGAGUUUAUUGCCCUUGCUACUUCAUAGCUCGCCCAAUCUGGAGUAUCUUGUCUUAAAAAAGGUGAGUUGAUACUGAAUGGACCAUUUUUUCCAGUUUCAAUUGCAGGAAUAAUCCAAUUUUCAUGCAUAGUUUUUCCGAAUGAUCCAAUUAUAUUGACCCUCUUUUCUUUUCUUUUGUGACAGGAAUUGGACUUGACUAGUUAUCGUUACAAAACAGUAUUCUCCUGGAGGCCGGAAGGUCCUGUACCGGAAUGCAUGUUGCUUCACCUCAGAGAAAUCGAAAUCUGGGGAUUUCAGGGGGAAUCGCAGGAGUUGGAAAUCAUAGACUUCUUUUUGGGGCAUGCAGAUGUGUUGCAAAAGAUGAGUAUUCAUGUCCAAGAAUCAUCACCAAAGAUGAUGUUUUCCAAGCAUGUGUUACAAAUCCCAACAGCUUCAGAAGCAUGUCAAGUGGAAGUUAUAUGAACAAAAAGUUCCACAUGAUAAUUUUUGUAGACCAAAUCACAUACUAGGAAUGAAAAUUUAUGAAAUUAAGAGUCAGACUUAUUGCCCACUAAUGUUGUCUACGUUCUCGUUUCUUUUUUCGUCUCCAUCUUCUCUAAAAUCUCAUAAAAUGGCCUACAGUGACGUUUUCAAGAAAAGAUGAGAAACAACUAUCUCCCGUAUCCACGAGGGAAUAAUGGAAGUCGUUUGUUUGAAACAACUGACGUUCCUCUGCUUAAAAGUAACACUAUUCUUCUCCAGUAUCGUUUGUUCAUAACACUAUCCUCAAAAAGAGUUUUUCAUUACAGCCUCAAUAAUAUUAGUGCAUCUUGUAAGAGUAACAGCUAAACUAACAUAACAAAUGUGUGAGAAAGCAGUAAAUAAAAUACAAUAGAAUUACAUAAUUUCCUAUGUAUCUGCAAAAAUGGUUGGCUAAAAAGUAAGAUAAUUAGACACAUACAUAGGCUGUUUUAUACUCUUUUGCUAGUAGAAACAUGAUGCAGUAUCACUCUGCGUCAGGGUCCAACCUUCUCUGGAUAGCAGCAGCAGCCUGAACGAACAAAAGGUGACAAAACAUAAAAGUUAACAACAUGAUUAAGCAUUAUGCCGAGGCACCAAAAGUUUGUAAUCCCUACCUCAAAGUUUCCGAUCUUGUACUGGUAAGCCAUCUCUUCCCGAAGUUGAGCUUGCUCUUUCAUUGCUUGCGCCUGGCAAUUCAAACGGAAAUGAAGAGGGAUGAAGUACGAUAAACAAACUAAAGGCUAUGACAACAAUAAUGAGGCAGAAACUGACCAGUCCACUCUGCAUAGAGCGCUUCAGAGCUUCUACUUCUUCUUCCUUUUGUCUUUCACGGACUCUCAUCAUUUCUUGCCUGAAAGACGAUAAUAUAUUAUUGGCUAAAUCUCUUCCAGGAGAAACGACUAUAUAUUAACAAAUUGCUAGACCCAACAGUGUAAUCAUUGCAAUAGAUUUGGGUUAACAAAACCAAACACCAUUUCCUAACCAUAUCCUGCAUCAAAGUAUAGUUGCCUAGGCCUACUGUUAUUUCGGUGCAUAAAACUGCCAAAGUCAUUUUUUCUAACCCAAAAACACUGACCAAUAAGUGAAACUGUUAUGUCCAGAAAUUGGCCAAAUAAAAAAACUGUAAUGGUUUUCUUAUGUCUUUUUUCAAGGGCUGGCUUUUGAAGAACUUUUUUAUGGAAGACUAUUUGUAAAGAAUAUCUCUGCGAGUUCAAGGGUUCUAAUGUAUAAUACAUAGUGAAGUUACUAGACUAGGUCUAAACACCAGAACACGAGUAAUUGGAACAUUAGUUGUAUGAAAGAAAAUUGUAUACUACUCUAUUAAUGGAAGUCCUUGAAAUGAAAGAUGCACUAUGAUGUUCGAAUUCAUUAAAAAUUAAAUAGAGGAUGUAGCUUGACCUAAAAUAAUGAGCGUAAAACAGUUAGUAAUGAAGCAUACCUUCGCACUUCCUCAUCAUUGAAUACAGUACGCUCUUUUUCCACAACCUUUUUCAUACCCUUUUUCAUUUCCUUUUCCAUUUUAUGGCUAUAGUAAGCAUCAAGGCUAUAAUACCUGCAAUCACAAAAGUAAAGUUCAUUGCAUGGUGCUACAUGGUAUUGUUUCAAAAUUUAUCAAAUGUGCUGCAUUUUCACAAGUUUCCUAACAAGGAGAGUGCAAUUUCAAAGCAAGAAGGUACAAAACUAGCAUAACUUUUUAUGAAAACAAACAUCAAGAGUCCAAGACAUAAACCAAUACAGAGAUGGUUAAAUCUUCCUUUUAUUUCGUCCCCAAAUAACGAACUUGAAUGUAUAUCUGAACAUAUAUAGGCCGGAUCAGAGGCGGAGUGCGGACGUCUCUCCGUUCUCCACCGUCUGGCGCCGACGACGGCGCUCCUCUUGCCGAGCGGACACCAGAGCCAUCCCCGACAACUUUACCAUGAAGAUACAUAUAUAUGCAUCUGAUCUCUUUCCAGAUAUUUGACUUGUUAUUUGCAAAUUUAUGAGUAAGGACUCAAGACCGCAUAUUCAAACAUAACACAGCAUAUAGAUCCUACUUCAGUCUAACAAUAAACUUGCCUAUAUUUAUGUACCACAAGUAAUUGCUGGUCAGACAAUGACGAAAACAACCCUCAACAGAUGUAGACAUACAAUUUAAAGUUUCUUUUUUCGUAUUUCUUGUUCAUAUUAUUUUGAAUAGAAAGAAACUUUAUUGCUAGGAAAAGCUAUAUAAUACACAUCCAAGGACAAGAACGCAGACAAAAAGAAACAAUCAGUUACAUGAGCUAAACUUGAAACUUCACGCGACAAAACCAAGCUAUGUCAAACAUUUAAACCAACUAGUACAUGAAAAAUUUACUUCCUAGACAUGUAAGUGUGGUGCAACCAUCCAGUACAUAAACAGCCAAGAAAGAGUCCUUACACUCAGAACAGACCGAUGACAAAUCCAAAAUCAUAUUAAGGAUAUUCAACUUAAAUUAUAUAGCCCAUACAUUUCAUGCUCCUCUAAACACUAGGAAAGUAAAUAAACUAAAACCCUAGUCCAGAAUAAGCUGCUAAGUAUACAAAAUUAGCUAUUUGUAUAAAUUUAAUCUGACUAAUAGGUGUCUAACUUUCACUAAAAGGAUCAAGUUAGAUAAUUUACAAAACAAAACAAAAAGAAAAACAAAAACAAAAAAGGUCCAUUUAACUCCCCACUUAGGACUGGAACAUUUAAAGGAGUUACAUCAUUAGGACUCGAACAAAACUGUGUCAACUAUUACAUAUCUAGAAAGGCUAAAAGCAUAGUGUCUAAAGUCUAAACUAAUAGAAUAGAACCUUACUUUUUGGAAGGAAAUGUAGCUGUGUUGUGAUCUUCCAUGAACCUACAAAAAGGGACAUAAGAAAAGUGCUUCUCAACUCAGAUUUUUUGAAACUAAAAUGCAAGAAAGGUAACAAAUUCCAGUCACCUUAUUACAUAACAAUUCAAUGAAAAAAAAUAAAAAAUCAAACUAGAUGAGAGGCCAAACAAUAAGAAGAAAGAAAUGCAUUCCACACACAAACACUUACUGUUUGAACAUCUGCUUCUCUUCCCAAUUCGGCAGAUGCUCCAGGUUCACCUAAACAAGCACGAUACAACUAUCUUUAAGAGUUCUAUUACCAGCAAGUAAAUGACUGCGUUACAACAAUCACAACUAUUGCAAUUUGCAAAUAUGGAACAAUGUCAUUAGGUUUCAUGGUGGGUAAAGACAAAGCAGUUGGUAAUGAAUUACCUGUUUUACUUCAGCCAACCAUGCCGUAAACUCCGGUCGCUUGUUCCUGUACCAUAGCAAACAUCAAGGGCAAAGCUUAAUCAAAUAAUCCCUCAGCAAAAACACAUUCUUUACUCAUAUACACUCUGCAAAACACUAAAAACUACCGAUUCCAGUAAAAACACAAUCUUUAAACACUGAAUUCAAAUCGAUAUGAACUCACCACAUAUCAGUCUCUCUGAUAAUCCCAUACUUGCCCCAAGAAUCAGUAACCGCUCCUUUCUUACCUUUCUCCUUCUUCUCCUUCUUCCUCUUCUUCCUCCUCUCCUUCUUCUUCUUCUCCUCUUCUCUCUCUCUCCUCCUCCUCUUCUUCUCCUUCUCUCUCCUUCUCCUCUCCUCUUUCUCCUUCCUCCUCCUCCUCUCCUUCCUCCUCCGCCGCUCGCUCUCGCUAUCACUCCCGCCCUCGCUCACCGAAUCCGACCCGCUCUCCUCCUCGGACUCUUCCGAAGACUCCGAAUCCGAGUCGUCCUCGCUGCUACUGUACCUCCGCCGCGACUUCCUCUUCCUCCUCCGCCGCGCGUGCUCCUCAUCGCUCGAUUCGGAGAUUUCCCGCGCUUUUCGUCUCGAUUUGCUGCGCCUCGUGUCUUUAUCGGAGUCAGAAAGCUCUAUGGAUUUGCCGGAUUUUCUUUCGCUUCCGUCGUCUUUGUCUGGGGUUUUGCUUGCUUUCUCCGGAACGGCGCCGUUUCGAUCUUUGCCCAUUUUGGUGGUUUAGGGAGAGAGACCAGCAGGUGGAGUUCGUUUUGUGUUCCUUACUCUUGAUAUGGACCGCAGUAAAUCAUGGCACACAACACAUCCCAAUUCUUGGCCCAAAUAACUCAUACCCCUUUUUUUGUUUGUUUUUUUUUUUUAUCAAAAAAGAAAAAAAAACUAAAUUCUAAUAAACUUGUACUUCAUUAUGGUAAUUUUAUACAACCGAAUGUUUACUCUAAAAAAAAAAAACAAUUAUUUGUUAGAGAAAAAGAAAUCAUCGAUUCCGCUUGGUGGUUUGCAAAUGCGUGACUUAUUAAUUUAUCUAGUAAACUACUGAAAGUGUAAGGUUUCAUGGGCGUAUGAAGAACUCGAACAUGAGGUGGGAUACAUUUAUACGUGGCUUCUUUCGAUGUACGUCUCUAUAGCCUAACUUGUAUUGCUGAUUGAAUCAAUACUUUUAGUAAAUCUUUUAGACACAUAAAUCUCCCUGUAGCCCAAGUAGUCGUUGUAAUAAAUUUUUUAGAAACGGAUAUUUCGUCAGAAGUAACCAUUUUUUUAUUGGAGGUUUUUGUUGUUGAAUAAUUCAUAAACAAAUGUAUGUCCUUUUUAUGUAGAAGUUGUUGUGGGACUCGUUGUAUUGAGUAAAAUCCCACAAAAAGUACAGGUAGAGAACGAUGUACAUUUGAAUAAGUUAUUACAUUAUACUAUACGUACACAUACAUUGAUACAUACCCUUAAAAUUCAUCAUGUAAAGAACUAAAGAUAACAUCCUUUAGUUAAAAAGCAAUAAUAAUAAUGCCUGGUUAAUUAUAGCAUUAAUAUCAACUUAAGAGAACUGGUUGUGGGAUGAAAAUGUUUGUCCAAAUCUCCAAGUGGAAGGAACAACGUUGUUAAACACUAGGGUUUUUCCAUCAACCAAGGUGAGCUUGAACGACAGUCGUUGGUUCCUCAGGUCGAUGCUGCUUUGCCAAUUGGCACCCCAAUUCCUAUGCAUCGGCAUCCAUGUUGCUCUCCUCAUCCUCGACCCCCGUAUCCACGCCCCCUUCACGGCGCCGCUUCCGCCAACAUUCGAUACCAUCACCAUGUUAAAGCUCGAUUGCCCCUUCAACGUGAAUCUGACUCCUCCUCUUCGUAUACAAGCCACCCUUUAUUUUCAUAUGCAAAAACAUUAUUUAUAUAUCUUCAGUAUAUGUGAGGCAAAUGUUGAUCUUGAAUCAGAGUUAAGUAAUAGUAGUCGAGUUAUACGUACCUUCUGUAGAUCACAGGAACAAUGCCUUCGUUGCCUUGUCGCGCAAUGCGAAGAAAAGCCGGCAUAGACAUGUCGAAAUGGUGGUGAGGGGCAUUGCACCACCCUCCGUUGUUGUUUGGGGGGCAGAAAUUGGUGGCGGAUACAGUCACGGCUCCUCGUCGAAGGCACCACUUUGGAUCCACCUUAUAGUUGCACAUCACUUGGUAACAAGCACCGCAUGCCUCUCCACCUCUGAAAAGAAUGGUACUUACUGCUGCUGUGUUCACUCCGAACGCCGUUACCAUUGUAUUUUCAUAACCACAAGCACCUCCUGUACAUAGUAAUUAAGAUUGUUGGUGUUGCUUUGGAGUAGUGCAAAUUUAUAUACAUCUUAUCAAAUCUAUGUACGUUGCGACUUACCAAAGGUGGCAGGGUCCUGGUUGACCCCAUAGAAAGUUGCAUGAGCGUUAAGCCAGGCACUAGCUUGAGCACCAUUGAUGCCCACCAAAACUACACUAACAAAGAAGAUGAUCUGCCGAAACAGAACACAGAAAGAACCUCUAGCUUUCAUUAUUCUUUCUCUCAACACACAGAAUAUAUCAGUUUCUAUAUUUGUUCUCAGCAGCCAAACUUAAACUAGAUGAGUUUUCAUGAUGAAGAAGCAGAAGAUAUAGCAUCCAUUUAUAGACUUACGGAUCAAACAAACACGAUCGUCGUCGGUGAAUUAAUAAAACGAUAUGCAGAAGAUAGUUGAAAUAUAUAAAUCAGUAGCCACAAAACGCGUUCGUUCACGUCUUAUGAAUAAGUACGGAAAGAUAUGUACGUUUGGGAAUGAAAGUUUUAGUUUCAAACACUGAAGAACAAGUGCAUGUGAGGUAUAUAUUAGGAAGCAGCUACUGCUUGCGAUCUGCAUGUUUUAAAGUCCCAUGUCGGUGAUUUGUUACCCCCACCCCCCACCCCCCCCCAACAGCAUGUUUAUGGCAUAUUAUUGCUGCGUAUAUUGGAAAUUGAAGAACUGUACACUACUACUAGUGUAGUUCUAUAGUUCUGUUUAUGGCAUAUAAGAACUAUACACUUAUGGAUUGAGUCAUACCAAAAAACCGAAAAUUAAGGAUAUCCAAUAUAUUACGAACACUAAGAAUGAAUUGUGAAGCCAAAUCUCUCCAAAACGAUCCUGAAGUAAUGCAUUUUCUUCUUGAUCUCUUCAUGAACGAAACGGAAUUGUGGUCUAUACGAGGCAACUAAUUAGCCCAUUUAACACAAUGUUGCUAAUGUAUGUACAAGAUGAAUAGAAUAGAAGUAGUGAGGUACCUUCUCCAAAUAAACUCAAAUAAUCUAGGAUCCAAGCUAAUUCAAUAGUUUUGAUAAUCAUUAUAACAAAAUGCAACGAUAGCUAUUCCUCUGUAAAAUCCUGAGACGCGUUACCUUUAUAUGACGGUGGCACACUCUUCCACACCCUAUCCAACCAAAAUAAGAGAUGGAUGCCAAUUGACUUCAAUAAGCUUAGCUUAGGCGCAGAAUAGCGCCAAGAACUGUAGUUGGAAUCUAAGUUUCAUUUCUCUUUAGGAUAUGAAAAUGAACAUUUCGAAUACACGCAGUGUAAGGUGAGGAGUAUCUCUCUGCAUAUUGCAUAUAGUUAAUUAGUUGUAUCGUAUCUAUUAUGUGAGGGUUGAGAUGUACAAAAAUCAAAUGCAGUGCUGGGUGCUUGGUCUGAGUGUCUGACCCAACCUAUAUUAUUUCCCAGCAACAACUAGAUUAAUACAGAAGACAAGUGGGUACAUAAAACAGACACAGAGCAAACUGAAACUCCGGGGAAGCUGUAUCUCCCAUUUUAACCAAAGUAAAAACCUAUUGAAGCUACGACAGUGGACAGAUUGACUUGGGCCUAGUUUAGGGUUUAAGGUUUAGAAUGUUAAACUUGCGGUAGUUACUAGAAUGUGAAAAGUAAGAAUCACGCAAAGACCACUUGGAAUAAUAGGAAAGAAAAAAAUUAACCAAUUUGGCAUUAGAAAUCAUAUGUACAGAAGUCUCGAUCAUACAAAGAGUGCUUCGAGCAAAAUCUCUAACAGCAUGUCUAAUCUAUACUGACAGCCAUUUCUAAUAACUGUACAUCAGCGAACCUACUAAAGAAUAUGUUCAGAACAAGAGAAGGCACAGCAUAAAGCAGCAGAAAAGAAAGAUUGUGACUCUAUUAAGAGAUUUGUCAAGCUGAACUUCCUGCCUUCUCAUCCUAGGACUGCUCGGUGGGUAUGUAUUCAGAUAAGGAUGAGCAAACAAAUUUGUGUCUGAGCUGCCAAACAUCCUUGCAAACACAAACUCUCCAACCAUCCCUAUCGUUGGAUUGGAUAAAUGUGUCAACAUCGUACUGCCAAGAUAAGCUGAUUCUGAAUUUGUGGCAUAACCUCCAUCAGAAGGGCUGUAUUGAUCAUAAACCGACUGUGGAUGUGUCUGUGUAUAAUAAUAAUUUGAAUGAAGUUGCUGCCUUGAAGGCGAUGUAGGGCUGGUAGAUGUAAACGAAGUGUCCAACCUAGGUGGUGGUCUGCGUGGUACAACCAGACCCAAAUUGGGUUUCUUUCCUUUUGAACCUGUACCACGACCAUAGAGGGGAACCACCGAGGAUGGAGUAAUAUUAGCCUUACAGACAGGACAGGUUUGCUGCAGCUGGUUUGGUUCAUCAGAAGCACUUGGAACCUGAAGCCAUUUGUAAAUGCAAGGCCAGCAGUACAGGUGACCACAGAGUGUCACCACAGGUUCAUGUGCUGAAUCUAAGCAGAUGUUGCACUCAAAGCAGCCACUAUCAUUGUCUGAGACAGUAGUAGGGGUAGACAUUGAUUUCCACUUCUUUACCGAAAUAUCUCCGUCUGACUCGAAGUGUCCCUGAGGCUCAAAGAAGUUCUGUUCCAUAGCGGAUGUGUUCUGUUAUAGAAAAAGGUAACAACAUUAGUAAGCAGAUGCACACAGUAACAUUAGUACUCAAGCCAAGAGCAAAUAUAUUCACAACAGUGCAAAAACAGUUGUAUCUACAUAAAUUCACCUCCCUAAGUAAAGAAAUAAAUAUCAUACUCAAAUUGCCAGUAAUGCAACAGACAACUUUCCCCAACUAGAUUUCCAAAACAAACACUAAGCAUCUAGAAAGGCAGAAAUGAAUAAAACAAAGGAACGUUGUUUCACUUUAAAUUAACAUAACCACAAGAGGAUAAAGAAGAAUCAAUUGGCACUGGCUCCAUGUUAUUUAAAUUGGAGGAAAAAAUGCAAAGGUUCUCCAACCCACUUAUCAGAGAUAACAAUAAUAAUUAUAAGAGACCCUACGGCCCUAACUAUCUUAGUACCAAACGUUGAAAAAAAAAAAAGUAGGACUAACAUGCCACCAGCAAAUGCCAUUUUCCCUUGCACCAAAUUUUCUCACUAAUUCUUUUCAAUACUCAAUCCUUUUGAGACAAAAACUUAUACACCAGUCCAAAAGAUAAAGGGGUGACCGCACUAGGAAAUGUUGACAUCAAGCACAUCAUCAAUUUAACAAAAUUUUAACCUAAUACUUGUUUUUCUAUCUAGAUGACCUGAAUUGUUCAGCUAUGAAUCUUCAUAAACAAAAAUAACUUAUUUCUACCGUCCGACCUUAAAGAAAUACAAUAAUUGGACAAACAUUAGGCAAAAAGGGGGAAGGAAAAACAAUGGAAGUAUUCUCUCAUAAUUGAAAUUCUUGAGCAUCCACGAUAUGGUUCUUGAUUUGUCAGAUCCAUAGAAAUAUGAAGUAUACAAAGACUUAUUCUACUUGAGAUCCUAUUGUUUGUAUUCCAAGUUUUAGCAGUUGCAGCAAGUAAUAUGAAGGUGGACUGACCUCUACACAUGAUAAAAGGACUAAAUAUUGAGAGGAAAGUGAGGAUGUAUUGUCUAUAAAACUGCUUAAAAUUCUUCAUAAACUCAACUAUCUAGAGCUCAUUGUUUCAGUCUUGGGGUAGCUGAAGUAAGCCUAACACAACAACCCAAAUUUCCAACUCUCCAUACAAAACUCUUUGUUGUUCCUAAUUCUACAAUUUCUCUUCAUUAAUUUCAUAACUUAGCCGACAUCUAAUACUUCCCAUCUUUGAACAUACAUAGCCAAAGAAUUUGAACAUCAAAUUCAAACAAGGCAAAAAAAUUGUCUCCAAAAGAAUUACUUUGAUUGAAAAAGCCAACAAAAGAAAUCGACCCAUCAUCGAUCUAACCAUGAGAAUCAAAAACAAAGCGAAACCCAUCAAAGGAAACUCACAAAUUCAACAACUUUGACAUACAAAUUGCAUAAAACAGAUCAAGAAAAGGUCGUAAAGGAAUCAGAGAUAGAAUGCUUACCGAGAAAAAGCUGAAUCCGAGUAGUGUAAUCGAAGGGAGAGAUAAAAAGAGGUGGGUUUGAUCGCUUUGCGGCGAAGAGAGAGAGAAUAAUAGGUUGAGAGCGAAACAAGGAAGGAGAGUAGAGAACAGAGAAUGAGAGCGUUUUGGUGAUUUGUUUGGGGGUGUUGGGUGUGGUAUAUAUAACAAUGCUCAAGGGGGAUUACUAGAGAGAGAGGGAGAAUAUAUGACUGUGCUUUGUAACCGCGUCAUGUCAUUUGGUUUUUUAUGGUUUUCAAUUCAACGUCUUGAAAACUCUUUGUUUCUUCUUCUUUCUCAAAAAGGAUGGUUCUUUUGUUUUCGUUUUCUUUCCGAUUUGUUUCUCUAUUAUGAUCCUGAAUUAGUGAUCCGAUUGUCUGCCACGUGUUAGGGUUUUGGUAUGUAUCUUCUUUUCUUGUGUUGGUAACUUUUUCUUGGAUUUUGGUAAGUAUUAUCAUCUCUACUAAUCCUACUACGAUAAAAAAAAAAACGUUAAACAAAUAUGAACUAUCAUCUUAUUCAGUAACAUAACGAGUGUCAAGUUACACUGUCGUUAUAUCAUCGAUUAGAUUCUAAGUAACUUGUUAAAUAAACAAGCGUCGCAAGCUCAACAUCACUAUAUAACACACAUUGAUUGCUUGGAUAUGUGCACAUAAGAAAUCGCGUAAUCCUCUUCCUUUAAGUAGACACUAAGAAAUAUUACUAAAAAGAUCGAGGUCGAUACUCCAUGUUAUCUAAUGAAGAAACACAUAUGAAUAUCUAGAAUAUAAAAAAAUGGUGUCGCAGUGUUUGGUAACAUUUGACAUCAAGGUAGUUAAAAAGCAAGUAGCCGGCGAUUAGAUGAAUGAUGAAUCCAUCAAUGUAGUUAAUAGGUGCAUCAAAAAAGGCAUCGAUUUACUUGGUUCUAAGAACCUUCCUUCCUACGAACAACUUUACUAGAAGAAGAAUUAGCAGAUCACUACAACCACGACCAAAUCAAUGGAAACGCCAUGAUGAAGCCGAGAGAAGAAAAUUCUGUUAGUCAAGUAAAAAACGACGAUGGGGAACAAUUUAGGUUAAUUAUUAUUUGAAUCCUAAAAUCAGAACAAGGCUUAGCUGACGAGGUGGCUAAGCGGAGCAAAUAAUACCAUUGACCAUCGAGAAGAAAGUGACCCGUGCGUGGUUCAAAAGAAAAACCCUAGAAGGGUUUUGAUAUUUUGAGGGCUCUUUAUGACUAGGACCAUUAUCUUCUUCUUCCUCCGGUCUUUGUCUGCAGCAUGUGGAUUUGGAUCUGGGAUUAUGCUAACCUUGGGAAACUAGAAAAAGAUAGAUCUCUACGUGGCCUUCGACGUGUGGAUAUUAGGGUUUUCGGCGCUGUUCAUAGUCUGUUCCAGUGUCCCAUACACACACUGGUUUUGAGAUCGACGUGGUUUUCUGAUGGCGCGGGGGUCGUAGAUCCAGAAUCUUCUCUUACUAAUUGGGAUUAAAAAUCAAACAUUUCCAGAAACAACCAACUUCCUUAAUAAACCGUUAACCAAAGGCCCCUCGGAUUCCAGAAGCAUGUUUUAGCUCAAAGCUAAGCCUCAAGUUUUAGAGAGUAGGAAAAAUUGGAAGAACCGUCGGGAUUGAAAAUGUUUGGGCAGGUAAAUAACUCUUGGAAACAACCGACAAAUAGUAUCCCGGCCGUCACUAUAUAUAUAUAUAUAUAUAACUCUCUACACUAAUAAUCGUACCUAAUAAGUUUGUAUUUAGUUUGUGUUUUUUAGCUAGGGUUGCAGGUUUGUGCAACAACUGGUUGGCUGUUGUAGACGUUUUGUACCGAUGCAUACCAUCAGUCAUUUGUUUCAUUUCGACUCAUCCGAAUAUACAAAUGAGCGUUGAUACCGUUAAAUAAUUAAUGAUUAGACCUAAUCUAUAUAUCAUUGUGAUCACGUAUUACAUGCUUUUUAUCUACCUUUAAAUCGUUAGAAGGAUGAUAUAUAUAUAUAUAUAUAGUAGUAUUUUCUAGCUUGAGUUAAUUAUAAUAUAUCAACAUUAUACUUUAUUAAAAAAUAAAAAUAAAAAAUUAUGCUCAUUCAUUAAUCGCUCUGAUCUAUUUAUUAAUUAAGCAGAUAGGUAAUAAAACACAAGUGGAUAACAAAAUAAACUCAUUUUCAAAAACAAACUCCUUUUCAAAAAUAUUAGCUGAAGCUAGCGGUUAGUUUUUGUAAAGUUUGGAAUGCGGUACUAUUUCUCUUCGUUUGUGGAAUGUUUAAUGAGGCCGUUUAAUACUCCUAUUGAUAUAGUUCUUUUCUCAUGAAUAAAUCAUUCGAUUUCGAUUUGAUAAAAAAAUAAAAUAAAAAAAAUUAAGUCGGCACAAAUAUAUUCGAUCAAGAGGAUUCAUAAGUUUCAGUUUUGAGGCCAAUAUUUUCAAACCAUGCAAACAGGUGUCUUUAAGCUUGAAGAUCGAUCGAGAGAUCCAUAACUUUCAAAUAGAUAUAUACAGAAUUGGAAAAAUUUCUAUAACAUGACAAAUGCCUCCAUGAAGUGAAUGAAUGAUGUUGUCGGGGAGUAGUCGAUCGGUGCCAAUAUUCCAAAUUAGGUUACGUACUUACGUACGUUAAGAACACUACAGUGUGAUAUACUAAAGGCGUGUAGGGUUCAAAUGUCUCAUUAAACUAGCUAGCUAGCAUGAGUUUACACAUAAACCAUAUAUACUGCCAAGAACUCACAUAUUUCUGGAUCGAUGAUAGUGAGUUCUUGAGUAGUUGUGUUAAAAGAUAAGAUGACGAAUACAGUGGAAAACUGUACUGUCAAAGGUCGCAAUCCUCCUGAUCCAGGCUCAAUCUUAUCCAAUUAAGCCAAUUAGGUUGAUGUCGCUAGGCUAUAAGCACAUAACGAAACUAGUAGUACAUGCAUCCACCUCAUUCCACGUUUCUAGCUAGCUAUUCUGGGUUGGAGUUGUAUUGCAUGGUCAAUAUAAUUACAUAAUUUCACUUGCUCUUUUGUUUUCUAUAUAUAAAAAAUAGAAUUCAUUUGGAACGAGUAAGGUGGGAAGUUCAUCAUCUCCAUAUCCAUUUUAUUGUUGUGAGAUUACAACCAAAUCGGACUACAUAAACCUCAUGCAAUAUUGUUACAAUCAUCCUCAAUACAAUAUCUUUACUUAUCCUAUCCUCGGUAUAGUAUCUAAAUUAGGUGUUAUGGUUUUGUUUCCUAUGCUUGCAUGAGACUUGAGACUUGUCUCAAGCUUAUUAUCAAUGAGGAUACGUACCGGUCAUGAUGCUUAUGUAGAUUUCUAUCUACAAAUUGUGUCGAACCCGACAUUUGAUGUAACGUAUCUUCUGGCAUGACCAUUGCUUUAGCAAUACAAUUUCCUUAUCAAAUAUAUAUAAAAUAAAAAAUAAUAAAAAAAUCUAGUGCUUGAAAUAAUGAUCUAAUUCCUUCUUCAUUUCAUAUUAAUAUAUUAUACUUGUGAAUCAAAUUUCUAUAAACAUUCUAACUUAAUAAGUCAUAUAACUUAAGUACGCGCAACCGAUCAAAGAAGUACUAUAGCUCUGGAACAAAAGAACCUAAAUUAAAUGGUCACACAAGAUAGAACUAUGUAUAUACAUUAUAUAUUGCUCAGAUAUGUGUAUGUAUUUGCCAAAAUUUUGAUUCAUAGUUUCCUAGAUAUAUAAUUAAGAAAACUACUUCAGAGAUAUGAUGUGUGCUCUAGCUAUCCAAGUCUUCUAGAUGCCGGCAGGUUGUAAAAUAAUAAAGCUAAAAUGGGCAAAGAAGGUUACAUUGCAGCUAGCUGGUGAUCGAUCUUCUAGAUAGAAUGAGCGCAUGCAGCAUCACUGUCAUUUACACACGCAGGCAUGCGAUUAAGUGAGCAUUGAUCCCCACUACCACUAUAUAGUAGUUGACAAUCCGAAGUCGGCAGAUUACCAAUAUUAUUAUGUAUACGCCACUCCGAGCUUAUAUAAUGUUUAACAGAAUAAACUGAUCCAUGGCAUUGGUUUGACUUGCCCUGCACUAAGUUGUCCAACAAUAGCUUGAAUCUGAUAAUGAAAUCCCUAUUUCCUAUUCCUUCCCGUGUUACAUGUGAUAUAUUCUUAAAUUUUGAUCCAGGUAUCAUCGGAGAUAUAUACUUGUUUGUUUAACCUUAGUUAUCCAAGAUUUAGAAGACACUUAUGUCCUCUCAUUCGAUCUCAUCUCUUAAUUUACAUGUAUAAUUGGAGGACGGUCAUACGUACAUGUCAAAUCCUAAAUGAUUGACUUCGUGUCUGUUUUUUUGCUUAUAGUGUUGGAUCAAGUUUGUAUCAACAAGCAACAAGAUGAUGAUGACAUGAAUCCAAAUUGCCCUGUAAUGUUUAUCUUAAUCGCAGACUUGCAACUCAAUGACCAAUAGCAGCAGUCCCACGCAUAUUCUGCGUCCACAUUUUUAUAUUGCAACGAGUUGCAGAAUGUUCUGACUAACUGAAUGAAUUAGGGUAACAAUCACAACCUCAUUCUAAUCAAUCAAAGUUGAAAAUCAAGAAAUUCCUUUGCUUAAAACAAGAGAUUAAACCAAACACUGUGACACGGGACGUGACCUGCUUAGUUUGUGCAUUAAGGAAGUAUGGGAAGUACGUAGUAAGCUAGCUAGUAAUUAACACGAAGUUAAUUAGUUGACAUCGACACAAUCGAAUCCACCAACAAACUAGAAUUUUUUCCCCCGUCUUUGUGAAGCACAAAGAACAAGUUGAAGCUAUUCUUCUUCAAGAAAUGCUGUUCUGUUCUACUUUGAUUUUCCUGCAUGUUGAUGGACCAAGAUAUUUGAACGAAGAACAGAAAAGAAUUACGGAGUGUACUUAAGAUAUAGAAUUAUUCCAGAUUUACGUACGCAAUGGAAUGUUAGACUGGGUCUCGAGAUGCACAGUAGCAAUUCUUAAGAAGCUAAUAGAAUAUAUAUACCAAAACCAACGGAGCUGGCCGGGAACAUCCAGAAGAAUAUGAAUGGGAUUGAAAGCCAUCGAUCAUCGUCUUUCUGACUUUCAAAGAGAGGAAUUUGAUUCAAUCAAAUGUAGACAGACCGUUAGGAAUUGGAAUUAAGUAAUUACCUUUCUAACUAUAUAUAUGCUGACUAGAUUGUUAUCCAAAUAUAUAUAUAUGUAAUCAGGCACGUCAGCUCCUAAGAAUUUCUCUAGCUAAUAUGAGAAGGUGAUCGAUCUACACAGAGCCACGCGUAACUUCCAUCACAAGUGUGACAGAUACUAAGAUAUUGCUCGUCACAAUUGGCAUCAGAGUUGAUAUUGCUUCUAGAAACUACGAUAUCAUAUAUAGUUCAUGAUGGAGAUCGAAGAAUUAAUUGUAACGUUGGAUGGUUUAUUAAGGUGGUGUAGUCCUUAACGUCUCUGGUUCAACGAUGUGUUGAGGUUUGCUUCGGGUUAUCGGGUAUGGACUUUGAUAUGUUGAGAUGUAGUUGCGUGUUGUUUUCACCCCUGAACUUCCAUGAUCUGUAGUAAUAAAGCUCGGUUUUUCCUUGUCAUAAAGAAUUUACUGAAUUUCCUCUCUAGUUGAUUUUUGCCUGUUUCUUUGAUGUGCGGGCCUCAAUUUAGAGACGCUCACGUAAGAGAUAGUUUUAAGGGAUUGUUAGAGACAAAUACAUCUAAACCACAUGAUUAAAUAACAAUGCAGAAAUGAUAACAACUUUAAAUUGUGCUUACGUUAGGCGACAUAACCCAAUAACAAACUUAUAUUUGAGUCCCAGCCAACAAGCCGACACUCAUUAGUCUCCAACCCAGAAUUACUUUUGGGCUCAAACACAAUUUUAUCAGUUCAUAAGGAAGAAAAGAGCCAAUUGAAGGGCUCAACACAACAAAAAACAAACAAAACGCUUCAAACAGGCAAAGCUCAAUGGGAAUACAGACCAAGUAGCUAGGGAUACGAUGAACACGAUUGCACAAAGCAGUACACACAAAAUAUCCCUCCAGACUCAUGAUUAAUACAUGUCUCCAAAUUCUUAAGUCGACAUAGCAGCACCGGAGAGUUGUUAAAUGGUAGAACACAUGCCAAAUUCUGGAAGGAAAAAAAGAACAUAUAUCCGACCAAUAACAAAUUGUUAACCACUAUCCACCAUAUGUACGUAUUGGAGCACGUAAGUCGCUAAAAUGACAUACGCCGAAAUUAGAUCAUACUGAAUCCAAAAUGAGACCGUCCACAUGUCAAUUAGUGGAUAUCAUAAGCUGUGAAUUAGUUCAAAAUUCAAAGCAUAAGAAAUAAAUGGAGAAAAAUAAACCUUGUACUAAACCUACAGAUUGCUAUUGGUCGGUCUGGAAAUUGUCUCUGAGGAUACGGACUUUGGUGAAGAUAGACCACAAGACUUGUCAGACUACUUAUCCUUGUUUGAAUAGCAAGAAAUCAUGUGGAAAAAGGAAAUCACAUUGAUACUGAAAGGGCCAAACUUUGUGUUCUUCAUAUAUAUUAGUCUACAAUGUUGAUGGAUUUCUUUUGAAGAUAGAGAAGUUCUAGUAUAUACUGGAUGUGUGAUUUUGAUGGAGACCGAAAGGAUUGCCAUACAUUUAUUUAGUAGAAACUGCAGAUAGAGAACAAGCUAGCUACUACAAAUUGGAUAUUGAAUGUCAAAUUAUAAGGUCAUGAGCCAAAUUUGCCUAUUCUUUGCACACAUAACUUUAUUUCAGUUUCGCUCAGGCAUCUUGCUAUGAAGACUGAAGAGGCGAUCAGCAUUAGAGCUGGUGAUCGACUACUGCACUAAUGACCCUGAUGUACGUAGCAACCAUUUACCAAGUGAAAAUUCCCUAAAGGAGACUUAAAUUAAGGAAACGAUUUUCAUGACCAUUACUUUCUAGAACCAACACAAAUGUGAGAUGUCUAUAUAAUUCGUUGUUCUUGAGGUAAUUGAUCAGUAAUCCCACUUUUUUUUUUUGGUCAAUGAGAGUAAUCCCACUAUUUGCUCACGAGUAAUGUUCAUCUAAUUCAUCAGAGAGAUUAAGGCUCUGAUCCAUGAUAUCAUUCUCGAAUACUGCUAACAAUAAAUUAUAAAAGACGCAGUACAUGAGUACCAGUAUGGCAGUAUCACCUUCCCUGAGACACCUUUGGUUUCAUCCGAUAUUAGCAAGAAUAAUUAGGGUUUAGGGGGUAAACCGUAAAACCCUAGCAUUUCUUGAAAAUGACGCUCCAAAUAAUUAUGGAAGCAGACUUGUUGGACCCCUUAAUUGCAUGAAUUGGACAAUAUUGUUCAUGCUCGAUCGGUUUCAUAAACAAGAGUUUGCAAGAUGUGUGAAUGCUUUUCUGCAGCUCUAUAAGCUAGCCUCCAUGGUAGUAAGGUAAACUCUUUCAAAGUGGCUUUGUAUCACAAUCUGCUGCCAUACGAAGUGCUUGAACUUCGUUAAUUUCCUAGUUUUUCCGAAAGAAAAAUUAUUCUGUGUUCCCGAAUUGGUUGUACUUUCGGUACUAUCAACUUGAUCUUCUAAAUGUAAAGUGACCAAAAAAAAACUCGAUCUUCUAAGUGUAAAGUGUAUGUAAUUGUUUAGACUUUAGAGGUGCACUAUAAGAUCUCGUGUUGUAGGCGGAAUAUUCAAUCAGCUAUUAUGAAGAGUUUAAGUCACAGUUGUUCACUGUUUUUGUUUAUUCCUUGCAAGCUUUACCUUGGAUUAAAGCAGUGUAGCUAGGAUCUGACUCUUGUUUUUUAUUUUUUUUGGUUAGAGGAUCUGACUUUUACUGUUCAUGGCUGUCUUAACAAUAUCUAAGUGUUCAAUUGUCAAAAUAGCCGUCAGGUCAACUGCAGUUUCAGAUGAAGAAACUCGUUGGUGAUGCUGUGCGAAAAUUACCCUAAAAAAAAAAAAAAAAACUUAGUUGGAUGAUGCUGUGCUUGAUUAUUCCCUAGAAGACUUUCGACAAAGUAUUUGCCGUAGCUUUUAUGCUUCCAGUAUUGUAUGGUUUCGUUGACAAAGUACGAAUGUAAACAAUAUAUGGAUCAGUAAUAAACCUACCGGAAGAACAAUUCAAAGUAGAUGAUAAUCAAGUAAUCAUUCCGGUGAACCAGCCAGCCAUCUCCACUGUGUGUAUAUAUACGUACACAAAUGUAUCCAACAAGUCCAGUGAACAAAUAUGGCUCAUUGUUUCCUUCCUUUUGUUAUCGUACUCAGUUACGUACUGGAAUGGGUACUGCUACUAAUAUCAUCCAUGCAUGCAACCAAAGUGAACGUACUUCUCUCUUGUCCUUUGCUCUUGCUGUUUCUUCUCCCUCUUCCUUAUAUUGGACUUCAAAAGACUGUUGCCGCUGGCAAGGCAUCCAUUGCGAUGCCGCUGGUUGGGUCACCCAUCUCUCAUUGCCCUCCAAAGGCCUCACACUCAAACAAGGUACUACUUUUCCUUCAUCAAUUGGGAAUCUCACACAUCUCACCCAGUCACCCACUUGAAUCUCUCCCACGAUUCCCUUGAUCAAAGUGUUGCUUCCUUCUUGUCCUUGAAUCAUCUUGAGGACGGUCCUUGAUUUGAGCUCUAACCUUCUUUAUGGGGAGCUACCGCUUUCUCUUCCAUCAAGCAUCCAAGUGUUGGAUUUGUCCAGCAAUCAGUUAACAGGUCCGAUUCCAUCUCGGUUCUUCCAACAAGCUAGGAAUUUGACUAGUUUCCGGGUCAGCAAUAAUAUGUUCUCAGGAUCUAUUCCGUCCUCGGUUUGUCAUCACCCUUCUCCUUUGAUUAGGGUAUUGGAUUUUUCCUUUAAUCUAUUCAAUGGCAGUUUGUCCAGUGGGCUAGGAGAGUGUUCCAAACUGGAAGUUUUUCGUGCUGGGUACAAUAACAUCUCAGGAAUACUUCCAGAAGAUAUUUACAACAUUGCCAAACUUGAAGAAUUUGCAAUGCCUUUCAAUUCACUUGAUGGAGUCAUUGGAGAUAGAAUCGUGAAUCUAACCAACCUUGCAAUUCUUGACCUCCACGUCAACCAAUUGAGGGAUAUGCUUCCUCUCAAUUUUGGUAAUCUCACCAAGUUGAAACUCUUGCUCCUCCAUUGGAACAAUCUUGAAGGUUUUCUACCCCCAUCUUUGAUGAAUUGCACGAACCUUAUAGAACUGAAUCUAUUAGGCAAUCAGUUCCAGGGGGAUAUUUCCACGCUUAAUUUCUCAAAACUUACUCAACUUGCUAUACUUGAUCUCCUCUCCAAUAACUUGAAUGGCAGUUUGCCUAUGAGUCUUUAUUCAUGCAAGUCCCUGAAAGCAAUUCGGCGUGGUAUAAAUGAUAUAGAGGGACAAAUACAACCUGAGAUUCUAUCAUUGAAAUCCUUGUCUUUCCUCUCUAUUUCUCAUGGUAGAUUGAGCAAUAUCACAAAGGCAAUAAACAUUCUGAAGCAUUCCAAAAGUCUUGUAUUCUUAUCCUUUGUAUUUAGUUUUGAAGCAGACGAGGAAAGUCCAGCUGAUUUCGGCAUAACUCAUUUUGAAGGGUUUCAAAGUCUUCGAUUCUUGAACUUGCGUGGUUGUAACCUCGCCAGUGAGAUUCCUAAAUGGUUAUCGAAGGUCAAGAAUCUAGCAGUCUUAAGUUUAGCUGAUAAUAAAAUCACAGGGUCAGUUCCAAAACUGAGGCACAACAGCUUCUAUGGAAGUAUACCUGUCGAAAUCGGCCAACUGGACCGUCUCCAAAGCUUGUGGCUUAACCACAACAACUUCACCGGCAACAUCCCCACCCAAAUUUCUGACCUCAAAAACUUGAAUGCUUUGCAACUCUCCGAGAAUCAUUUGUCUGGACAUAUCCCAUCAUCAUUGAGUAGUCUAAACUUUUUGUCAAAUUUCAACGUCUCCUUCAACAAUCUGGAAGGGCAAAUACCAAAAGGCACUCAAAUCCAAGGUUUUGAUGUAUCUGCAUUUGAAGGGAACCCCAAACUUUGCGGUUGUCCGCUUCCAAAUGAGUGCCAUGCAAAUAAGGGGCUUGAUGAUCAAGAUAUGGACAACAACUACAAGCAUCGAACUCCAUGGUUUUAUGUUCCUGCCGGGCUCGGGUUCGUUGUAGGAUUCUGGGGAGUCUGGUUCAUUGAUUUUCAACAAGACAUGGAGAUAUGCCUACUUCCGAUUCAUAGAAAAGGUACAAGAUAAGUUCUACAUCAUGAUCGUUGUGCGUAUUUACAAGAUGAAGAGAUUGGUUAAUGCUAGCUAGACUUGAAUUUGUAAUUAUUCUGCUGUUGCUCGUUUUUAAUUGUGAAUAUAGUGAGUGAUGCUACCUCUUUUAAAUGAGUUCUAUCGGCAUCUAUUUUUUUUUUUUCUCACCCUUAAAGAGGUGGUUGUCACUUGUCAAUCCAUUAAAAUAAUAAAAGUUAUUUUCAACUAGUUCACACAGAAAGGUUACGACAAGCCAUGGACAUCAGAAGUCCGGAAAUUGUGUCUACGAGGACGUGGUGAAGAUAGGCCACAAGUUGGUAAACUUGUCCUUGUUUGAAUAGCAAGAAAACAUGUGGCAAAAGGAAAUCAUGUUGAUACCAAGUGCAAAAAACCCCACUUCAGAAUUUGCCUAAACGGCUAAAAGUCUGAAACUAUGUGGUUUUAAAGGCCACGUGUUUUUGCAGAGGGUCACAACAAUUUUGAUUCAAUAGAAGCAAAGAUUCUAUCCUGGACAAAACUGUAAUUUAGAAAAUAUGCAAAAUUUGAUGUUCUUAGAUAUUGGUCUACCAUGUUCCUGGAUGCUGGAGUUCUUUGAAGAGAGCUUUUAAGUAGUAUAUUGGAUCUUGAUGGCAAAAGAGAGGAUUAAUAUACAUUUAUAAGUAGGAACUGCUGAUAACAAGCUGCUAGAAGUUGGAUUUUGAAUGUGAAAUUACAAGUACAUGAAAAAUGAGCCAAAUUUGCCUACUCUUUGCACACAUAAUUGUAUUUCAGUUUAUAUUUUCCCAGGCAUUUGCUAUGAAAAGAACCUCAGCAUUAGAAUACUAGUGACUACAGCAAUAGUUACCCUAAAGGUGACUUCAAGCGAUUGGAAAUGAUUUCUAUGACCAUUACUUUCUAAAAGCUUCUGUCCAUUGAACCAGAGUCAUGGAAUUACAUCCUAAAGAGCAUCACUCACUAAUAGAUUCCUAAUGUUAUAUCUUCCAUGGGCAUACUACCAAAAUGCACUAUGAUCUUCAAUCAGAAUUUAAAGAAUCACAUCAUACAUAGUAUGCCAGAUACUGUUUAAAAGAGACGUUCAGGUGCUAAAGAUUUAAUGUUACUAGCAUUCUCUGACACUGGAAAAUAGAUACAGAUUCUUCCAAAUAACUAUACAGGAGAGGACAUCAGUUUAUUUUGAGAGAAGUAUCUAAACCCUGAGAAAGCGAGAAUCUAAAACGAGAAGGGACAGAUAUAAGAUACAACUUAGCUCCUUAAAGGACAUUCAUCACGUACCAUUUCUACAAGAACUUUUCGAUGCUGGUGGUCAAUGUGGAUUUGGGAACGGCCCCAAUAACUGCAUCUUUUUUCUCACCGCCCUUGAAUAUGAUGACAGUGGGGAUGCUUCGGAUCCCAUAUCGGGUUGCUACUGAAGCACUCUCAUCGGUAUUCACUUUGUAACACUUGAGCUUACCAGCAUAUUGCUUUGCCAGUUCAUCAAUGAUAGGGUGGAUCAUACGGCAUGGACCACACCAUGGCGCCCAGAAUUCAACCAAAACCGGUAAUUCAGCAUCGAGGACAAGUGACUGCCAUGUUGCAUCAGAAACAGCAGGCACUGCAAUUUUUAAGAGCAAAAUACUAUCAAAAAGAAAUCAUGUGUACAUCAUUACUACUGCUCAGAAAGAAAACAGUUACCAAUAAGUGAAAUAUAUGAACUUCAUACCAUAUCUUUCUUAUCAAGUUCACUAUGUUCUAAUCAUAAGACUUUACAAUAUUUACUUAUCACAUGACAAACAAAGAUGUCUGUUUGCCAUUUCAAAUUCUUGGACCCUAAUGAAAGUGGGUACUUUAGUUUAGUCUAAUAAUGAAGAGUAAUCAUGCAACUGGCAUUUGGUAAUGAAUUGCAUUGGAGUAACAGAUUCCUAUAAAGUGUGGCCCUGAAUCAGCAAACUAGCAUGAAGGAACUUCCUAAGACGCCACAAGCACGGUUUCAAAAUAAUUCAUAAUCAUACACAAGCUCAAACCAUUCACCAGCUACUUCUUCCCUAAAGCUUUAGACAUCCAGUUAUCAUUUUCUUUACCGACCAAAUUAUCACAAACACAGUCAUCCCGUUAGACCUUUCUCAUCACCCAACUUUUUUACCCCAACAGACUAGUACCUUUUGCAAACUAAUGCAGUACAUGUUUCUAAAGUAACUUUGGUUCCAUAUGGCACUUAAACCAGAUAUAUAACUGGAUUUAUUAUUUGCUCCAAUCUUCAAUCAUACAAUUUUAUCAACAUCUUUCCUGAACUUCUUACUAUUUAACUUGGCAAUAUUGGGACUUCCACCAUCAAUAAGUCCUUGACAGUGUCACUGUUGGCUUGCCUUUACCCCAUCAAGAAGCGGGUCCACUUAAACUCCUGAUGGAUUCAAUCACGACACUUCAAGAAACCAAAACCAGAAUUAAAUUCACCGAGAUAAAGCUUAACUAAGACCCUAAAGUCCAUUCCAUGCCUCCCUGCGGAUAAAUCCUCACUUCCUACUACUCCUGCUAUCUUCUUUUUAUUCAUAUAAAGUCAAACUGCUGUGAAUAUUCUAAAGAAAGUUCCAAAACCAAUUGUUUCCUGAUCGAAUCCUUUCAUUUUCGAUUCUCAAACUUCCUAACAACUAGAGCAAUCACAUCAACGUACUCAUCUUCUCAACUUCUAUGCUGAUGGACAAAACAAAUUUCUUCCGAUUUCGAAACAUUCACUUUACACAAUAAACCUAGCACCUCAUAUUUCAUAACUACCAAACUCAAAUCAAUAUAUUAAAAUAAAGCUGAGAAAUAACAAUCAGAGCACAUAAAACGAGCCGAUCAUACAGAUUUCAAGUCUGCUCUACUAAAUCUCCACAUACAAAACACAACAGAGAUACAAAAGACGAAACUGACCUCCAACGGCGGUGUCCUGAGCCUCGCAGACGACGAGUCCCCGGCGGCGACGAGCGGGGCCGUAAGUCAGCGAUCCAACAGAGCGAGAGGUCUGAAGAGCGGACCUGACCUUGAGGCCAGUGAAGUGAGGCAAUCCGAGGCGGCCGGUGCGGGAAGAAACGGAGGAGGCGGCGAUCGGGGAAAGAGAAGCCGAAGGGAGAGCGGAGGAGCGAGGAACGACGAUGGAUUCAAGGACGGUAGCCAUUGCCGUAGGAGAUCGGAGCUCCAGAGAGAGAUGUGGAUAGACAGAGAGAGAGAGAGAGAGAGAGAGAGGAGGAGAGUAGUGNNNNNNNNNNNNNNNNNNNNAGAGAGAGUAGUAGAGAGAGAGAGAGAGAGAGAGAGAGAGAGAGAGAGAGGGAGAGAUUGGCUGUUAGCGAUUUCAGGAUGGCGAAUAGUGUGUGAGUGGGGAGGAGCAUUUAGAUGAGGAUCCAAAUUAAAAUAUGAGCGCAUACGGGAAGCGAGGUUACAAAGACCAAUUUAGCCUCUUCCCAGUUUGUAUGGGAUACCCGCGUACAAGAUUCUAGAUAUAAAUUUAGGGUCGGUGAGAAGUGGUUUGUUGGUUAGUUCGUCUAACUAAAUAUGCUAGAGGUUAUAUGUUUAUAUCUGUAAUAUAUAGUCGAUAAAUAUCUCAUCUGGCCCACGAUGCUACCGGAAGCCCAACAUGAGGUAGACCGAGCAGGCCUCAUCUUGAAGGUUGUAGUAGUUUGGGCCGGGCAGGAGACACACCACAGAAGACCAAAUAAACAGAUCUCAGUAGCAUAUUUGUCCCACAUCGAAUAGCAGGCAAGAUAUAAGUCAACGCGGGGCUAUAAAUACAAUGUUAAAGUCAACCAAAGAGGUAAGAAAAUCUCAUAUCAUUAAAUACUAUACCUACCAAGUAACUGACUUAAUCAUCGGAGAGAGAAAGAUCAGAAAGUCUCGAUCAAUCUCCUCUUGCAGGUAGCGAGUCAACGACGAUCAAAGGCAGAGAUCACGCCAAGAGCUUCUAUAAGGUCUACGAGAUCUUGCAGAAACAAUAUCUAACUAAUGUUGUAAGAGCAUCUUCAGUAAUGUAACUAAAACUAUAGUUAAAUUUAGCAAUAAUUAUGAGAUUUAGCAAUUGUUAUAAGAAUUUGGCUCCAACAGUUAUUGCUAAGUGUAAGUUAAGUAAUAUUUUUAACGAAUUAUAAACUGACACCUGAAAAAAAAAAUGAGGGAAAAUAUAAGUAUUCAUUUACCAAUUCAUGGCUGAGUUGACAAAUUUAUCAAUUUUGUUUAGCAAUCCUUAAAUUUAAGCAACCAUUUAGGUAUACUGUUAGAGCUCCUAUUCUUUUGUAUCAUUUAUUUUAAUAGUAUAAUAUUUCUGGGUCCGGUUCAAAGGACAUCAAUUUUGACACUAUUUAUUGGCCAUUAGAUUUUAAAACAUUCAAGGGUCUAGAUCAAUUGUAAAUAUGAUGUCAACAUAUAAUUAAUUGACGUGGCAAGUGAUGUGGUAUUUUGUCUUAUUUCAUAGCAUAUCAAAUUAAAACAAAAGAAUGAAGAAAAAAAAAGAAUGUAAAAUAUGAAAAUCGAAUUUGUACAAUAAAAAAAAAAAGAAAAGAAGAAAUUUAGAAGCAUUCCGAUCUCAGUUUUUACCAAAUGCAGAACAACUGGUACAAUACAUUCAUGGGUAAAUCCUUUUUCCAGUGUUAAUCGCAAGAUCAUCAUAGCACGCUUAGGCAUUGGAGAGAGUGCUAAGGAGAGGAGAGCUUCGUCAUGAUAUGACUGAAGUAAAUCUGAUCUAUCUCUCAAAUUUACCUGGACUGGAUCACAUGCUUUUUGUAGCCAGAUGAAUAGUUUUCAUAUAAAAAAAGGGGUUAGAUGAAUAUCACAGUUCAAUAAUUAGCUUAUGAAUAAGAAAACCCUCAGGAAAGCCAUCUAGAUUCUACAUGUUACCUACAGCUGCAGCUUUAUGAUUUCAAUUGGAUUUUGAUCUGUGUUCUUUCGCUCUGUGUUCUACUCUUCCUCUAUUUUAUCUUUUUUAUCGGAUUUUUUUCCCCUUUUUAUCGUAAAGAUUGGAUUUGGAUUUUCAGAUUUUACAUUAUGUUUUUUCGUUCUUUUCUUUUAAUUUGAUUUGCUAUGAAAUAAGACAAAAUACCACAUCACUUGCCACAUCAAUUAAUUAUAUGUUUAUAUCAUAUUUACAAUUGAUCUAAACCCUUGAAUAUUUUUAAAAUCUAAUGGCCAAAAAAUAGUAUCAAAAUUUGUGUUAAAAUUGAUGUCUCUUGAACCGGAUCCAAUAUUUCUUUAGUAAGUAAGAGAUUGUGAGUUUGACACAAAAACUAGUUGUUGCGUUUAAAUUUUUUGAUAAAAAACGUAACUCUCGCGAUGCAGUUGAACCUUUACUUCGUGUUAGGGUUAAAGUUUUCUCGAGUUGUGCAGUGCUCUUCCACAUCCAUGGCAGCGACAACAAUGGCUACAGAAACUAUAGCAGCUUGUGCUGCCUCUGUAAUUGCAAGCCUCAUCUAGAAGCUCUCGUUGUGUAACCAAGAAGAACCAGUUGAUCAGGGAAAUCUUCAAUGUCCCAAAAACGGUUUCUUGGCCCAACGUUUUUACCUUGUUGGACGUUUGAACACUAACCGUGUAGUAGUCUUUGAUACUUUCAGGAUUGUAGUUCACUCCAUGUGGAGGCUUUCAACUCUUGUGGAAGUUCAAGUGAGGGGAGAUUGAAUCCUAUUCACCUUCACCUCGGAAAGAGAUGUUAGCCGUGUGAAGCAAGGAGGUCCCUCGGCUUAUUAACGGGCUAUGGUUCUCCUUAAUGAUUACGACGGCCUCUCCGACAUCAUGGUUGUACCUUUGGAUUUUAUUUAGAUCUGGGUUGAGAUCCAAGGUUUGUCGGUUGCGAUAUCUAUCACAGCAACGACGAGGUUGGUGGCGGAGACAAUUGAUAAUGUCCUGCAAGUUGAUAAUGGUUGCUUUCAGCAUGGCCUUGCAUGCGUUCGCCUCACUCUGCCUUUACACCAGCUUGUGCGCUUGGAACGUCAAAUUAGGGUUUUCCUUGUGGACUUUCUUCAGGUGCAAUACAAGUAUGAGAGGCUCCUGGGACGUUGUCAAACUUGUGUAAUGAUCAACCACGAGGGUGAAGUUUGUCCUCGUGAGAAUGAGGAAGUCACUAGGCCGGCUGCAACAUCGGUUUUGGCAGCGGCCCCCCUCCCAUGGUGUUUAGGGCUAACACUCCUCGAACCCUAACUGCACCUUUUUGCCAUGUGUCCUCCCUUUUCCCUAAGAAGUGGUCAAUUCAGAUCAAAGAAAUCCCGAUCUCUCCCUCUCAUCCAAAAUCACAGGUGUGCGACAGCCGUCAUGAAAGGGAAGAGGAGGAGUUGGUUGAGGGCAAGCGCGCAAGACAUGCACUAGCUUUGGUACCUCUGCCUCUGAACCCUGACGAGAUGGGUUUCUUUACUUUAGAUGUCGGUGCCCUAGGGAUCAUGAAGACUGACAAGUCUUCAAAAGAGAGAAUAUCAGAACCCGCCCCGAAUUUUACCCUAAAACCCGGAGUAAGUCCUGCGGGGACCACUCUCAAGGAAAGAUUUACCUAAAAAUUGGCAAAACCUCCCUUGAAAAUGAACAACCUUUACCUGAAAAAUUUCAAAUUUACACUCCUACUAACACACAUCCAACCUUAACUCCUAGAGCCAUCCGCUCCCCGCAAACACAACCACCACAAAAACAACAAAACAUCAACAUCCAAACAUCACAUAAAUAUCCAGCUUAAACAUUAAACCUUAUCCUUCAGAUACUCUAAACUGAAAUCAACAAACCGAACACACCACUGAAAUAAUUUACAUUAAUCCCAAAGUAUUCAGAGCUACUAGACACUAGCGGAAGAAAGAAAACACGGGUAGGUUAAACAAGUAACCUACUGGUGAAAAGUGGCGGAAAUGCGGGUGACUAUGCCUCGCCUCCUACUAGAUCCAACCCGAACUCUGCAGACUGGGCAAUUUAAAACGAAGGGCCCAGGGGAAAACAUUUAAUAACGUUAGAGUGUGUGGACAAAAAUAAAUUAAUAAAUAAAAUAUUUAUGUUUCCCCAAACCAAUUUCCAAGGAAAAAUCGAAUGCAUGCCGCAAGCGAUAAAACUUUUAUCUCAUAAAAUAUCGAGCCUCUCAGACUCUAUAAUAUAUGUAUGUAUUUACACACGUCCAUACUCCCUAUAUAAAUUUAUGAGUCUAUAUAGGGCUACUACGCUCGUGUCCAACUCUCACGUCAUGCAUUAAUGCGGUGCUACACUACGCCAUUAAGGUGGACAGACGGGUGUAUAAAUAUGUGCCCAUACCCCCUAUAUGAAUUAAACACUCAUAUAAGGCUACUACGCUCACGUCCAACGCUCACGUCACACCAUAAUGCGGCUAUAUGCUACGCCAUUAAGGUGGACAGACACAUAUAGCUAGCUAGCAUUUAUGUACAUACUCUCCUCAAUAUACAUAUUUAUACUCACCGAAAAAUCCUAUUUUUCGGUAACUCUCCAAGAGAAAUAAAAACGUCAAAAUUAAAUAACGUCAAAACUCCAACAAAAUUAAUUGUUCAUCCAUGAACCAUAGUAUGCAUAUUAUUUAAAACAAAAGUCCACUCACAAAUUAGGCCUAGGCCUGAUGUCGAUCUGAGGCCUCGUCUGCUCGAGCCUCCUCACGUCCUGUUCCAAAUAUAAUAUUAAUUUCUCGACUGAAAUUCCAAAACUUACUCAAAAAUAGGCAAAAUAAAUAUGAGCCGUAACCACGCUCAUUCUCGCCUAACUUCGAUAUUCCCAAACCGAAACAAUCCAAACUUUAAUACUAAAAUCGGCAGCCGUAACACAACCUUCCACAGAAAAUGAUUCAAAUCCUACGGCCGGAUUCUACAUUAAUUAAUAGCCAAAAAUACCAAACUUCAUAAAUUCACAAACCUAACCAAAACUCCUCCAAGAAUUCCAUAAUUCACAUCAAUAAACUCCCCUUAAAUUUCCAUAUUUAAAACCAUAAAAAUCUCUCACACAGCGGCGGCGGCGCCGGCAAUGGCGGCCGGAGGCCGAUUCCGGCGACCUCUAAUGCUCACCAAAUUUAAACAGCAGCUUCCUCUCAACUUACUCUACAACUUUCUUAACUAGCACAACACCCAAUUCCAAGCCUAACUAUGCCAAUCGAAUGAAAACAACACAAAAAGCCCUAGAGCUUCCACUCACCGGUUCUCCUUACCUAGACCACGAGAGGGCGAGCUCUUUGGUGGGGUUGCUGCACGGGAGGAGGGCUACAAAACGAGCCAAGGAUCGCCGGCUUUGGUGGCCGGAGGAGGGAGUUCCGGUGACGUGAAGAUUUGGACAGUCGGACCUUUCGGGGGAGAGUACUCCUUCACGGCGGAGCUAGGGCAGCUCUCACCGGCCUAGGAUGGAAGUUGGGUUGGAGGCCGACCGAACGGGACUGGUGCGGUAGUCUCAAGCGGCCGGACGGCGGCGGACGAGCGGCCGGAAGUUCGGCUGGGGGAGGGAGUUUCGGGGGAGAGAGAGAAACCGGGAAGAAAAAGAGGGAAGAGAGGAAAUGGUUUUUGGGCCUCCACCAAACCGGUCCAAGUCCUUAUAACAAAACCCAAAUCCAAAAUUUACACCCCAAAAUAAUACCCUAAUAAAAAUUACUUUUUACUAGCUAAAAUUUACCAUUUUUACCGUCGUUAAAAUUUUCUCCUACGAAUAAUUCUUCGAAAAUAACCGUCCCCCACACCCCCUUAGGGACUAAUUAACUUAUAACCUUAUUAACGGAGGCGGUAAAAUUCUUAUUAUAACCAAGUUAGUAAAUAAGGUAAAAAUUUAAGAGUCGGGAUGUGACAGAGGACGUCUGAGAGGAAGUCGAAACAAGAAGAAGAAGCAGACGAGGCAGGUUACAGACUCCAUGGAACCGGGAUCGGUAGAGACCACUGGAGGUGACUCUAGAGACAUAAGCGGAGUAGUUUCCUAGUCUACCUAAGAGAGAUCAUUGUCUGUGCGUUAACAUAUUGCCUUGUCUCCCAAGUCGAUGAAAGGUACAUCAUUGGGGUUUGAGGCCUCUAAUCAGGGAGUGAAGACUUGCUUUGUGAGUAUGGAUGGUUAAUUUGCUUUCUAGUUAUUCAUAUCUACUUUUUUGGAUGUAGUUUAAGGUUGUUUUAUCAAUUCGUAGUAUAUGUUUUGUAUUAAGUUUCUUGAACUUUGUUGGUUUGAGUAGUCUUCAGACCUCUCUUGCUUGACCGUUUUGGUCGUGUUGUUUUCGAUUAAUGGAAUUACUUCCUUUCCCCUCAAAAAAUUUCCGUCCUUUUAGGCUUUUAACCUUUAGAAACUAAUAACCUUUUUUAAAAUGCCACAAAAAGUUUUUAAAUCAUGUCAUCUCUCAAUUUCCUAUCCUUUUUGGCUUUUAGCUUUCCCUAUCAAACUGUGACACAAAGUCUCUUCCAUUUUCUUCAAACAUAUGUUUAGAGAAGCUAACUUGUGGCAAAACGUCAUUGCUCACCAAUAACACCAACUUCUGAAUGCUCAUAUUUAGAGAAAUAGAAUCUCAAGCUCGGCUACUAGAGUCUUGUUAUUUGAUAAUGUAAACUCAGGUUGUUUAAGAGGUUUUGCUUUGUGAUUUUUUCUUUUUCGUAUGACGAAAAAAGUUUCAGUUGUGUCAUGUUUUCCUUCUUGUCUAACACUAAUUUAGGUAGUAUAUCUAACCGCUUGCAUUUGGUUUGCCCACCCUAAUGCUCACCUUCUACACAUCUAUUUUCAUACAAACACAACACAGAAAUAAAAUUACAACAUAUUGAGAAAUACAACCUCAUAAAUUUACAUACAAACAAUAUUUAUGCAAGUAUUAACUAUGCAUGCAAUAUUUUGAAUUACAAUGCCCUUCUUAUUCUUUAAAAAUAAAAUCAAUGCCCUAUUUUAUCUUUCGGGGCAGAAGGUACUCGUACACCUAUCUUCCUCACCGUAAUAAGCUUCAUUUUCGCAUGUAGCCUGGCCUUCGGUUCUGCAAUUGUAAUAAUGAAAUUAAUUAAUUAUCCAUAUGCACUUAUGCAGUCAGGACUCAGGAAGGAAGAGGAUGAGCAGUCUUCUAUUUCAUAUCCUCAACACUAGUAUGCGAACAAUCGAUGAACUACUACAUCUGAUGAUGAACAGAGCCCAACCAUUCAUUCUUUUUUCUUCUUAAUUAUGUUAGGAAAAUGUAUUGCUUGAUUAAGGAAAAGAAGUUCUAUAAAUAUGUACGUAGGGUAUAUAUCAACAUCACAAAAUUUAGCCAAAUACACGUACGUUAAUUUGGUCAUCUCAUUUGUGUACUAUUUGCUUUAUAAAAGAUUAUACUACUGAAAAUGGCUGUAUGGUUCAUAUUUCAAUACUGCUGUUUUUUUCAUCAUUCAUGAUACAUUCUUGCUGUGUGUGUGUGUGUGUGUGUGAGAGAGAGAGAGAGAGACUAACUGGUUGUUGGCAUUUCAUCAGAAACUUCAGCAUGGAUUAUGUUGGACGAGAACAACAGCAAUAGAAUGAAGGGAACCAUGAAAAUAUGGCAGUAGUUCUUCUGAACCAUUUUAGUUUAGUAUUUGUCUUUAGUAUAGCUAUCCCUUAAUGCUUCACGGCUAGCUUCUCUUUAUACUAAUCAGUUUUCUGGACAGAGUCAGAUGAUUGAUCGCCCCUAAUUUUUUUUUUUUUUUUGGUUCGAAAAGAGAAGAACAAGUCAGUCAGAGAUGAUUAAUCCCCGAAGUCUUUUUUUUUGGUCUGGACAAAAAGAACAGAAGUCGGUCAAUAUUUAUCAAACUUGGAACAUAUACAUCGUAUGAUAUAUAGCUCCGGUCGCUCCCCUUAGCUAGCAAUGAUACCAGGCGAUGAUGAAAAAUGUGGUCGUAUAUUUGACAUUUUCAUACAUUGCACAAUGUAUCUAUUAUUAUAUAAAAAUAACUACAAAAAUAAGAUAAUUAGCUUGGGAGUUCUGGAGAUCAUGACCUUCGACUUUUCACUUAUUUUUCUUUUAAGCACAUCAAAUGAUAAAAGAUCUGCAUCUUCAUUUGUUAAUUACAUUUUCGUUUUGAAUGCCUUUGCCUCAUCUCUUUAUAUAAUGUCAUUAACAUUUUGACCAGCAUCCACCAAGACUGAGGAAGAACUACAAUCAGUACCAAAAUGUUGAUCAGCUUAAUCAAACCCCCAAGACAUAUAUGUAUGACUAAGUCACGGUGGAAGCCGUGGAACAAACAAUUUGUGUCCUCAAGUCUUGUCUGCUGUGCUUACAAUGUGUUUUGGGUAUUCUAUGAGUCCCCAAGAACACUCAUAAUCCUGCCAGCAUUUACCACAAACAGAUACAAUCUUUGGCAAAAUGUGUAAACUAAAAGCUUUAAAAGAAAAAACAAACUGGAAGAGUGAUUGGAGAAAGAUUAACAUAGGGUGACAGUAAAUAGAGAAGAGCAGAGUUUCUAGAUAAUAAAUUUAAACCGCACAUAGGUUCUAAAAAAAACAGACAUAUUCAUCAAGGACUUCAACAAACACUACAUUUCUGCAAGCAAGUGCAGUUAGCAGCCAAAAUUCAUUCAUGAAUCACUGGUCCUGGAAGAUUAGCUUUGAAUGCACUGAGGCACGGCUAGACCGGAGCAACUUCUUUCCUAUUUUUGAAGAUUCAACACCAGGAACAGGCUGAACAGUCAUCCUCUCAAGCACAGGAGAAUUCAAAAGCAGAUACCUGAUGAAAUCUAGUUCAGGUUUGGAACCUCUGAUGUCGUUUAUGAACACUGAUCUCAGUUGGCUGAAUGAACAUUUCCUGUUGUCAUCUAACCAAGAAUUCCCUUUUGCAACAACCUCUUCCCCCGGGAAGACCUGAACUUCUAGUUCUUGCAGAGCUGGGCAACUUCUAAAAAGGCAAAGGGCCGUUAAACUUUCCUCCAAAUUACUUAAGCAAAGAGUUAUAUUAAGACAGUUCAGAUACAGACAUGGUCUGGGCAGUUUCACUGGCAAGGCACCAAUAGCCAGAUACAUUGUAGAGCAACAGAAGAAAUCGAGCUUCUGAACCUGAGGCAGGCAACUUAGAAUCUUGACCAAAUUGCUAGAACUUUUAGAAACCUGUCUUUGGGAAACAUAGAAUUCAAAAUCUUCCAAACCAAUGGAGACAUCAACCAGAUUUGACGUAUUCACCAGAAGGACAUCCUUAAAAGACCCUCUAACAUAAAGGAAUUUGAGAUUAGGUGCAUCAAUCAUGAGAUGGCUGAAACUGUCACAGUAUAUUAAAGUCAAACUCUCAAGCAAAGGACAGCUAAUAAUCAGGUGUUCGAACACAUCUUGGGCAAAGAAAACACGAUCAAAGUGAAGGCUCUUCAAACCCCUGAACCCUUUGAAAGUGGGUGGUGGUUCUAGCAAACAGCAGGAUAGCUCUAAACUUAUUAUAUCUUGACAAGAAAACAAACAUGAAGGAAUCUUGUAUGGCCUCCCCCAAUGGCGAAGUAUGAACUCUUUGAUAGAGUUUCUUGAUAGAUGAAGAAUCCAUCGAUCCAUGUCCUUACUAGCAAAAUGAUCUAGAGUAAGCUCGAACUUGUGUAUGGGGCCAAUGUGAGCUAAAAGUACAUGAUCAACAAUGUCCGCAAAGGUAGUAUCACUGUGAGCUGAGCGACACUGAUAAUCAAAUACAAGAUGUUGAAGCAUAGCUGCUUUGUACCUCCACUGGCUUGACAGGACACUUGUCCUCACUGUGUCCUUCAACGGCAAGCAUGACAAUAUUUUUUCCAUAAUACCACUUGGUAAGUUGCUGAUUCUAUCCAACUCCAUCUCUACUUCCAAUUGGAAUUAGGUGGUGCUUUUUGCCCUAUAUCACGUCCCUGUUGUUAACACUGACAAUGCAUCAACAUAGUACAACAUCCAUUAACCAAACCAUAAUUAGGAAUAUCACUAUACUAUCCAUUUAACAAAAUAAGAGGAGUCGAUGUGCAUAGGUAAGCAACAGAGUGAAAAUCCCUAUCUUAAGACUUAAACCUUUUGAUUUCAUAAUAACCUCAAAAGCGCACACACUGUGCAUAUAAAAGGAUUUUACUUUUGUACUAUUUUUAAAUGAUCAAAAUAAAUUGACAUGAGGAUUACAUAAACAACAUCAGUGCGACAAUCCAAGUAAUCAAGAGAAACAAACUCAUCUUCAGAUAUCGGUACAUGUCUCCACUUCUCUAGUUUUCUCCCAUUUUACUAAACUGUUAAACAAAUGCUAUUCUAUCAAUGUUUUUGUUUUGGAUGAAACAAAAACAAAAACACAAAAACUAGCCUCAAAAAAUGCAAAAAAGGAUAAUCAAAUUAUGCAUCUCUUUUCUCUACGUACACAACCAUCACCAUUUAAUCUCUUCAGUUUGAAAGCAUCACAACCCAUGCGUGAAUACAUAUUUUGACUGUAACAUUUCGAACCCUAUUUCGUGAAGUACCAAUAAUCCAUUGAUGCAAUCAAUUUUGAACAACUGAAAAGUGGGUUUGGAAGUUUCAUAAAAACCCAUCAUCAUCAUGAAUGAAUCCAUAAUCCAUGUAAUAAUAACACACAAACACAAAGAGAAGACAACUAAACGAGAAACAAAAAAAAAACAAGCAGAAAUGAAUAGAGUUAAGCCAAAACAAGAAAUGCACACUGCAAUAAUUCAGUGAAAGAUCAUAGAUUUCAAACAAGAACAUACCUCCGAGAGAGAGAAGGGUUUGUGGCUCAGUCGAGAGAAAGGGUUUGGAAGCGAAUGGAAUGAUCGACACAAAUAGACGAAGAGGUUUUAGGUUUUAACUUGUAAUACGGUUUUGGGCCUUAGUCUUGGGCCUGCUCUUGGUUGCUGUUGUCUUCGGCUCUUUCUUUUCCAACGUGUUCCUUUUUUUUCUUUUUUUUUUUUUUGAGAGGAAGUGAGGAACUAGUGUUCACCUGAUUUGUUGUUGAUUAAAGAAAAUGUGCUUGUGCUUGUGCUUGUGCUUGAUCAAGCACAUUGAUAAAUUGAAAAAAUUAGAGAUUUAUCAAUUUUUAAAUGAAUCUUUGCUCCAACGGUAUAUUUAAGAAGUUGAUAAAUUUAAAAAUUGAUAAGCAAAAUUGACAAAUUUAUCAAUUCAUGAGAGAUAAUUUGUCAAUGAAUAGUUAAGUUUUCUCUAAUAACUACUAUGCUGGAGCAAAACUCUCAAAAUGAAUUGAUAAAUAUAACUUUCAUCCAAAUUUAUUAACUAUUUUAUCAACCACUGCUGGAGAUGCUCUUAGUCCUCACUGCGUGGAGAGAGAUAUUAUUAAAUUGAGUUGUUUUGUCUUGUUCUUUACUAUUAAAUUUUUGUAAUAAUUUUUUUAGUUAGCAAUUGUUCAUGUGAACACUAUUUCCUGUCUUUCAAAUUCAUGAAAGUGACCAUGUUGUAAUGUAGAAUGAUAGUGACUGUUGGGAUCCGUUUGAAUCAAAUUGAUAUUAAUUCAUCAAAUUGUGGGAGAUCUUUGAACAUUAGACGACAAAUGAAAGUUUUAUAAUGUUGAAAUUAUCGAAUUGAGUAUUUUGAAUACGUUAUUAAACAACAGUAAAGAGAUUUUUCUUUUGUAAAUAUUUCAAAACGUGUUACAUUUUCCGAUAUUCCGAAGUAUUAGAACCCGGAGAGGACGCAACUUGUUGGCUUAGACGGAAAAUAGAUCGAAACUCGUAAAAUUGCUGGUCAGGUCAAAACGUACAAGUUUCAUGCAAAACUCGUGUCAGUGACAAUGAUUUGUGCACGGACUCUGCAGGUACCUCUAGCGGCAUGGGGGUCCUGCCUUUGCCAAUUGACCACGCGCCAAUGACCAAGACUGCAUUUCAUCACCCCUCCAUUCUCAUAAUCCCUCCGUUCUCAUAAUCACUUAUCAUUUGCAGGAGCUUGAAAAAACCAACACUUGAAAUCGCGUGGACAUCCCAAACCAUAUUUGCAUAUUUUGCUCUUCUCUCUUUCUUCCCAAAUAUAUUUUGUCAAAGAUAUAGACCUCAUGGACUCAUGGCCCUGAUGGCACCAAAGUCCUUAUUCUUUCCUAGUCUUAAAUUUAGCUCAGUCAAAGUUCAAACCUUCACCAACCCCCCUCUCUCUCUUUCUCUCU
rnacentral:lncRNA from 1 species